rnacentral:lncRNA from 1 species
ACUUUGACAAGAUUGUUGGUCGCCGAUUUCUCUUCUGCGUCAAGAAGCACAGCUUUGAUUGUGGAGACGGUGCGUUCGAGGUCGUGAAGGUCAUCUUUGAGAUUCCACCAGAGUCCAAUUUGAGAGAGAGCAAGAGAGCUCAACUUAAUAAUGAGCUCUGUGGCAAUGUCGAAAGCAAUUGCUUCGGCCAUUGUUGUUUCAAACUGGAAUCAAGGCUAAAAGUGUUUGAUUACUGCAAGAGGAGGACUAAAAAGAAAAUGAUUUGAACAAGAUGAAACACAGAUGUGGAUCCAUACAUGCAGAGACUAAGUAAUUUUAUAGAUACUACCGUCCACCCACCAAGUAGUAUAAUUAAAUGAAAAUAAUGUUGAUUAGUGGGAAAUGGUCCCACCAUGUUUAAUAUUUGACGCAAAUUUCUCAAUGGUGCCAAAGCUGGAAUGAUGAUAAAUCCAAGGAGUUCAGAUAUUAUGAAAAAUUAAUGAAAAAUCUACGAAAGAAAAGAGGAGGAGGAGCCAAACCUAUGGAAUCCAAGGUGUUUAGAUAUAUUAUGACUUUAUGUCUUUUGCUAACAAUUAUAUCUGUUUAGAUAUUAUGAAUCCAAGGACCCAAACUCUAAUUUUCUCUCAUAAAAGGGUCUCUCGAAUUUUCUCUUUCAUCUUAUUUUUUUCUUCAUUAUUAAUUACUGACUUAAACAUAAAAGAAUAUCUCAAAAUACAAGCUCUAGUGUCCUCCUAUCUCACUUUGCAAGAACCUAACACUCUCUUAAUGUCAACAACACUUUUCAAUAGAAAAAGAAUGUAACUUUUUUUACUUUGUAAACCUCAAAAUUGAAAGCCACCCCGCUCAUAUUGUAAAAUGGAUUAGGCAAACAAAAGAAAAUAACAAAUUCAAAUAGGUUAAUAGGUUAACACACCAUUUGGGGUCUAAAUUUUGUAAUUAUUUUUAUAUUAGGGUUUAAUUUUUUUUUCAAGUUAGUCUUUGAACUUCGCACUUGUUCCCACAUUAAGGUCUAGCCUAGGCAAAUGUUCCCGUACCUUAGACUUUUUUUUUGUCUAAGUUAGUUCCUAAACUUGGUAAUUGUUUCCAUAUCGGAAUUUGAACCUUUUUUAAAAGAAAUAUUAGAGACUAGCUUGAACAAAAAAAAGGCCCCAAUUUGAGAACAAUUGUCAAGUUAAGAAACUAACUUGUAACAAAAAAAAUUCAGGCUCUAAAAUGGGAACAAUUGUCAAAUUCAAGCUCAGAUAGUGCAUUAACCCUAAAAAAUUACUUAAAAUAAGAUUAACAUUUAAUGUAUUAUCAAUGAAACUUUUUAAUUUCACAAAUAGGUUUUAAAUUCUAUCACAUGUUUCAUUAAAAAAAUAUUAUUUUACUUCACCUUAAAGAGUUAUGUGCCAAAACCUUGUAUGUUGGCUUGAUAAUCAAGAGUGUUCGUUGCCCUAAGUGUGACUUAGGUUAGAGUUGUGCCAGUUGCGUUGUUGUAGAAAAAAAGAGGAAUGUGCCAUCCAUUUAACUCUAUCUUGAGAUAUCAUAAUCAUAUCAAUUUGAUUUUUUAGGGAUAAAUCUCAAAGUUAUAUAUGGACUUUGAUUUGGUGCAAUUAUACACAUAUAAAAUUUUAUUUUUGAUUCAAUCAUACACGUUCAAAGAAAUUAAUACAUCAAUUUAUUUUUGUAGUGGAUAAGUAUAAUUAUUUGUUUAUGUAAUAUAUAAACAUAAAAUGAUGUUUUAUCAAUAAUUGUGUUAAUAAUUUGUGAGAAUUGAAUAAAGUUAAAAUUCCUUGUAUAAAAUUAUACAUUACGGUAAAGUUCAUGUGUAAUUUUAAAAUUUAACCCAUUUUUCUAUUAACUUAGCCAUUUGUUUGAGCAUUAAAUGUUCGCUCAAAUAUAAUAGGGAACAUACUUAAAACACAUGUGUACCUAUUUGUUAAAAAAAGAAAAGAAAUAGUCCUCUUAAAUUUUAUAAUAUUGUGUUUUUAAUAUGUUAGAACAAGUUAUCAAUGCGACGAGUACGCAAGUAUGUACAAUUUAAUUCAUGUCAGAUUUGAAUUGAAAUUUAAAGCCUAAAUUUACAUUAAAAAAAUGAAACUAUUUUUUUAAUAAAAUACUAAAAUUUCAUUAAAACAUUUUAAAAUUUAAAUAAUAAUUUGAAAAUGUUGUGGGGGUUGUGUCUCUUUGGGUUAGUUUUCAAUAUAUGUGUGUUGAUGAUGCAAUGAAUAAAGAAAUCAAAAGUUAUGCAGAAAUUUCAAUUUUGGAUGGCGCUGCAAUUAUAUUAUUAAGAGUAGUAGCAAUUUAUUUAUUAUUAACAUAUAUUUGUUUACUGUAAGUGGGGUUCAUCAUUUUUAUUUAUAUAUUGCUAACAAUCUCAUUUAAUAAUAGUACCAUUUCAUGUAUCUUUCAAAUAUAUAUUUAGUCCACUAAGUUUUAGCUCAAUUGGUAUAAGUAUUAUUGUUAAUAUAGGACGACAUGGAUUCGACUGUUGAAACGCAUUAUCCUCCUAUUUAUGAGUUGGAGAAGGGCUAUAGGUAAUUCUAGUCAUUGUAUAAAAAAAAUGAUAUGAUUAGAACCUGUAAUAAGAUUAUUCAAUAUAUAUAUACAUAUAUUUAUUAGGAAACGGUUGAAGCUUUUUAUUUGUUUAUUAUUAGGGUUAAAUAUAAAAUUUAUACAUGAACUUCGAUUUAAUGUACAAUUUGAUAUAUGAAUUUUGAUUUGGUGCAAUUAUCUACAUGCACGAAACUUUGAUUUUGAUUCAAUUAUACACAUUAAAGAAAUGAAUACAUAUAUUUAUUUUCACAUUGGAUUAAUAUAAUUUUUUGUAUAUGCAAAAUAUCAAAGUAAAAUGGCGCUAUUUCAAUAAUAUUAUUAAUGAUUUGAAAAAAUUGAAUUAAUGAAAUUAAAAAUUACACAAAAUCGAAGUUCAUUUAUAAUAUUGCAUUAACAUAUAAUUGAUUAAAAUUGAGAAUUAAAAUUAAUGAACAUAAAAAUUGGAAUUUUAAUUUUUGUAUUUUAAAAAAAUUGAACUUAUAAUUUUAUCAAUAAUUACCUUUAAAAAUUAUCAUUACAAGUAUUAAUUUAAAUAAAAAAAACUUAAAAAUUAACUUGUCUCCACACAAUUAUAUAUAUUUAUAUUUUUAAUUUUUUUAAUUUCUUGAAUUUUUGAGGAUUUUUGUCCCAUUAUUGUAUAAUUUUAAAUUAAUUCCCAAAAUAUAUAAUGUUUGUGAUUAUUUUUGAAAUAUGUGAGUUUUUAAGGUCGGAUGUUGAGAUUAUUGUAAAAUCUAAAACACAAUCAUUUUUGAACCCUUUUGAGAUUAGGGAGGGAAAAGAAAAGAGAUCGAUUGACAAAUAUGACUUCCAACGACAACAUCAAUGGUGGUGAAGUAUGUUUUAUUAUUUUUACUUUUUAGAGAUAAAUAUUAAAAUUAUUCAUGAAUACUAUGAACUUUAAUUUGGUGUAAUUAUAUAAAUAAAAUUUUAAUUAUAAUUUAAAUGUAUACAAGAAAUUUUUAUUUUAAUUAAAUUGUAUACAUUUAUAGAAAUAACAUUAAUCAUCUUUUAUAAUUAUUUAUGUAUAAAUGAAAACGCAAAUGUUGGUAUAUACAUAUACAUUAUCCGUAGAGUCUAAAUAGUAUUUUAAAGAUGUCACCAUCACUGAGUAAUAAUUAAAUAAAAAAGUUACUAAUUUUAUAUUAAAUACUUAGUUAAGGGACAGUCUUCCUUUAUAAAUUUUCUGCAGUUUCCAAUGUUUUUUUUUCUGGAUGAUGAUGAAUAGCAGCACAAUGAUGCUAUGAAUAAAGAACAACAAGGUGGGCAGAAUUUUGAUUUGAUUUAUUAUAUUAUAUUUAAUUACAAUUUUUUAUACAAAUACUUAUAAUUAUCCAUAGUUCCUUUCUAACUCUUAAAUAGAAAGAUAAAUAGUGUAUUUUAAUACGCUCAAAUCUACAUCUUACUGCAUAAACAAUAAUAUCAAUAUCAAUCAAAUUAGGACUCAAUCGAUUUUAAUCACAAUUUUUUCUCUCUCCAUAAAUAAGUUUUUUUUUUGCUCAAUUGAGUUAUUACACUUUUAAGCAUUUGCAAAGAAUGUAACAAUCUACAAGAUGCAACACUCCCCCACAAAAAUAUCCCUCACCCAAGUACAAAAAUACCAAUAUCUCAAACCGAUAACAUCAUAAUUUCAAACCACUAGACCCCCAAAAACCCCGUCUGUUAUUCUGCCCUCUAAAAGAAAAAAUAUGCAAACAACCAACACAUAAACCACAUAUAACCAAGAGUCCUUAAGGCCCAAACAGCAAACCAACUCUUCAGAAGAAACACAACAACAUUACUCAAAUUAAAAUCACCACCAUGCCUCAAACAUAACAUGCCUUUUUAUUCUUGCAAUCGCCAAAGCAUAAGCCAUCUCGUUUCUGUGCUUUUCGGCUUUCGAGAAGGAAACAUUACCUACUUGAACCAUCCUAUUUUCAAUUUCCUUGAAGAUAGGAUGCAGCAACCACAGUCUCAAUCAUUUGUUCUCAAACCAACAAAACACCUCAUUUGAUCCAAUCUCAAUGAGUAGAUCCAAUCUCAUUUGAUCCAAUCUCAAUGAUUAGAGAGCUUUUACCAUUCCACCCUGAUAUGAUCUCGUUUCGUGAUUGAUUCGAGUCGUAUGUGUUGCCCGAUCAUGAAUUGAGUAAGAUAGAUUCGUUUCGGUUUAAAGUAAACAAAAUAGAGAUAAUGGCUUCAAACAAAUGCUGUAGACAAAAUAGAUAAGAAGCAAUAGCAAAUUAAUUGGCUAAGACCGAGAGUGAACCAACAAUAAUGGAUUGUUGACCCGAAUCUCAAAAUGGUUCUUAGGUGUUUAUCGGUUUAAGGAAACAGCAAGGAACCUUGACCUACUAUCAACUAUGAUAGGAACCAAAGGUAUAUUGAACGCCACACCAAAGGUGAUAAGUUCGGCAAACAAAGAAAAGAUAGACGCCACAAGCUAUGCUUGAUAAGUCAAAUCAAUUCCGUAAGAACAAAAAGAAUUGGAUAACUCACAAUUCAAAGAUUUCAUGUAUAUUCAGCAAAAGUCUAUUAUCUAAGGCUGAUUACAUCUAUUUAUAAUGCUAGAACAAAGGUAAUUGAAUGGUCAAAAACUUCCAACUUAAUGUGCCAUAAAAACUCAUGUCUUUUCUUAUGCUUGAACUAAAUAACUCCUUCCAUAAAAUCACUUCAAUUCAGCUGAUUUGAAUGUCUUUAAUGGCUUAAAAACGACUCUUGAGUUGUCCUUGGCCAGCUAAAUAGACACCAUCUUUUAACCAGCUCCUUAAUGACAUUUAAAAGGCUUGAUUAAAUUCUCUUGAAAGCUCCAAAAAAAUGGCUGGAAGAAGAAGGGUUGUUGCUGAAUUUUAAAGGGCAUAAAAUGCUCUUUAAAAACUCCUUUAAUGAUUUUUAAGCUUCCUUUAUAACAACCCCUUUAAUUGUAACUGAAAAUAACUUGAACAGCCACUUAAUUCAAUGUAUAAUAGCCUUGAAUUGUAACCACUAUGAGCUGAAAAGUCACAUGCAAUAAACACAAUAAAAUGAGUUUAUUAAACACAUGAAAACACUUAUUAAUCAUAACACACAUUAAACUUACUUAAAUAAAUGAACUAAAACAUAUAUGCAAUAAUUAUUCCAGCAACUUGUUUAAUUAAAGAAGCAUAAAAAAAACUUAAUUUAUGCAUCAAUAAAUAAUCCUAGGAACUAGAUCAAUUAAGAAGCAUCUUAUUUAAUAAAAUUCAAUAACUAACUCAUUUAUUAAAACUUAAGAUGAGUUGAAUUAAUUGAUCAGCAACUCAUUUAUUAAACUAAGAUAAGUUUAAUUAAAAGAAACAAAUUCAGUUUGCAAUAAAUUGCAAGUGAUGCCUAUUGAACGGUUCAAAGUACGAUUACCGAAUUUGGCUACUUGCUCUCUCCAAGCUCGUUCCACAUAGCUUGCUAUUGCAUUUCGAAAUCUCUUAACUCGUGAUCGAUUUACUGGCCCUCAUGGCAGCUCAAUGGAUUAGGUAGUAAUUUCUCGGGCUAAGGUCGCAUCACACCCCAUUGCUAAAAACGCAUCCAAAGCAAUGAUAAUCGCUCCCACCUCGGCUGUAAUGGAGUCUUUUGCUGCAAUUGGACCCGAAAAUAAUGCCUUUGCCACCCCAUAACACCCUUCCAUGCCCGACUUCAUCCUCGUUCGCCACACCACUUACAUUAAAUUUGACCCAACCAUGUCUCGGAGGACACAAAAACUGCCACCCGUCGCAGAUUUUUUUAAAUCACACCAGCUUCUAAAUGGACUGUUGGGAUCGACCUGACUAAGCAACAAGUAAAAAUUUAACAGAAUAAAUUGAGAAAUUGAACACAUUAAUUUAACGUGAAAAAACCCUCCAAAGAGGAUAAAAAACCACGGGCAAAGAUAAUUUUACUAUAAUGGCAAAAGAGCGAAGAGUACAAAAGAUGAUAAAAACUAAACCUCAAAAACCCGAAAACAAAGAACCCACAAAACGUAAACACAAAAUUCUCUAAAUGUGUUAUGAGUUCUAAUCUCUAAUAGGUGUAUUUUCUAAUGUUGUAAAAGAGCCUAUUUAUAGGCUAAAUUCAUAGGUCAAAUAAUAAUAAAAUAAUCUAGACUGAUCAGAGUUUGAUUAAAACAAAUAAAUAGAGCUUAACUAAAAGAUUAUUUCUCAAAUUUGAUUGAAAUAGGAGUCAUACUCAACAAAUCUCUACCUUGACUCAUAUUUUCACAAUACCAUCUUUGCCAAAGCCUGCCACGGGCCUAUCUUGGACUAUGCAGGGAAUUAAUUGAAUCGAAUCUGUACGUAAAAAUUGGAAGACUUUUGGCCUUCGACUUGUACACUGCCAAAUAAAAACUGACCCAAGUCUGAUUUUCACGAACACAGUGCCUUAACUUUUCAAAACCUGUAUCCAAAAGAGAACCUCUCUUCAACAAAACGAUCAUAACUUUUUCCCUCCUAUAACCAAGUUGUCUCCACUCCAAACGAGUUGACUUCGACUCCGUAACGGACAAGGGGUGUCUGAUUUCACUGAUCACUGUAGAACCUUCUAGAAUAUAAAGACUUCGGGUUUUUUCACCUUUUAAUAAAAUGAGAGCUCCUUAAGAUACUUUAAUUUCGCUCGACUCGAUGUUGAUUCUACAUCUUUUCAAGUUUAAAUUACUCAAGGAGAUGAAAUUCUUUCGUAAAUCAGGUGCAUACCUGACAUUCAAAAGUGUCCUAAUCAUCCCAUUGUGUAUCCUAAUUUUAACAGUACCAAUACCAAUUACCUUACUAGAUGAAUCAUUUCUCAUGCGUACAACUCCACCUUCAACCGAACCGUAUGUGGAGAACCAUUCUUUAUUAGGACACAUGUGGAAUGAACAUCCUAAAUCUAGGACCCACUCGAAUGUGAACUUGGAGUUAUCGCUUGUUGACACUAACAAGAAAUAAUCACUGCUUUCAUCAGCCAAAUUAACACUAGCUACUUCUUUCUCAUUACUCUCAACAGCUCUUUUAUUUCACAAUUUAUAACAAUCUGCUUUGACAUGACCUAACUUUUUACAAUAGCAACACAUUUUGUCUCGUUUCUUUGAUGCUACCAAAACGGAAGCUUGCCUAUCUGCCUUGCUAUCCAAACCAAACUCAUUGUCGAGUUUAUCACUACUCAACAAAUGACCUUUCACAUCUUCAAACGAGAGUUUGUCUCUAACAUAAAUUAGGGUCUCCUGAAAGACUUGUAUGAAUGGGGUAAAUAGCACAAUAAUAGCAUAGCCUGAUCUUCAUCGCCAAUAUGAACUUCAACGUUCUUUAAAUCAUUUAAAAGAGUAAUGAAUUGACUGAUGUGAUCUCCAUCAAUACCUCCUGCUAUACCGUAUUCGCGAGACACAACUAGAUUGCAGACAAGGCAUUUUCAUCAAGCUCUUCCCAUUCUAUUUGAUUUAGAUUCUCAGGCUUUUUCCCUGUAACAACCGUUUUCAAGCCGGUUUGAACUAGAAUUGCCAUCAUUCGAACUUGCCACAGAUUGAAAUUUAUCUCACCAUCGAACUUCUCAAUUUCAAACAUUGUUGCUGUCAUCUCUGAAUGGGCUGAUCUAUGAAAAUUAAAACCACUUGUUGAGAUUGACCCGAUUAAGCAACAAGUAAAAAAAUAGUAGAAUAAAUUGAGAAAUUGAGCACACAAAAUUAACGUGGAAAAACCCCUCCAAAGAGGAUAAAAAACCACGGGCAAAGAUAAUUUUACUAUAAUGGAAAAAGAACGAAGAGUACAAAAGAUGGAGAUAAAAGCUAAAUCCCGAAAACCCGAAAACAAAGAACCCUCAAAACGUAAACACAAAAUUCUCUAAAUGUGUUAUGAGUUCUAAUCUCUAAUAGGUGUAUUUUCUAAAGUUGUAAAAGAGCCUAUUUAUAAGCUAAAUUCAUAGGUCAAAUAAUAAUAAUAUAAUCUAGACUAAUUAGAGUUUGAUUGAAUCAAAUAAAAAAAAGUUUAACUAAAAGAUUAUUUCUCAAAUUUGACUAAAAUAAGAGUCAUACUCAACAUGGACAAAUCCACCAUGAUCUCUCAUCUACUCUUAAUAUAUAUAGUUAAAAAAAAAAAGAAGAAAACUUACUGUUUUAUACUAUACUCUUAUUAUUAAUUAUUGGUAUCGUUGAUGUAUCUGAACGUGUUAAUAUUUGUUGUUAGUGGUAGUAACAUUUUAAUUAUUUUAUUAUACAUUUAUUUGUUUAUUGUAAGUGGGCUGAUGAUUUUUAUUUGUUUAUUUUUUGAAAUUUUGUCUCAUUCUUUUGUUCCAUGUCAUGUUGGAAAAAGAGUUUGAAUAAACAUGUUUGGAGUAUCUAAAAAUAGCAUGUGUUAGGGUUAUAUGAUCCAAAUUUUAAGAGAUUAUUUGCAAGUCAAGUAAAAUAUAUAUUUUUAGAAAAUUUAGUAUUUAUUAAUAUAAUAUAUUUAGCAUUUAUUAGCAUAAUAUAUUUGACAUGGAUUAGAAUUAGGUUUUUUUUAACCUAUGAAUAGAUGUAGUUGAAACUCCUAUUGUAUCAUUUGAAUUCGACAUUACUUAGUGAAUUUUUUCUUCUUCUCUGUCUGUUAUUUUUUUCGAAAUGUUUUCACGUAAAAUUUGUAUGUUCUAUUUUUCUUUCUUUUUCUUUGCAAUCUUUCUACGUUAUAAUUAUCGAUGUUUAGUUUUUUACUGCACGUACGUGUUGUUGAUUUAAUCUAGUUGAACACUAAAUAAAGAGGAAUUUUUGUACCAAAAUUAUGAAGUGAUUAUCAUCAUCUUUAUGAAUGACAUGGUGAAGAAGUAGAGAAAUUUGAGAUGAUUAAAAAUUCUUUUUCUUAUCCAAUCAUUAUCUUUUAGGUGUAUUCGGAGCUGUUUUCAAAAUUAGAUAAGAUUAUUUACAUUAUUGUUAUCUUCUUUCUCUCAAGCCCUUUUUAUAGGAUUUCUUUUCCAUAUACUUUUUACUAAUAAAUCUUUUUAAUAUUUUAAGAUUUUGUUAGGAUUUUUUAUGGUUUGAAGUAGAAGAUUUUUUUUUUGGUACUAAGUAGAAAAUAAAAUGUUUGUGAGUUUGUGUCCACUCACUGAGCACAUCCAUUUACAUUAUAUGAGCUAUAUCCUAAGAAGUGGGAGUAAAAUAGGUAUGCCUUUAUGAUGUCCCUUCCAGUAAACAUAAGAAAAUACAUUCGCUCGAAUUAAACAUGUUUCCUAGUAUCCUACAAUGGGUGAUGAUUUGGGGUUUACUAAAGCAGAUAUAAUAAACCCUAAGAACAAACAAUUAAUGCAAUAACCAUAUAAAAUGGCGUUGGUUUGGAUACCCUUUGAUGUUUUGUCUUCGUUUUGGUGUUUGUUUUGGGGGUUGUGUCUCUUUGGGUUAGUUUUCAAUAUAUGUGUGUUGAUGAUGCAAUGAAUAAAGAAAUCAAAAGUUGUGCAGAAUUUUCAAUUUUGGAUGGCGCUGCAAUUAUAUUAUUAAGAGUAGUAGCUUUUUAUGUUUCUUUUAGAUGUACAUAUAUUUAUUAGGAAAGGGUUGAAGUUUUUUAUUUGUUUAUUAUUAGGGUUAAAUAUCAAAUUUAUACCUUAGUUUUGGUUUAAUUGUUCAAUUUGAUACAUAAAUUUUGAUUUUGUGCAAUUAUCUACAUGAAACUUGAAUUUUGGUUCAUAUAUAUAUAAAUCUUUGAUUUUUAUACAAUUGUACACAUUAAAGAAAUGAAUACAUAUAUUUACUUUCACAUUGGAUUAAUAUAAUUUUUUGUGUAUGAAAAAUAUCAAAGUAAAAUUAUGGUACUAAUUCAAUAAUAUUGUUUGUAAUUUGAAAAAAAUUGAAUUAAUAAAAUUAAAAUUUGCACAAAAUUAAAAUUCAUGUAUAAUAUUACAUAUUGGACCAAAGUUUAUGUCAUCUCUUAUUAUCAUAGGUGAUACAUGGAUUUAAUGGAGCUCAUAUGCUCAUAUAUAAAAUUGCGAAUUAAAAUUAAUGAACAUAAAAAAUGGGAUUUUAAUUUUUUUGUUUUUUUAAAUUAAAUUUAUAAUUAUAUCAAUAGUUACCAUUAAAAUUUAUUAUUAAAAAUAUCAAAUUAAAUAAAUAACUUAAAAUUGAACUUUUUAAAACUUUUUGAAUUUUUAAAUAAAUAACACACAUUUAUAUUUUUAAAACUUUUUGAAUUUUUGAGGAUUUUUGUCCCCAUUAUUGUAAAAUUUUAAAUUAAUUCCCAAAAUAUGUAUUAUGUAUUUAUGAUUGUGAACUUGAAACAUGGAUGCGGUUCAGAUCGCCUACCCGCAACCCGAUUGGGCCCUACCAGUGGGAUGCAUGCAUGUCUCGUGGUGGGAAUUAGCCAUAAGAGCUUGCAAGGAUGGUUCACAGUCCCAGUUUGCAUAUACCAUAGAGUUCGCGUGUGGAGGCUAUAAAAUGCAACGAGCAUUCCAGAAUAGUACACAUGUCCAACAUGCAUGAAUUUUACUAGAAACCUCAAUUCCAUUAACAUUAACAUGUAUAAAUACUCGAUUGACCCCUUCAAUGAGACACAAGGGAAAGUACCUAGAUAAUAUGCAAUGCUUAUGAUUAUUUUUGAAAUAUGUGUCCGAUGUUGAGAUUAAUGUAAAAUUUUAAACACAAUAAUUUUCGUGCCCUUUUGAGAUUAUGGAGGGAAAAGAAAAGAGAUCAACAAAUAUGAUACCUCAACACCAAUGAUGUUGAAGUUUGUUUUAUUAUUUUUGCUUUUUAGGGAUAAAUGUCAAAAUUAUUCAUGAAUAUUGAUGUAACCUGUUAUUUGAUACAUGAACUUUGAUUGGGUGUAAUUAUAUAAAUGAAACUUUAAUUAUUAUUCAAAUGUAUAUAUAAAACUAUAAUUUAACGCAAUCGCACAAAUUAUAGAGGAAAAUAUUCAUUGUAUCUUUCAUACAAGUUAAACUAUGAAAUUGAAGUUCCUUUGUUGCUCCUACUAAUACAAUUUCUUUGUUUAUCAUCUUUCCUAAUAUAUGACAAAUUUUUGCAGUAACCCAUCAAGAAAGUAUAUGCAGAAAAUCAAUCAUAAUAAUCUCACAAUUUUUGUAUUGUACUUUGAUGAAAUCCUCUUGAAAUUGCAGCUUAUACCAAAUACUAAAAUAGUUAUCCAUAUCACUCUUUUCUUUUCUUCUAUUUUUCUGAUAAAAGGAGAUUGCAUGAAGUAUAUUAUUUAUCACCCAAAAUAUUCCAACAAAACAAAAAAAUGGUAAUAUAUGUCGUAAGUUUACAUCUAAUUUCCAAUUGAUCUGAUAUAAAGGGAAGGGUGUAUUUCAAGAGUGAUGAUAUAUGUACAAACUGAGUAGUAGCUUAUACGGUACCUAUGCUAUUAACAGAUUCUUGGAGGCAUAAUAAUUAAUCGAGCGUGCAAUGUCCUCGCCAAGUUAUAAGUAAAUUCAAUAGAGGUUGGAGGCUAAAGGUUGAUACAUAAAAGAAGGGGAGGGGCAUAGUUCUGCUUCAAACAAAGCCCCAAAUUUAAUUAGCAUUUUGAGUUGUUAAAAUAAGUAAAUUCACCAUACUUUUUUGUUAGAUUUUGGCUCUCUUCUUCAGCAGAAUGUAGCGUACAGUACAAGAAGCAGGGACCGUCCUUUCUACCAUGAUUUGUUUUUCUGCCCACAUAUUCCAACAAAACGAAUAUGGUAAUAAAUGUCAUCAAUUUCCUUCUAAUUUCCAAUUGAUCUGAUAUAAAUGGUGUAAUUCAAGAGUACUUGUAUAAUAUAUAUGCCCAACUGAGUACUAGCUUAGAUGGAAUCUAUGCUGUUGACGGACUCUUGUAGGCAUGUUCGAGAGAGCUUAAACACAUUUGUAUUUUUCAGUGCUCCAUAGAAUAUUCUAAUGAGUGUCAAGUUCAUUAAAAAUGAUGUAAAAAGUAGUAUAAAAAUAAGCAAAAAGGAAAUUAAAUUAAAUAAACUAAUAUGAUGGAUUUCAAGCUUUAAGCUCGAUUUUGUUCCAAUUUCAAACCAAUGCACGAUAACAAGUCUUCUCCUUCAACCGAUAAGUCAGCUAUAGUGAUAGAGGAUGCCUCAGACCACCAAUCCUUCCACAUGUAAAUUAAUUACGAGAACGGCCAACAAUUAAUCCUUAUCGAACGAAAAACCACAAAACACACAUCCACGAUUUAGCUCUCCGGUAGCCUUGUGAGCUAAAAGGGUCCAUCUCGAACCAACAGCGUCAAUUACGCGAGCUGUUUAGAUCCGAUUGCUAACUUUUUAGUUGGACAUGCCAAUAUGUUCUUUGGAAGAUCAAAUACGACAAAUGAUCAAUCCGGUACUUCCAAUUGUACGUCUAUCAACACCAAAUUAACGAGCUCUUUUUAACAUGGUGUCAACACAACUUUGUGAGAUACCAGCGUCUAUCUCCUAAAUCAAAGAAACAACAAAUACCGAAAUAAAAGUUUUUAUGUAUAAAUUUGGAUCUCACAUCUCUCUACCGGAUUAUUUAUUUAGCUACUAAUGAAAAUAUAUGAAAUAAAAGUAUAAAUAAAAUUUUAAAAAUAUGGAAAUAGGAUUGCGGAUGGAAGAGAGAAGUAAUAAACAAGUAUGAAUAAAAGAGUGGGGCAAAUUUUCCAAUAAUAAAGAAAUAAAAAUCAUCACCCUUUAAAAAAGAGUGGGCCAAUCUCACUUUUACCCUUUAUAAAAUAGAUACCGUAAUGUUGCAAUUGAUAAUUCUGCCCAACUUGUUGUUCUCUAUUCAUAGCAUCAUGUGGUGCUAUUCAAGAAAAAUACAUUGAAAGCUGCAGGAAAUUUAUAAAGAAAGGCCGUCCGUUAACUAAGUUUUUAAUAUAAAAUUAGUAACUUUUUAUUUAAUUAUUACUUAGUGGGUGGGCGGUGACAUCUUUAAAAUACAAUAUUGACUCUACGGCUAAUGUAUGUACGUAUGUAUUAACGCUUGAAUUUCAUCUUGUUCGAAUCAUUUCACUCUUCCUCCUCCAAUAAUCAAACACUUCUUGCUUGCCAUCAAUGGCUGAAGCAAUUGCUUUCGAUAUUGCUGGAGAGCUCAUUACUAAGUUGAUCUCUAGAGCUCCCUCUCAGAUUGGAGUAUGGUGGAAUUCCAAAGAUGACCUCGAUGACUUCAAACGCACCCUCUCUACAAUCAAAGCUGUGCUUCUUGACGCCGAACAACGAUAUGUGGAACGCACCCCCUAAUUUUUUUUUAAGCUCAUAAGAGUUCUUUUUAUUGAAGAAAUAUCAUGAGAGAGCUUAUAAUUAAAAUUAUGUUAUAUAAUAAAUAUAUAUAAGUAAAAGAAAGGAAAGAAAUAAAAAUGGAAAUCAAAUUGAAACUAUCCAUAAAUUUUGGUCUAAUAUGUAAUGUUAUAUUUAAAUUUUGAGUUUAAGCAAUUUUAUAAAUGAAAUGUUAAUUUGAAUCAAUUUUCACAAACGAUUAACAUCGUUAUUUAUAUACUUUCAUUUUAUAUGUACGUAUUAUAUACAUAAAUAAUUAUAUUUAUCUAAUAUAAAAAUAGAUUAAUGCAUUCAUUUCGGUAAAUGUAUAUAAUUGAGUCAACAUCAAAACUUUAUGUAUAUAUUUAAACCACAAUUAAAGUUUUAUUUGUAUUAUUAUACCAAAAUUAAAAUUCAUGUAUCAAAUCACACAUUUCACCAAUGCCUAUAAAUAAUUUUGAUAUUUUUCUAAAAAAAAGUAAAAAAUAAAAAAAAUAGACUUCGACACCAUUGGUGUCGUGGUUGGAAGUAAUAUUUGUCCAUCUCUUUUUUUUUCCUCCCUAAUCUUUUGGAACUUGCUAAAAAAUGACGUCAGCAUUAUUCCUUGUGUUGGAAUAUUGUCUAAAACACUAAAAUCCAUAAAUGUUUUAAUAAUUUUUGAGUUCGCAUGUAAUAUGCAACAAGUAAAAUAAAAAGUACAACUAAGAUGAUUACAUAGUUUGAAAUUCAAUUGUCAGGCCUUAAUCAGAGAGAUCAAUCCAUUAUAAAUUUUACAAUACAAAUAAAUUGUUCAAACCUAACUUGGUGCAACCUUACCAUUCUACAAUUAUGUAAGCUCUUCCAACUCUCUUUACCUAUUGUAAGUGAAAAUCAACACUCAAUAAUAGUUCCUCAAUUAUGUAUCAGAUGUAGUUUGAGUUCAAGUCGCUCUAGUCACGUUAUUGUUAAGGCUUUCACCUCCUAUUGUAAUUAAAAAUAAUAAUAUUAAUAAUAAGAGUAUAGUUAAUUGUUACCAAAAGUGAAGUUAAAUUACCAAAGCUCGAUGCAUGGGUUCGUGUUUAAGCACUUCAAUAUUACAUAGCUCUUCUCUCUAUCUAAUUUUAACAAAAACGAUGAGCCUUUUGAGAAAUUUGUGCCAAAUUUUUUGACUUUUGUCUGCCAUGUGGUGAUUCCAUGUGGCCAUGUCCGACCAAUUAACAUUACUUUUAUGAAGAAUUAUAUUUUUAUGAUAAAAAGUUUUAUCAAGAUUUAUUAAUGUUUAUUAACAACGUUUUAUCAUUAGUGAUUUCUCUUAAUAAAAUUUAAUUUUUGAAUUAUUUAUAAUCAAUAUUAAAUUGAAAGAGUGUGUCAAGUUAAUAGUUAAAAUGUUAAAUAUUUUUUUUUAUAAUUAAGACCAAAUUGAUAGAAUUCAUAAAUACUGAAAGGCUAAAUUUAUUAUUAUGCCAAUAAAAAAGAUAAUGUCAAUAUACAAAAUGAUAUUUUAAUGAUUUCCCAAUUGAUGAUGUUUAAUUAACUCAUAACCCCAACUCUUUCAAAUGUUUGAUAUAAAUAGAAAUAGAUGCCUUGUAGAAACAGAAUGCAUAAACAAAUCGCUUAAUGAUUAAUUUAGUUCUCAAUGAUUAUAUUUUUUUUACCAAGUUAACCCUUAUUCCUAUGUUGAACUAUGGCCUCAACCAUUUAAAGAGAUUCAAAUUACUUUUUUUUUAAUGAAUAUGUUGACUAAAACAUAAAUUUUUUAACAAUGUUGAUGUGACAAUCUACAUGGUAGACUAUGUGUACUUCAUGUUAACAUGACAUUAUUUUUAUUAUAUGUCAUAUCAAUAAAUAAUUUAAAAAUUAUAAAAUAUUUUUAAAAAAUAAAAAUAAAAAUAAAAAAAUAUAAAUAGUGUAAAGCCCAAAAUCUGCCCGGGCCCAUACCAGCCAAAGAAACCCAAAUAAAAACAAAAACAGUCCAUUAACAGCAAGUUUAAACCUAAAAAAAUUACAAAUCCCAACCCAAGCCCACAGCAUUAACAUUUUCAGCAGAAAGGCAUAGCAAACCCUAGCCUCAAGCUAGCCGCCGCUUUUGCCCAAUGCCUCCUCGCGCAUGCCUUCUGCCACCACCGUCGACCUCGUCUCACACCUGCAGAAAAGAAUGAAUGCAAAACAACAGGGGAAUACAAAGAAAUAAAGAGCAAAAAAAACAAAAAAGAUGGAAAUGAACAGUUGUAAUAUGGCUAUAAAAGUCAAAAAAUGCUCGUUGUACAUUUUUUACGCACACAAAAGAAUCGAAAGCAGAAAACCGAAAUUCAAAAGGUUGUUUUUUAAUUGUUCUCUUAGUUUUUUAUAUAUUUAUUUUUUAUUUUAUAUACCUAUAUAUAUUUAAAAAAAACAUUUUAAAGUAAUCGGCAAAGAAAAUAGAAGGAAGAAAACUUACCUGAAUCUGGCCCGCCGCCCCACCGUCGGCGGUCCUUCGCCGUCGCCGGAUUCGGAUUCAAAGGGAGAGAUCGGGCCAUUUCCUUUCGGACCCUCGAAUCAAGAAGGCCCCGACCCUUGAAUACGCUGAAGCGGGGGCUGACGAGGCCAUCUACUCGUCGCUGGCCUUGGGUCACGGAGGAUGCGGCCGCUGCGGCGGCGACCAUGGCCGGCCGAGGGUGGGGUUGAGAGAAACCGAGAGAGAGACCAAAGGGGUUCUCUCUGUUUUUUUUUUUGAAAAUGUGAUUAAAGUGUUUUUUUUGUUUUGUUUUUUUGCAAUUUAUAUAUGGCAUUAAACGGCGCCGUUUGAAGGCUUGGAGGGCUGCCCAUCAUUGCCCUAAUAGGUAUUUUACGCAAUUAGUCCCUCAAGUUCUGUGGCACAUUCGAUGCACUCUUUUAUUUUACUCAAUUUCGGCCACAGAAUUUUGCGCCUGAUUCAAUCUGGUCCUGUGCAGACCAACGCGCAUAAGGGACGGGGAAUAUUCACAAUCAGUCCCCCAUAUCCUCAGCGCAAUUUAUUUCGGUCCCCCUAGCCACCUGUUUCAUGUAUUUGCAGUUUAAGACCCGUUUUUUUAAUUCUGUUUCAACCACAUCCUUAAUAUGUUUAAUUUUUUUUUUAUAUAUGCUAUUUUAUCAUUAUUUGUUUUAAGCCUUUAUAUUUAUUAUUUAUCUGAAAUUGUUUUGCAUUAAAAUUUUUUAUAUAUUUUUCUAAAAAAACUGUUCCUUUUAUUGUUUAAGAUUUUCUUUUGUAUAUUGUUUUAUUUUAAACUAUUUUAGAUUGACUAGUACUUAUUUUAUUUAUUUAUUUGGUUUAAAUUUAUAUAUUAUCAUCUUAUAUAUUAUUAUCUAUAUUAAAAUAUUUUAUAUUAAUAAUUUCAAAUUGUUCAUACAUUUUUAUAAUAUAUAUUUACGUACAUACUUUUCAUUCAUUAUAAAUAUAUACUUUUUAUAUUUUAUAUUUCAUAUUUUUAUAUACAUAGAUAUACGUAUAAAUAUUUUAAUUCAUAUAUAUAUAUAUAUAUGUACUUGUACAUGCUUAAAUAUAUUUUUCAUAUUUCAUAAUUCUUAUAUACUUACUUAUAUGUAUACAUAUUUUACUUCAUAUACAUAUAUUUUUAUAUUAUUACACAUACACAUGCAUACAUACAUAUAUUCUAUUCUUAGUUUUAUUUAUUUGUUUCAUUGUUUUGGUGUUUUGCGUGAUGUUUACCUUUUCUUAUUACGUGUCUCCUAUUUUCAUCUUAUUUUAUUUUGUGUUGCUUCAUUUAUUGCUGCUGCAAUUUAAUUAUCAAUAUCACAUCAUUAUUAUUGUUGUAUCCCAUUAUUUAUCUUUUAAAUAUUUCGUCCACACGGUUACUUUACAUUAUUUCACUAUUAUUGUAUCUUACAUUAUGUUUUAGAAAAAACAUAUUUGUUUGCUUCCAUGUUUAAUAAACUAAGCAUAUAUCAUGUUAAAUAUCACGUUAGUUCUUACUCAAAAUUCAUCAAAAGGAAAAUUUAUCUAAAUAAGGAAAUAUUUUGUUUUUAGAAAAUCGAGAAAAUGUACCCUAACGUACUGGGUUUCGAUUUCUUGUUCGACCAAAUAGCCAAAUAUCCUUUCAAUAAUUUCAAAACAAGGUAAUAUUUUGUGUUUGGAAAAUCGAAAAAACGUGCCCUAACUUGUUGGGUUUCGAUUACUCGUUUGACCAAAUAGUCGAAUAUCCUUUCGAAAUUUCAAAACGAGGCAAUGUUUUGCGUUUGGAAAUUCAAGAAAACGUGCCCUAACGUGCUGAGUUUCGAUUUCUCAUUCGACUAAAUAGCCAAAUAUCCUCUUAAAUCUCAAUCCACGUCGUUCAAAUUUUUAAGGAUCGUACUUUAAAUCUCUUUAAAAGUUUUCAAUAUUUGACAUCAAGACAUCAACUAAUCAACUAGGUACCAAUUUUUGGGCGUUACGAGGGUGCUAAUCCUUCCUCGUACAUAACCGACUACCGAACUCGUUUUUCUGAAUUUCGUGGACCAUAAUCGUUGUUUUAAUAAAAUUAAAUUUUAAGGUGAUUCGAUCACACCUUAUCAAAAAAGAUUGAUGGCGACUUCCCAUUUUUUGUUUUUUUUUAAAUUUAAAUUGACCCCGUUUUAUAAAAAAAAUAGUGUCAACAAAUAGUUCAUGAAAUUCUAAAAAAUUAACAUGAAACACAUGUGGAUUGCUAGGGUCACCAUAAAUAAAAAUUUAGCAUUUUAAGCUAUUUUUCAUUAAAAAAUAAUAGUUUAACUCUUUUUAAAAAGUUGAAGCAAAACUUUACUCAAUAAAAUGGAAGGAAAUGUUAAUGCAAAAUUUAUCAUUGUUCCUAAACAAAUAGGAGGCUAACAUAUAGCAUAAAAAAAUAGUGACUAAGAUUUUAUUUGAUAAAUAAAAACUGAUGUCGUAUAUAAUUGAUAGAAAAUAAAUAUGUUAAAUUAAUAAAUUUUGAAAGAAACUAUCAAAGAGGAUAAUGAUUGGACUUAAACUUUUAAAUUGAAAAAGUUGGGAUAAUUGAAUUUUUAAUUUUUGAAAAGUUUGGGAUCACCAUUUCCCACCAAUCAACAUUAUUUGUAAAUUACUUGGUCUCUACGUGUAUGUAUUCAAAUCUGUGUUUCAUCUUGUUCCAAUAAUUUCAGUUCUCCUCUUGCAGUAAUCAAACACUAUUUUCCCUUGAUUUCAGUUCUUCAAGCCAAACUUUGACGAGAUUGUCGGUCACCGAUUUCUCUUCUGCGUCAAGAAGCACAGCUUUGAUUUGGCAGACAGUGCGUUUGAGGUCGUGGAUGUCAUGUUUUAGAUUCCACCACAGCCCAACUUGAGAGAGAGCACGAGAGCUCAACUUAAUAAUGAGCUCUGCCGCAAUGUCGAAAGCAAUUGCUUCGGCCAUUGUUGGUUCAAACUGAAAUCGAGGCAAAAAGUGUUUGAUUAGUGAAAGAGGACUAAAAUGAGAAUGAUUCCAACAAGAUGAAACACAGAUGUGGAUCCAUCCACCCAGCAAGUAGUAUAAUUAAAUAAAAAGUAAUGUUGAUUGGUGGGAAGUGGUCCCUCCAUGUUUACUGAUUGACACAAAUUUCUGAAUGGAGACAAAGUUGGGAUGAUGACACUUGGGGUGCUCUGCACAAUGUGGAGCCGUACAAAUAAUUGAAAUUAAUGAAAAAGCUACGAAAGAAAAGAGAAAAAGGAGACAAAUCCCAUGGAAUCCAAGGUGUUUUGAUUGAGGCCCAUGCAUUCAAUUCUUUCUAAAACUUCUUCCCACUUUGUGUAAUUAGUGAGUCUGAAUACUUGGCUCUAACUUAAAUUUAAUAUUUUUAUUUUUGAGUUUAACUUCGGUUGAAUAUAUAAAAUAAAAAUUCAAUAAAAUUCAUUCGCCAUUAAAAUUAAAUAUUAUUAAAUUUAAAUCCGAUUAAAUCAAUAAUUUAAACAUAAUUUAAUGAUUAUUGAAUUAAAUUUAAAUUUUUUCGAAUCAAAUUUAAUUAACUUACGAAUAAUUAUCAUGUACACUUUUCUCACCCACUUACUUAGCUUUAAUUUUGUCUUUUAAGGUAACUUGGUGUCUACAGUUAUAUAUUACAACAAUGGUUACCAUCCAUUACUACUUUAGUAUACUCUUAUUAUUAAUGUUUUUUAUAUUAAUGGGUGUGUUAAUUGUAUUUGCUAUUAAUUUUUUUAUAUAAUAUUAAGAGUGGGGAUGGAGGUAAUAUUGUUUGAAUCUAUGUCAAACAGGUAUUAACAAGAGUUUUAACUACCGUUCCUUGCAAGUCAAGACAUAUUUGUUAUUAAUAGUAGUAGCAUUUUGUUUUUUUUUAAAUAUACAUAUAUUUAUUAAGAAAGGAUCAAAGCUUUUGAUUUGUUUAUUAUUAGGGAAAAAUUUAAAUUUAUACAUGAAUUUUAGUUCAAUGAGUAAUUUGAUACAUGAAUUUUGAUGUGGUAUAAUUUCCACAUGAAACUUGUAUUGUGGGUCAUAUAUAUAUGCAUGAAAUUUCAAUUCUGAUUCAACUGUAUACAUGUAAAAAAAUACAUACAUAUAUAUUUUUUACAUUAGAUUAAUAUAAUUGUUUGUCUAUACAAUAUAUCAAAGUAAAAUGUAAGAGGUUGAUUUGGCAUAUCCCAAAACAUUUUGUUAUAGCUUGGAUGGUCAUUCUUGACAAGUUGCCUAUCACCGGCGAAGCCUAAUAGAGACUCCUAAAAUGGUAAAUUUUUAAUUUAGUCCUUUUAUAAUUUAUAAAAUUUUAAAUUAAUAAUGAUAAAAUUAUAAUUUAGUCCUCUAAAAAAUUAUAAAAGUUUAAUUUAACUCUUAAAAAAUUAUAAAGAUAUACCACUAUAACAAUAUAUAAUUUAAUUUCGAGUAAAAAUUGUUUUAGCUCGGCUAUGGGAAUGUAUUUUAUUGGAAUUGAAGAAAAAUUAUUACUUAUACCAUCAUGAAGAUUGCUUCCACUGCUCAUAUCUAUUUAAUUAUUUUAAUACACAUAAAUUUAUUUAUUGUGAGUUGGAUGAUUUUGUUUUGUUUAUUUAAGAUAUUUUAUUUUUAAAUAUAUUCUUAAUUAUUUAUUUUACAUAUACAUGUAUUUUAACUUAAUAUAUUUAAUAGUGAUUUUUUUUAAUAAAAAAAUGACUCAAAGGUCACUACUUUAUUUUAAGUUGCAUUAUAAAUUAUAAUGUUAUGGAUAUCGCUAAGAUAAUAUAUCUCACAAGACAAAUUACAACACUUAGAAAGAGCCCAAUUACAAAGAGAAUCGACUAAUUUGUUACAACCAUGUUUCACCCAUUUGACCUUGGUGGAAACAAAAGAAUCAAGCAUCUUGUGAGUUCUUUGAUGCAGUGACCAAGGAUCGUUAUGUCCUCCUUGUGAAAACUAAAGCAAUAGACAAUGCUAGCACAAUUUGUUUCAUAAAAGACAUUAUCGGCUUCAAGAAUUUGAGCAAGCCGAAAACCAUUGAUGAGGGCAUCUAAUUCCGCUUUAAUAGUAAUUUUUUAUUCUCAUUUUAUCAAUAUAUUUACAUUUGAAUUCAAAUACAUAUUCUACAAUUAACUUUAAUCUCACUGUUAUAAUACUUAACCUCACUAAAUUACUUGUUUAACAUGAUUAUGAUGAAUUUAUAGAAAGAACAAUCACGAAGCAAAUGCGGAUGCACUUAUGUUUAAAGUGUUAGUAAUGGAAAUUUUAUUAUUUUGAAAAAUAAAAGUAUAAUAACUUUUUUGGCAUUCCAACUUUAUAAAAGAAUUAUUUUAGCUCUUUGUUGAUUUUCCUUAUCUUUUAGUCUUUGAACUUACAUUUUUUUUUGUCAAACCAUCCAAAAUGGGUGAAAAAGUUAGCGUUUGUUAACUUUGUUGACUUGACAUAUAGGUUAAUUACCACGUGUAUGUCACAUUAACAAUUAAUUAUUUUAAAAAAAUUAAAAAGUAUUUUCUUAUAAUUUUUUAAUUUUUAAAAUAUAUUUUUGAUUUUUUAAAAUUUUAAAAAAUUAAUUAAUUACUUAUGUGUCAUAUACGUGACAAUCUGCAUGUAUAUCACAUCAGUAAAAUCAACAGACGUUAAUUUUUCACUCAUUUGGCGGUGAUUUAACCAAAAUUACAAGUUUAAAAACUAAAAAAACGAAAAAUUCAAUGAAAAGUUGAGAUAAAUUUUUCUGUAAAGUUGGAGACCAAAAGAAUCAUUAUGGCAAAAAAUAGUUGUUUUUCUUCUCUCUCUCUCUCUCUUUUGGCAUCUUUUAGUGCUAAAAUUCAAGAUGGUGUGGAAUAGUUUCUAAUCUUUUUAUUGCUAUAUAUGUUUUCAAUUUCAUUAGAGCAAAUCUCACUAUUUAUAUAAAGAGAGCCUAAAUUUAAUUUGUUCAGCUUCUAUUAAACAUGUUAGUGCUCCUUUGUAUGAUUAUUUACCUCCUGUGAGUAGGGUUGAGUAAAAAUAAAAUAAAAUAAUUGAAAAUCGAUCCAAAUCAAGGUGUUUAGAUAGUUUAUGGAAUACAAAUUAAAAAAUCACAAUUAUCCGAAAUGAACUAAAUUCUAUUCUUCAUUUAAUUUAUAAAUAUUUUUUAUAAUAUAAAAAUAAAUCUUUUAUAUUUAAAAAUGGUGAAAAUAAAUAAAUAAAUUUUAAAAAUAUUAUAAAAAAUUAUUUGAUUAUUUUUAUUUACUUUUAUCAAGAAUUAUAUUUUUAUGAUAAAAAGUUUUAUCAAAAUUAUUAAAGUUUAUUAACACAGUUUUAUCAUUAUUGAUUUCUCUUAAUAAAAUUUAAUCUUUGAAUUAUUAAUAAUCAAUAUUAAAUUGAAAAGAGUGUGUAAAGUUAAUAGUUAAUAUGUUAAAUUUUUUAUAAUUAGGACUAAAUUGUUAGAAUUUAUAAAUAUUGAAAGGCUAAAUUUAUUAUUAUGCCAAUAAAAAAGAUCAUGUCAAUAUACAAAAUGAUAUUUUAAUGAUUUCUCAAUUGAUGAUGUUUGAUUAACUCAUGACACCAACUUUUUCAAUAUACAAAAUGAUAUUUUAAUGAUUUCUCAAUUGAUGGUGUUUGAUUAACUCAUGACACCAACUUUUUCAAGUGUUUGAUAUAAAUAGAAAUAAAUGCCUUGUAGAAUCAUAAUGCAUAAACAAAUCGCUUAAUGAUUAAUUCAGUUCUCAAUGAUUAUAUUUUUUUGCCAGUUUAACCCUUAUUCCUUUGUUGAACUAUGGCCUCCGCCAUUUAAAAAGAUUCAAUUACUUCUUUUAAAUGAAUAUGUUGACUAAAACCUAAAUUCUUGAACGAUGUUGAUGUGGCAAUCUGCAUGGUAGACUAUGUGUACUUCAUGCUAAUAUGACAUUAUUUGUCUUAUAUGUCACAUCAAUAAAUAAUUUAAAAAUUAUAAAAUAUUUUUAAAAAAUAAAAAAUAUAUAAGUAGUUAAUGAAAUUCUAAAAAAUUAACAUAAAAUACAUGUGGAUUGCUAUGGGGGUCACCAUAAUUAAAAAUUUAGCAUUUGAAAUAAUAUUUUUAUUAAAAAUAAUAGUUUGAUUAUUUUUAAAAGGUUGAAGCUAAAUUUUACUCAAUAAAGUGGAAGGAAAUGUUAAUGCUAAAUUUAUCAUUGUUCCUAAACAAAUAGGAGGCUAACAUUUAGCAUCAAAAAAUAGCUACUAAGAUUUUUUUGAUAAACUAAAAACUGAUGUCGCAUAUGAUUGAUAGAAAAUAAACAUGUUAAAUUGAUAAAUUUUAAAAAAACUAUCGAAGAGUAUAAUGAUUGGACUAAAACUUUUUAAAUUGAAAAAGUUGGGAUAAUUGAAUUUUUAAUUUUUGAAAAGUUUGGGACCACUUCCCAUCAAUCAACAUUAUUUGUAAAUUACUUGGUCUCGACAUGUAUGUAUUUGUUGAAGUUGGUCAGCAUGAAGCCAACACUCGAUUUCAUACAGGCCAUGAAGACCAAGCAAAGCUGGAACAGAUGCAAGGGCUGCUGAUGCAAGCUCAUUUUGUUCAUUUUGUUAUAUUUAGUUGAUGAAAUGAGUGUUAGUUCAUUUCUAACUAAGUUAGCUUUCUGAUUGAUGUAAUUAGCUUAUGUAUGAGCUGUAAACACACUUUUGUAUAAGUUUACAAGCUAAGAUUUCAAGUUUCUAUGUAAUUAGUGGAGGUAGGUAAUUACUUGUUGAUUUUGACAAGCCUUAUGCUUGAGUUAUGUACUGGCUUCAAGCCAUUGUUUUUAUGUAUGAAUCAAAUCAGUUUUGUUCAUCAUUAUUCUCUCAAAUUUCCCUAGCUUAUUUUCUUCUUUCUUUAACUCGAAAUUGUUUGUUUGCUCAGCAAGUUUCGAGGCUUGCUCGACAAGAUACUUGCUGAGUCUGCUUGAUUCUAUUGUUGCACCAACAGUAUUCAAAUCUGUGUUUCAUCUUGUUCCAAUAAUUUCAGUUCUCCUCUUGCAGUAAUCAAACGCUAUUUUCCCUUGAUUUCAGCUUGAACCAUCAAUGGCCGAUGCAAUUGCUUCCAAUCUCGCCACAGAGCUCAUUAAGUUGCGCUCUCGUGCUCUCUCUCAAAUUGGACUCUGGUGGAAUCUCGAACAUGACAUCUUCGACCUCGAACUCACUGUCUAUACAAUCAAAGAUGUGCUUCUUGACGCAGUAGAGAAAUCGGUGACCAGCGAUCUCGUCAAAGUUUGGGUUGAACAGGUGACCGAUGCACUUUAUGAUGCUGAUGACUUGCUCGAUGAUUUCUCUACUGAAGCUUUGCGGAAAGAUCUGAUGAGUGGGAACAAGCUGACAAAAGAGGUACGCCUUUUCUUCUCAAGCUCAAACCAGUUUGCUUACAGCCUCAAAAUGGGGCGGAAAAUUAAGGCUAUUAAGGCCAGAUUAGCUUCGAUUGGAAGCAAGGCCAAGAUGUUCGGCUUGGUAAACCGUGAUUGUCCUGUGGAAACUUCUUUCAUGACCAAAAAGAGGCAGCAAAUGCACUCUUUUGUGCGUGAAGAUGAAAUAAUAGGGAGGGAUAAUGAUAAAGCAGCUCUUCUAGAACUCGUGUUAGGGUUUCAAAGUGAAGAGAAUCUUUAUAUCAUUCCAAUUGUGGGAUUUGGAGGGUUAGGGAAAACUACAUUGGCAGGACUUGUUUAUAACGAUGAAAUGGUUAAACAAUGUUUUGAGUUGAUGAUGUGGGUGUGUGUUUCAGAUGUUUUUGACGUGAAAGCAAUUGUAAAAACCAUUAUUGAGUGUGUGACUUACAAAGCACUAGAUCAAAAUCUCGGUAUGGACCAAUUGCAAAAACAACUUCGAGAUGAAAUUGAUGGGAGAAAAUAUUUGCUUGUUUUGGAUGACGUUUGGAAUGAGGAUGUGCAACAAUGGUUAAGCUUAAAGAAUUUACUGAUGGGUGGGGCUAGAGGAAGUAAGAUAAUACUAACUACUCGCUCUAUGAAGGUAGCAAAAAUUACUAGUAAUUGUCCACCCUAUGUUUUGAAAGGUUUGUCUGACGAUGAUGCUUGGUCUUUGUUCAAAAAGAUAGCAUUUAAGGAAGGAUAUGCAGACUCAACAAAUUCAGUCUUUGUGGAAAUGGGGAAGCAAAUAUCGGAAAACUGUGCUGGAGUUCCUUUAGCCAUAAAUACAAUAGGUGGUAUGUUAUCUUUUAAGGGAACUCUAAUUGAGUGGCAGUCUUUCCUAGACAGACAACUUAGUAGAAUAUCCCUAAGAGAAAAUGAAAUUUUAGAUUCACUUGGGCUAAGUUACAGUCAUCUCCCAUCCCAUUUAAAGCUUUGCUUUGCUUAUUGUGGAUUGUAUCCAAGAGGCCAUGCGAUUGAUGUACAAACACUUGUUCAAUUUUGGAUUGCACAAGGUUUUGUAAAGCAAUCAAAUCCGAGUCAAUCUCUUUAUGAGAUUGGAUUUGGGUAUUUUAAAGAUUUAGUUGAAAGAAGCUUCUUUCAAGAAGUAGGGGAAAGAUAUUCGGGGGAAGGACUAACAUGUAAAAUGCAUGAUUUAAUGCACGAUCUAGCUAUAUUUGUAGCAAAGACAAAUAGCAUUGUUGUAGAUUCAAAUUUUAGUGCAGGGGAGGUUGGUGGCAAAUGUCGUCACAUAUCUGUUAAUCCUUCAUUAAUUCCUUUGAUUAAAGGAAAGAGGUUGCGAACCUUGUUACAUUUUCCAAACAAGAGAGAGGAAAGCCAACAUAUGAGUGAUGAAACUUGGGAUUCAAUCAUUUCAAAUUGUAUACACUUGCGUGUAUUAAAAUUAGAUAAUUUAGAUAUUAAUAAAGUUCCACGGUCCAUUCAUAAAUUGAAACAUUUGAGAUAUCUUGAUCUUUCUAACAAUCCUAAGCUUAAGAUCUUGCCUAAGGGUAUUUGCAAGAUACAAAAUUUACAGGCGCUAAAACUUGAUUGGUGUAGUCAACUUAAAGAAUUGCCAAAGAAGAUUGAAAAUUUGGUGAAUCUUACCCAUAUUACGUGUGAACAAUGUCAUAGUUUAACUCAUAUGCCACGUGGAAUAGGGGUGUUGACUUCCCUUCAGACAUUAAGUGGAUUUGUAGUGGAUAAAGAUGGUUCUCAUGGUGGUGCAGAUCUAAGUGAAUUGAGUGGGCUUAACAACCUAAGGGGACAACUAAGAAUUAAAAAUUUGGGAUUUGUGAAAAAUGCAAAAGAGAUAUUUAGGGCUGCUAAUUUGAAAGAGAAGCAACAUUUGCGAUCGUUGGUUUUAGUAUGGAGUGGUGAUAGUGAUGAUGACGACAAGUCACUUGAAGACCUACAACCCCAUCCAAAUCUGGAGUCGUUGCUUGUGAUAGGGUGGAGAGGAGAUGCCAAGUUUCCAAGUUGGAUUUCUUUGCUCACAAAUCUUGUAAAUAUUUCCAUAUGGGGUCCUAGUAAAUUCAAACAUCUCCCUUCCUUUGCUCAAUUGCCUUGUCUUCAACACCUAUUCGUUUUGGAUUUGGUUGAGCUCGAGUACAUGGACAAUAACAACCCCAAUGGAAGACAAGGGGACCUGGAAUCAUUUUUCCCAUUGCUCAAGCGUCUUCACAUCCAAAAUUGUCCAAAUAUGAAGGUUUGGUGGAGGAGAAGGCCGAUAGAUGAUGAUAACGAGGAUGACACAACAGUUAUAGGAACAUCAACCAUUGCAUUUCCUUGUCUUUCCCAUUUACAUAUUGAAGAUUGCCCUUUGACUUCAAUGCCGUUGUAUCCAUCACUUGAUGAACUAAUAUUGGUCAAUACCAGUUCAAGGCCAUUAAAGCAGACCCUUAAGAUGAACACCACCAGUAUAUCACCAUCAACUUCAACCCCUUCUCUUCCUCUCUCCAAAUUGAGCUCUUUCCACGUACAGAAUAUCGAGGAACUGGACACGAGCAUGCUAGAUGAGUGGCUUCAACAUCUAACAAAUCUGCAACAGCUUUAUCUCAUUGAUUUGCCCAAUUUAACAUCGCUUCCGGACGAGAUGGUUCGCCUAACUAAUUUGCAACAGUUAAAUAUAGAUGGAGUUCCUCGGUUGGAGCAAAGGUGUGAGAAGCACAUUGGUGCCGAUUGGUAUAAGAUUGCUCACAUCCCUGAAGGUUGGACUUUUCAUUAAUUUCCUUAUUGAAAUACUGCUCCUACUAGUACUAAUUCUUUAAUUAUCAUUUUUCAUAAUAUUUUUGCUAAUUUGUGCAGUAACCAACGGCCUGGGUAUUUAUUCUGAAAGGCAUUUGACAACUUGAAGAAAUUAGAUGCAGAAAAAAGAGGAGGUAAUUACUUAAUUGCUUUACAUUUUGAAAUCAUAACAUUCUCACAAUUUCAAAUGAUCUAAUAUAACCCCCUAACUAAGCUUCUUCUUUUUCAGCAUGAGUUCAAUGGAAGAGCCAAAAAACAGGACAUGCAUUCUUCAUCAGCUGAUCUGUCCAUGGCAUUGUACUCCCAUGAAAUCGUCAUCUGUAAGCACGUUUGUUCUUUCUUUUUCUUUUUUUUCUUUGUUGAGGAGUCCCUCUGAUGAUUUAAUCCUAUUUUUUGUUAGAUUUUGGCUCUCUUCUUAUGCAGAGCAUAGCAUAUAUUACAAGAAGCGGAGGCCAUACUUUCAACUACGAUUUGUUUAUCUGCCAAAAUAUUCCAACAAAACAAAAAUGGUAAGAUAUGUCAUCAGGUUCCAUAUAAUUUUUCCAAUUGAUUUGAUAUAAAGUAUAUAUAUGGAGUAUUUCAAGAGUAGUAAUAUAUAUGCUAACAGAUUACUAGCUUAUAUGGUACCUAUGCUAUUGACAGAUUGAGUCGUGUUGGAGAGAGCUUAAACACGAAAUGUCAUUGUCAAGUAAGUAAAUUGAAUAGGGGAUAGAGGUUAAGGGUUGAUGAAAAUGGAGGGGGAAGAGGGGAACUUUGAUGCAGGGCACCCCUUUUAGCUGUUUGAAUUUUGAAGGUUGAAUCAGGAAAGAAUCUUGCUUCAGAAUAUUCGGUGGUGAGGUUGAGGUUGAUAAAAUGUUUCCAUUAUUUAUAGAUGAACAACAAUAUAUUAAACUUACAUAUUAACACUAACGGGGAUGUGAAUUUGUUACCAUUACAGAUGAUGAUGAUGAUGAUGAUGAUGCCCAAUGUUUGCCCUUUCGUAAAACUUGCACUGGAAAAUCAUAGAGAAUGCCUUUGUGGUUAGCCACCAUUCAUGCACAUAAUAUAAAGUUCUAUUUAGUAACAGUAAGUGUUUCUUCUACAUUAGGACACUGCUCAGUCUAAAUGACAUAAAUUUUAACAUAAUAUGUAUUGGCAUUUAUAAUUUGCAGGUUCAUUGUUGCUAUAUAGAGAAAAUUAAUGGGCUAGAAUCCACCUUAAAGACAUUGAUAUCCUUAGCUCUCAAAGAAACACCCUGCCAUUACCUACGUUCUUCCUUUCUUUCUUUCGAGAAUUGCAAUGUCUCAUCGCAUUGAGAUUCCAGAAGAAAUGCUUAUGUAAAGCUUGGUUGAUCCUGGAGCUUAUAUAUAUAGAUGAUUUGUUUCGUGGGUGAUGUAUGGAUUUAAAGGAACACUUGGUGAGGAACUAUUAUUGAGUGCCACCUUCUGAGUGUUACUUUUCCUUUGCAUAGCUAAAGUAAGUUGGAAGAGUGUUUACUUAAUUGUGCAAACGUGAGGAUGCACCAAGUUUGGAGGGUUGGGCGUAAAUCAUUUAUUUGUACUGUGAAGUUGAUAGUGAAUUUAUUUUUGGGCAAGACCCCGCAGAUGUAGGACGAGUUCCGAACUGCGUAAACAUCUUGAUUAUAUUUUUUUAUUCUUCUUUAGUUUUACUUUUGUGUGUCAGAAAAACAAACAUUUUUAUUUUUCGGAGUUUCAAAUAAUGUUCCAACACAUGGAAACACAACUAAUUAUCAGGCAAUUUCGUGUACAUUAUGUAAGACUAUCAUUUAAUGAAAGCGCUUCAGUACCUAAUUAACAUGGCUGAAAAUAUGGAUGCCUGCCCUGCAACAGUUGCAACCCCUUUUAGCUUGUUACAAAACAACUAUACCUAGAUCCAAUGUCUUCUUUUAUCUUCAAUUAAAUUUUGUAUUUUAGGAAUUUUACUUUCAUUGAAGAAGAAAAUUUUGGGUAAAAUUAAUAUUAUAUGAAUAAAGUUAGCUUAGCUCAACAACUCAAGCUUGCAAGGGGAGAAGAGAUAUCUAUAUAUAUUUGAUUUUUGCCUUGUGAGCUAUUUUCAAUUGAAUAAAGGUAAAGUCCACUAACCCCAUUGAUAUUUUUAUUGAGAAGAGGAAAAAAAAAUUGACUAUAUAGGAUUAUCAAUAAAAGUCAAUUUUACUUUUAUUUUGGAUUGAUAGAUUCUAGAUUGCGUUCUGGUGAAAACGAAGUUGUGAACUAUAUUUCUUGGUUAUGGAUAAAAUUGCUUUGUAAGAUACAUGUUAGCAUAUAUUUUGGGUUUAAUUUUCAAUUAAUAGAUACAUGUCAUACCUCGUAAGAUCACAUUCAAACUUUAAUAUAUAAUCAUCCCUAUUGGAGUAAUAAAGUUUUAAUAAGUAUAUUGUUAACCAAAAAUAAUAGGGAAAAAAGAAAGAAAGAAUAUAAUAAAUUUAGUUUAAUAUAGACCUGUUUAUGGAUUGGGCUACCCGUCAAGCUUGAAUGCCUGUAAAAAAAUUUGGAAGGGUUUGGGUAAAAUAUUAGACCCGAAAACUGGACUUGAAAAAAAAUUAAGCUUGUUUAAAAUAUGGGUCGAGCUUGGGCUUAAACAUUCAAGGCUUAAGCCCGACCCAAUGUAUUUUUUUAGUUUGUAAUAUUUUAUAUUCUAUUAUUUUUAUAUACUAUGUAACUUAUAACAAAUAAAAAUUAAAUUUAUAACACUACUAUAAAGUAAACAUUAAAACAUUUUAAUAUAAAUAUAUUUGUAAAAAUAUUAAGAUGAUUAGAUAUAAAAUUUUAAUAAAAAUAUAUAUGUAAAAUUAUUAAAUAUUAAAUUAAAAAUAAUAAUAUGGACGAGUUUAAAAUAGGCUUGGGUUAGCUAUUUAUCAAAAUGGACAGACUUGGACAAUUUCGAGUCAGGCUGAACUUAAGUAAGUAUAAAAUGAAUUAAUAUCAUGUUAAGCCCGAUUAAACCUGACCCAUGAUUACCUUUAAUUUAAUCUUACAACUCUGCAUUUUUAGAUAAUAUUUGAAUGAGUUUUAUCAACUUGUAUAAUAUUAUUAGAGAAACAAAAAUUCUUUAGAAUGAAAGCUUUGAUUUUAUAAAAAGUAUUAUAACAUCUGCAAUAUAUAAAAUUACUGCUGCUAUUUACUGCUGUUUUACUGCUAUUUUGUUAUUAUAUUAUUAUUAUUAUUAUUUUAUUAUUAUUAUUUAGAUAGUAUAUAACUCUUAUUUUAUUGUUAAUUUUGCUACUAUUUUAGAGUCAUUUGUUUUCUAAAUUACAACUAUUUUAGUGUUAUUUAGGUAUAAAGACAUAUUCAAUAUGUUGAAUAUUAACACAAGUUUGUUGAAAAAAAUGUUUGUUUGUGUUUAUAGGGACGCAGCUUUUGUCUUUAGUUUCUAGGUACUAAGUUUAAUCUUAUGUAUUUUGUUAAUAGGAAAAUGAAUCCCACGUCAUUUAGAAACAAAAGGCAAGAGAUUAUAAAUUCAUAUAAACCCCAUAUUCUAUAUUACUUAGAAAAAUAAUGAUAAUGAGACUUUUGGAUCAUAUAAAGACCAUGUUUUAAAUAUUAUUUGUAUUUUAUUUGGUUUUCUUUAAAUUUCUCUUUUAAGAGCUGCAGUUAAAUUUUAGUUGAAUGAAACAGUAGAGAUAGGUGUUCUACCAUAUAUAUAUAUAUAUAUAUAUAUAUAUAUAUAUAUAUAUAUAUGUAUAUGUGGAAUCAGAUUCUAUCAACAGUUCAUGUUCAAGGGUCGAUUAAAUAUUGAACCCAAUAUUCAUCACGUAACCUUAUUAUUUCACAUAUAUUUUCAUUUAUCCAAUUUAUCCGAUGAACAUUUUAGAAUAUUAACCGUUACACGGUGGAAUCAGCACUUAGCAACCACCUCAUGUUCAAAGGAUCCCAGUGGAAUCAGCACUUGGCAACCUCCUCAUGUUCAAAGGAUCCCAAUGGAAUCAACACUUAGAAACCACCUUAUAAUCAAUGAUACGGGGAAUCAGCACAUAGCAACCCCUUUCACAAUCAAGGAUACGGUGGAAUCAGCACUUAGCAACCACCUUAUAAUCAAUGAUACGGGGAAUCAGCACAUAGUAACCCCUUUUUGAUCAAUGAUUCGGGGAAUCUGCACUUAGCAACCCCUUACAUUCAAAGAAUUCCGGUCAAAUUCGAGUGUUCAAUCGGGAAUCUUACUUCACAACAUUUUACCAACUUUUCCAAUUUAUUCACAUUUUGUAAUCUACAUCAAAUAUUUAUUCUAUAUUCAAUCAUAUCUCAACAAUAUAUUAAAUAAAAUUAAAACAAUGAAUUAUUCACAUACAAAAUUACCAUCAUGCUUUCAAAGUCAAUUCAUCAUCUUUCUUGGUUUAUAAUAACACAUUUAACUUAUUUAACACUCACAUUAUUCAAUCUAGUCCUAAAAUCACACUUUGGCAAAAAUUACAUUUUGCCCCUAAAGUUUCACAAAAUUAUGAUUUUACCCCAAAGCUCGUAAAUUAAACUUCAUCCCUUAUUCUUAUGUAUUAUGAAAUGCUGAACAUUUUCCCCUUCUAUGGCAACAUCGAAUUCACACUUUAACACUUACUUAUGAACAUUAGGUAUUUUUACCGAUUAUGUCGUUUUACUAGUUUUCACUUAAAAUCGCUUAGCAAAAGUUGUUUAACAUAAUUUCAAGCUUCAUAUUCUACCAUAAAACAUCAAAAUAAACACAUUUCACCUAUGGUUACUUUUCCAAAUAUAAACCAUAGAUUAAAUUAUUGCUAGAAUAAGCUAAAUCAAGUUAUCGGGACUCCAAAAACGUAAAGAACAUUAAAAACGGCGCUUGGAAUCACUUACUAUGGAGCUUGGAAGCUUGAAAACCCUAAAAAUGGCUUCCCCCCUUGUGAAAUUCGGCCAAGGCUUGAAGAUGAUGAUUUUUGGCCUAUUUUGUCUUUUUAAUACAUUUUAAUUAUCGAAUUACCAAAAUACCCUAACUUAAAAAUUUUCUAUUUCACUUAUCUCAUGUCCAUUUUUGUCCACAAUGUAACCAAUGGUCUAAUAACCAUUUAAGGACUUCCAAUUUAAAAUUUCAUAACAAUUGGACACUUCUAACAUGUAGAACUAAACUUUUGCACUUUUUACAAUUUAGUCCUUUUGGCUAAAUUGAGUGCCCAAACGUCGAAAUUUUUGAACGAAAUUUUCACAAAAUGAUUCUGUGAAAUUGUAGACAAUAAAAAUAUGAUAAAAAAUAAAUUUUUUCUCGUUAGAUUUGUGGUCCCGAAACCACUGUUCCGACUAGGCCCAAAAUCGGGCUGUUGCACACUAGACUCAUCUAGCCAAAGUUUGUCGAGAUUCCCCAAAAAGGGUUCAUGAGGCUUAGAAUCCGUACUUAGCCUUCUUAAUGAGUAUUCAUCAUUUCUCCGCACUACGGGACUAACGCUUCCAUCCCUGUCCCCUCAAAAGUGAUCUUUUCAUCUUGUGCAAAGGCGGCCGCUUUGUAUGUUUUAAGAAGGUUGCACAGUCGGUUCGUUAGCUUAAUGUGUUAGUGGUUGCCGAGCCCAAGAGACAAAAUGGUGUGGCAUUUUCCAUUGAAAAGUGAUGAUCUAGUGUAAGACAGUCCAACAAAAGUGACAGUCGGCUAGAGUCAGGUUCUUUUAUAUCGUAAGUUUAAAAUCUAAGUGGAGCUAGUGGCUGUAGGCGUCGUUUUCCAUUAUAUCUGACUUAUUUUUUCAUGAGAAGAAUCAUCUAAAAGCCUAAGAUUGAACCCAAGAAGGAUCGAGAUAACCAGAGGCUGGAAUCUCUCAAUCCAAGAAUCUCUUUUCUCGACUUUGUUAAUUUUUACAAUUUCUAUUUCAAUUUACACAAUCUCAAUUUGUCCAUAUUUUUAAUUCUGUUUUUUUUAUUUCUUUCAGGUAUGCAGUUUUUCUUGGGCAUGACUGUGCCCGAGAAAUCGAUGAAUAAGAAGUUGUGCAAAACCAGUCUUUAAGGAUUUUACCCUACUUCCCUUAUACUAUUAUUUUCAUUAUUUUAUAGGGAUAGGAUACUUUUGGUGCUUUCAAUGACACAUCAGUCACUGGUUUCUUGGAAAUCAAAGGACCAAUCUACUGUAUCCAAGUCUUCAACAGAAGCAGAGUACAGGAGUAUGGCAAUCACAGCAACAGAGGUGGUUUGGCUAGAUGGUUUGCUGACUGAGAUUGGAAUCAGGAGAAAGUAAUCAGUCAAGCUUUUUUGUGAUAGGCUACUUAAAAGAUUUAGAAUGGUCUUAUAAAGACUGAGCAUAUAUCUCCACAGAGCAGUUGGCAAACAUCCUUACAAAGAUUUUGGGGGUAUAGCAACAUUAGCAUUUAGUAUCCAAGUUGGGGGUUAAAGAUGUAUUUCAACCACCAACUUGAGGGGGAGUGUUGAAACAAAUAGUUAGUUUGUUAAUUUCAAAUUAGUUAGAGUUAGUUAGUAUAGGACAAUUUUUUUCUUGGAUGAUGGUUUGACAACUAUAUAUAUAUAUAUAUAUAUAUAUAUAUAUAUUUGUAAAUCAUUUUGUAAGAUAAAUGAAUGAAAAAUCAAAUGAAUUUUUUAAGUUUCUUGAUUUUUUAACAAUUGCUCACAUCGGUAGAGGUUGGUGGUUUCAUUCUAGUCUCAUUCAAAUUGGAUAGUGUUAAUUUCCUUAUUGAAAAAUUAUUCCUUUUACAUCUUCUCUAAAUUGAAUUCCUGCAUGUACAAAUUCUUUAAUUAUCAUAUUUCUUAAUAUUUUGCUAAUUUGUGCAGUAACCCAUUGGCUUGAAUUUUUCUGAAAGGCAUUUGACAAUUUUAAGAGUUUACAUACAGAAAAAGAGGUGGUAAUUAUUUAAGUGCUUUACACUUUUAAAUCUUAAUAAUCGCACAAUUUCAUCUUAACAAAUUGGUCCUAUUUUUCUCUUAAAUUUGUUAAGUUUUUGGCUCUAUUCUUCGACAGAGCACAGCAUACAUUACAUGAAGCAGAUGCCACAUUUUCUACUACGAGUUGUUCAUCUGCCAAAAUUUCCAACAACAGAAAAUGGUAAUAUAUGUCACCAAUUUCCUCCUAAGUUCCAAUUGAUCUGAUAUAAAUGAUGUAAAUGGAGUAUGUCAAGAGUUGUAAUACACAUGCCAACUGACUAAUGUAUAAAACACACAUAUUAACACUAAUGGGGAUGUGAAUUUGUUACCAUUACAGAUGAUGAUGAUGCCCAAUGUUUGUCCCUUCGUUAAGCUUGCACUGAAAAAGCAUAGACAAUUGGUUUGUGUUUGCCAUUGCCAAAGUUCGUCCUUUCUUUCUAGGACUGCAGCAUUGUGGCAUCGAGAUUCCGGUGGAAGAGCCUUAUCUUUUGUUUAAAUGACGAGGGAUUACAUGAACAAAUUACAAGCUGUGUUAUUCGACUUGUGGUUUGAUGUGUGCUGACAUGAGCAACAACACGUAAGUCAUGUAUAUAUAGCCAGGAAUUCGGCUGCUUUUGGAAGAGUCCUAAACCAAGCAUGAUCAGGGGCGUAGCCCUCUCCCUAAAAUGGAAAAUUUCCAUUUAGACCCUUUAAAAAUUUUAAAAUUUUAAAAUAGUAAAGAUAAAAUUACACUUUGUCCAUCCUAAAAAUGAUAAAAAUUUUAUUUAAUCCUUUAAAAAUUAUAAAGCUAUAGACUAUUAAAAAUUACAAUUUAAUUUCAGCCCCUUAAAAAUUUUUCUGGCUUCACCCCUAAGCAUGAUAAUGGAAGAUAGGCUUCAAUAUAUUGUAAUUUGGAAAUUUAUAUAUAUUGUACCAAAAAAUGUGCUAAUCUAAAAGAAGUUGAGAAAAUAAAUAAAAGUAGGACUAAAGUUGCACAAAUCAUUAAGACAGGGACUAUCCGUAAAAUUCACCUAAUUAAAGAAAACAGAGGAAGGGAAAGGAUGGUAAACUCCUCUCCCUUUUCUUCAAAACUUAAAGGAAAUUUUAUUAUGUAUCUUUUAAAAACUUAUUUGAAUAUUUUACUUAGGUAUCAACUAUGCUUUUAAAUUUAUAUUAACACCUAGGUUUGAUUCGCGUUAGUUGGGUUAAUUGUUUGGUCUCUAUCUUGUUAAUGUAAUUUACCAAAAAAAAUUUAUAUGAAUAAAAAAUAUUUUCUUUAGUAAUAGAACAAAUUUUAUUAAUUUCAAUUUUAUGCUAAUGCUUGAAGGGUGUUUUUAUUUUUUGAAUUUAUGAACAAUACUUUUAAUUAAGAAAUUUACUAAACGCAGAUACUUAUAUGAAAAUUAAAAUAUUUAGUCAAAUUUAUUUUUAAAAUUUAUGAAUUAAUUAUAAAAUUAUUCAUCUGAUACAUGACAAUUUCAAUUUUAUCUUCAAAAAGGGCAUAAUUGAAAAAUAGAAUACAAUAUAUUACCUCCUUUUCUUUCUACCAUUUAAUCAAAUGAAAGUUAUGAUUAAUCUCUUCUUUUCCUUUUACUUCCUCAUUUUAGAUAUUCUAAUAAAAGAAUAUAUUUUAAUCUAAACGUAAAAUUAAAAACCAAACAUUAUUGGGAGGAACAGUAACAAACCUUAAAAUAAUUAGUUUUCAUGGAUAAUAAAAUAGACAUAAAAACAUAAUUUUAUUUCAAAGUAGACGAAAUGUAAAUAUCCAACAGUAAAAAGUAACUUCAUAAUUAUUAAAUGUCAAUAUAGUCUACUUACAAAGAAAAAUAACUCAAGAUAAUUUAAGAUAUAACAUUAUUUCUUAAAAUUGAUCAUCCUAAUUGAGUUAUACUCUUCAAAUUUUUAUUAAACCGAAGCCAUCAAUAAGAGAAUUGGUUGAAAAUUGUUGAGCUGUAUCCUUAUCAAUUUUUUAUACUGGCUUUGGUAGUUUCGAUUAAGGGUUGUAUUUGCUCUCCCUCCUCCUUUUUACUUGCGAUUUGGUGUUUUUUUUUUUACUGAGGUUGCUGGUAGUGGAUUUGGUUAUGAUGAUGUUCGGGUUGACUGGGGUUUUGGGUGUGAGGUUGACGGUAGGUGCAAGCUGAAGUAGUGGUCUGGACUCUGAUUUAGUGAAUAGUGUGAUGGUAGGGCUGGAGUAGAGGUUGGAGCAGUUGACGCUGGUGAAGAUGGGAGAGGGAGUUGUCCUUGGCAGUGGUGGUUGGCGACUUUGACUCCAUCAACAGGCUCAAGGUCAUAUGGACCAAAUUGUAAUUUUUUGCAAAAUUUGAGAGGAUUUUUUUUUGUAAAAAUUACAUUGUUCCAUUUUUGUUUCUUUAUAAAUUUUAAAUUUUUUUUGUAAUUAAUAAAAUAUUGUAAAAUAUAUAUUCAGAAUAUAUAAAUCUAACAUUAAUGGUCAAAGCCAAAAAAAAAAAUAUUUAGCAUUAAAAAUAAAAGGAUCAUACAUUACCCAAAUAGUGAAAAUGGAUCCAAAUUCAAUCAAAGUCCUCUAAUUAAUUUGUCCAAAUCAACAUUGAUUCAGAAUUUAUAAUUUUCUUUUCAUUUGAAAAAUUAAACUCAAUAAUUGGUAGACUUAAAUAAAAUUCGGUGUCUACACUGUUUUUUUUUUGUUGUUUUAUGGUCCUUGAAAAUUUAUCUUUUUCGGGUGUCUACACUAUAAAAUUGAAUUUCCUUUGUUGCUCCUACAAAUACAAUUUCUCUGCUUAUCAUCUUUCAUAAUAUAUGGGAAAUUUUUGCAGUAACCCAUCAUAAAACUUUUUCUUUGAAAGGCAUUAGCCAAUUUCAAGAAAUUAUAUGCAGAAAAAGAGGAGGUAAUAAUUUAUGUAAUUGCUUUACAAUUUUAAAUAAAUCAUAAUAAUCUCACAAUGUUUGCAUUGUACUGUGAUGAAAUCCUCUUGAAAUUGCAGCUUAUACGAAAUACUAAAAUAGUUGCACCAACAUGGAAUGACAGCUUAUUCAUACCACUCUUUUCUUUUCUGAUAAAAGGAGAUUGCAUUCAAGUUGGAGAAUGAUGAUUUCCUUAUCAAAAUAUUAUUCCUUUUAUAUAGACUAUAAAAUUGAAUUUCCUUUGUUGCUCCUACUAAUACAAUUUCUUCGUUUGUCAUAAUAUAUGGCAAAAUUUUGCAGUAACCCAUCAAGAAAUUAUAUGCAGGAAAAGCGGAGGUAGUAAUAUUUGCAUUGUACUGUGAUGAAAUCCUCUUGAAAUUGCAGCUUAUACCAAAUGCUAAAAUAGUUACACCAAACAGCUUAUUCAUACCACUCUUUUCUUUUCUUCUAUUUUUCUGAUAAAAGGAGAUUGCAUAAUUUUCAACAAAAAAAAAUGGCAAUAUAUGUCGUAAGUUUCCUUCUAAUUUCCAAUUGAUCUGAUAUAAAGGGAAGGGUGUAUUUCAAGAGUGAUGAUAUAUUUACAAACUGAGUAGUAGCUUAUAUGCUAUUUAACAGAUUGUUGGAGGCAGAAUGGAGCGUGCAAUGUCGUCGCCAAGUAAGUAAAUUGAAUAGGGGUUGGAAGCUAAAGGUUGAUACAUAAAAGAAGGGGAGGGGGAUAUUUCUACUUCAAACAAAACCCCAACUUUAGCAUCUUGAGUUGUUAAAAUUCGCCAUUUAGUUUAGUGUGAAGUAUUUUGGUGGUUCAUAUGUAUGAGUGAGUGAACUUUCAAUUAAGGGGCAUAUAAUAAUAAUUUAGUUCAAUUUUGAUGCAGGCCAUGCCUUUUCCCUAUGAAAUAAUUGGUCACCUUUUUUUUAUGUUGAUUUUGAGAAAAGCCAAAGGGGAAAAGAGUUAGCAGAGACCAUACCUUCUGCUACGAUUGGUUAAUCUGCCAAAUUAUUCCAACAAAACAAAAAUGGUAAUACAAUUAAGAUAAUAAUAUUUUUAUAAAAGUUUAAAAUAGCUUUGUACAUAUGAUGAUAAGAUAAUAUUUAAUUUACAAUAAUCUCACCAUAACAACUCAUAAACACCACUAACAUAAAAAAAUAAAGUUUAACUAAUAAUAAAGAAAUGAAAAUAUAAUUAUAGUCAUAAAAUAUAGACACGAUUUUAAUUGUCACCCAAAAGUCAAACUCAUAAUAUUUAAUCUCAAGUCAAUAAAAUUAUGGACAUUAUAAUAGUUGUUAUGUACAAAAGUCAAAGUCAGCAAAGCUCAAGCACAUGCUGGGGGUGAUUCCAAUGCAUCGGCUCUUUAUUUUAGUAAAACAUGGUGUACAUCAUAAUUCCAGCGCAACCAAGCUAAUUUGAAAAAUGUGCACAACUUGUGCUUCUUUAUUCAUUGCAUCGGUGCUAAGUAACAGAUAUUGAGAUUUAUAUUUAUAAAUAGCACAUUAUAUAACAGCAAGUGUUUCUACAUUUUUACACUACUUGUUCUAAAAUAGAUAAAAUUUAAUAGUUGAAGAUAGGCACGGUGAUAUUGCAUUUGAAAAUUUAUUAUUUCGUUUUACAUGGAGAUUAAGUAAACCUUAGUCCAUCCUGGAGCUUAUAUAUAGAUGAUUUGUUUAGUAAAUGAUAUGUGGAUUUAAAUGAGUACAUAUGUUUGAGGAGCUAUUAUUGAGUUUUAUUGUUAUACGCCUUUUAAGUGUUGAUUUUCAAUUGCAUAGUUGAAACGAAUUGGGAGAGAAUUUACUUCAUUGUAUAAAGAUAAAGUCACAUCAAAUGUUUGAGGGGUUGGCCAUAAAUCUUUCUUUUCAAUGUAAAGUAUAUGGUAGAUUUGAGUCUGGACAAGACUUCACACACUUAGACCAAAUUCCGAGUUGUGUAAAUAUCUUGAUUGUAUUCUUUAUUUUUACUUAUGUAUGUGUUCACACAAGAAAAAAACACAUUUUUCUCUUUUGCUGCUCCAAAUAAGAUUCCAACACAAGAAAACACAACUAAUUAUCAAGUAAAUUUUUGUACAUUAUAUACACUAUAUAUCAUUUAAUGAAAAGGCUUCAUGAAAGAACCAUUGAGCAAUUUCAAAGAUUGAGUUGUACUAACUAGAAGACAAUGCAAGAUUGAGUAAUAAAUCCCAUAGCUUCAUCUCAUGAUUGGUUUGAAUGCUUAGCUUAGCUCAAUUCAAUUACCAGGUGUUGAGGAUAUGAAAAUAUGGAGGCCUUGCAACAAAUACAACCCUUUCCAACUUGUUAUUGCUUCAAUAAAAGCAACUCUUAAAGCUUGAGAAAAUUAGUGAGAGCUUACCCUCGUAUGUUUAUAGAAGAAAAUAUGACAUAAAAUAUUUAAAAAUUUUAAUUUUACACCAAUUCCAAAGAAAAAGAUUAGGGAGAAUAUUAAAACUCCUUCACUCAGCACCCAAUCUCUAGUUGCAGCUACCCAUAUUAAAUAAACAAGAAACUAAAUUCACAUUUUGAUAUUGUUUUGGUUAAGAUUUUUAAAGAUGGAAUCAAUCAUGUGUAUCAAUUUAUUUUUGGUCAAAUUUAUUUGUACGAUUAAAUCAAAUUAAAUUAAAUUAGGGUUUUUAGAUAUGAAAGUUUUAUAUUACAAUAAUUAAAUUUUAUAAUUAUUUAUAGAUUUUUUAUAUUAUAUAUUAAUUUAUUUAAAAUGUUUUCAAUUUUAACUAAUUAUAAACACGUGUAAUGUAUUAGUAGAAAUUGUUAACACCGAACUUAAUUACCUUUAUUUAUUCACCUUUGAAGAUUACAUGGUCUCCCUUAAUCUGUUUUCUUUAGAGAGGGAUUAAUUGUCAAAUUGCUAAUGAUACCCAUGAAAUUUGUUUAGAUCUAUGGGUUUUAUUCAUUUUUAAUUCUGAAAUUUCCUUCAGUUUUGGCUAUUGUCAAAUUGGUUUUUUUUUUAAUUUAAAAAAAUAUAUAAAAUUUUCUAUAAAAGAAAUACUUUUAUAAUUUUCCGCAAAUGGUAUCAUAUAAAUUCUAAAUUUAAUAAUUUAAAAAUAAAAAUAAAAUAACCUUAAAAAUAUAGUUUAACUAAUAAUAAACAAUUAGUCAUAAAAUAUAGGCACGAUUUUAAUUGUCACCCAAAAGUCAAAGUCAUAAUAUAUAUUAAGUAAUAAAGUAUACUUAUAGACAUGAUAAUAAUUGUUAUACAAAAGUCAAAGUCAGCAAAGCUCAAGCACAUGAUGGGAUCUUUUCUUUAGUAAAAUAUUGUGUAGAUUAUAGCUCCAGCACCAACCAAGCUAAAUUGAAAAGUGUUUGCAACUUGUGCUUCCUUAUUCAUUGCAUCAUGUGAUUUAUUAAUGAGUGGGUGGUGAGACCCUAUAUGUAUGUGUACAUUAACACCUGCGUUUCAUCUUGUUCCAAUCAUUUUCAUUUUACUUCUUUUGUAGUAAUCAAACACUUUUUGCCUUGGUUUCAAAUUGAACCAACAAUGGCCGAAGCAAUUGCUUUCGAUAUUGCCAAAGAGCUCAUUACUAAGUUGAGCUCUCCUGCUCUCUCUCAAAUUGGACUGUGGUGGAAUCUCAAAGAUGACAUCGACGGCCUCAAAAGCAUCGUCCGCACAAUCAAGGCUGGGCUUCUUGACGCAGAAGAGCGAUCUGUAACCGACAAUCUUGUCAAAGAUUGGCUUGAAAAGCUGAAAGAUGUACUUUAUGAUGCCGAUGACUUACUCGAUGAUUUCUCUACUGAAGCUUUGCGGAAAAGUCUGGUGAGUGGGAACAAGCUGACGAAAGAGGUACGUCUUUUCUUCUCAAGCUCAAACCAGUUUGCUUACAGUCUCAAAAUGGGUCGGAAAAUUAAGGCCAUUAAGGCGAGAUUAGCUUCAAUUCAAAGUGAGGCUAACACUUUUCGCUUCAUGGUGCGUGACCGCCCCGCGGAAACCUCUUUCAUGACUAAAAGGAGGCAGCAAACACACUCUUUUGAGCGUGAAGAUGAAAUAAUAGGGAGGGAUGAUGAUAAAGCAGCUCUUCUAAAACUCGUGUUAGAGUUUCAAAGUGAAGAGAAUGUUUACAUCAUUCCAAUUAUGGGGUUAGGAGGGUUAGGGAAGACUGCUUUGGCCCAACUUGUCUAUAACGAUGAAAUGGUCAAAAAUCAUUUUGAGUUGACGAUGUUUGCGUGUGUUUCAGAUGUUUUUGAUGUGAAAGUUAUUGUAGCAAACAUUAUCAAAUCUAUAACUAAUAAAGCAACUGAUCCUGAUCAAAAUCUUGAAAUGGAUCAAUUGCAAAAGCAACUUCGAGAUAAAAUUGAUGGGAAAAAAUAUUUGCUUGUUUUGGAUGACAUUUGGAAUGAGGAUGAGCAACAAUGGUUAAGCUUAAAGAAGUUAUUAAUGGGUGGGGCUAAAGGGAGUAGGAUAAUAGUAACUACUCGAUCUCUAAGGGUAGCAAAGAUUGCUAAUAGAUGUGACUCCCAUGUUAUGAAACUAAAAGGCUUGUCUGAUGAUGAUGCUUGGUCUUUGUUCAAAAAGAUAGCAUUUGAGCAAAGAUAUGCAGACUCAACAAAUUCAGCCUUUGUGGAAGUUGGGAAACAAAUUUCAAAAAGGUGUGGUGGGGUUCCCUUAGUCAUAAGGGUGAUAGCUAGUGCGUUAUCUUUUAAAGAAACUGAAAAUGAGUGGCUUUCUUUCAAAGAUAAUGAACUUGCUAAAAUAUCACAAACUGAAGGAAAAAUUCUACCUAUACUUAAAUUGAGUUAUGAUCAUCUCCCGUCCCAUUUGAAGCAUUGCUUUUCUUUUUGCCGAUUGUAUCCAAAAGAUUAUGAAAUUGAUGUACAAGAGCUUGUUCAAUUUUGGAUUGCACAAGGUUUUGUAAAGCAAUCAGAUUCAAAGCAAUCUUUUGAAAAGAUUGGGUUUGAGUAUUUUAAAGAAUUAGCUGAAAAAUGUUUCUUUCAGGAAGUAAAAGGAGACUUGACGGAAGAAAUUACAUGCAAAAUGCAUGAUUCAAUGCAUGAUCUAGCUAAAUUAGUAGCUGGAACAGAGAGUAGUAUUGUAGAUUCAAAUUUAAGUACAAGUGAGGAUGGUGAAAAAUGUCGCCACAUAUCAAUUACAGCCUCAUUAAUACCUUCGUUUAAGGGAAAGAAGUUGCGAACUUUGUUAUAUUUUUCAAACAUGGGACCUCAAAAUUUAAGCGACGAAAUUUGGGAUCUGAUAAUUGCAAAUUGUAGAUGCUUGCGUGUAUUGGGAUUAGAUUAUUUAAAUCUUAAGACGAUUCCACGCUCCAUUUACAAGUUGAAACAUUUGAGAUACCUUGAUCUUUCUAGAAAUAAUUUUAAGAUUCUCCCAAAGAGUAUUUGUAGACUACAAAAUUUGCAAUCUUUGAAACUUGUUGGAGCAAAGAGACAAUAACAGGCUGUUUUGUAUCUUGCUUGAAUAGCAAGCCUCGAGCCUUGGUGAAGAAACAAACUCAGAAGCAAAAACAGAAAAUGAAAUUAGCAAGCGAAUAACAGAAAAGAGAGAAGAAGAAUGAAUGAAAAAAUGAGCUGAUGUUUUUCAUUAACACACAACAAGGCAUUAAGCCAUUACAUAUUUCAGUCAACAAGUAAAACAAACAAGUAAUCACCUAAUCAACUACCUAACUCCACUAAUUUGCAUUGAAACUUUCAAGAUUAGCUUGUACAACUUGCAUUGCUGACUUUUCAGUCAAUCAAUAUCAAAACAUUUACCUACCUAGUUCAACAUGAACUAGAUUACAAAACAAUCAAAAUGGAACCAAAACAGCAAGUGGAUUGGCAGCUUCAAACUUCAGUUGCUGCACACAAUGGCACCACUGCUUGCUGCUAUUUCUUCGAGCAUGACCACCUUUGCAUGUCGUGCAUGGCCACCUUUGCAUGGGAACUAAACUUAACAAAACUUGACUUAUGUCUUGAGCUUGAAGAAUUACCGAAGAAGAUUGAAAAAUUGGUGAAUCUUACCCAUAUUGGGUGUGAAGGUUGUAUUAGUUUAACUCAGAUGCCACGUGGAAUAGGAAACCUGAGUUCCCUUGAAACGUUAAGCAUGUUUGUAGUGGAUAAAUAUGGUUUCCAUGGCAGUGCAGAUCUAAGUGAAUUGAGUGCGCUUAACAACUUAAGGGGAGAGCUAACAAUAACAAAUUUGGGAUUCGUAAAAAAUUCAAAAGAGAUGUUUAGGGCUGCUAAUUUGAAAGAGAAGAAACAUUUGAGAUCGUUGGUUUUAGUAUGGAAUGAUGAUGAUGAUGAUGAUGAUGAUGAUGAUGAUGAUGAUGAUGAUGAUGAUGAUGAUGAUGACGACGACAAGUUACUUGAAGACCUCCGGCCCCAUCCUAAUCUCAAGGAGCUCCGUAUCGAUGGAUGGAAGGGUGAUGCCAAGUUUCCGAGUUGGCUUUCUUUGCUCACGAAUCUCGUUAAUAUUGAAAUAUGGGGCCCUAGUAAAUUCAAAUAUCUACCGUCCUUUGCUCAAUUACCUUGUCUUCAACAGUUGGAUAUAUUUUAUUUAACUGAGCUCGAGUACAUGGAUGAUAAUGGCCCCAAUGGAAGACAAGGAAACACAGAACCAUUCUUCCCGUUGCUUAAGGUUCUCAAAAUCUGGCGCUGCCCAAAUAUGAAGAGUUGGUGGAGGACAACAGAAGCAAUUGGUGAUGAUUCCAACGAGGACGACACAACAGUUAUAGGAACAUCAACCAUGGCAUUUCCUUGCCUUUCCUCUUUAGAAAUUGAAGAUUGCCCUUUGACUUCAAUGCCGUUGUAUCCUUCACUCGAUAAUGAGCUAAAGCUGGUGAAAACCAGUUCUAGGACGUUAAAGCAAACCCUUAAGAUGAACAUCACCAGUAUAACACCAUCAGGUUCAAUCUCUUCUCUUCCUCUCUCCAAAUUGAAAUCUUUCCAUGUAGACUACAUUGAGGGAUUGGACACUCACAUGCUAGAUAAGUCCUUGCAACAUUUCACCGGCCUCAAAAAAUUAACAAUAGGAGAUUGCAAGGAGGUUGAUUUCGAGGGCAUGAAAUGGGAACUCCUUAAGAAUCUCUCUCAUUUGGAGAUUAAUAAUAAUCCGCAGCUGGUGUCUCUCCCCUUUUGGCUUCAACAUCUUGUUCAAUUGAAAGGAUUAACAGUAGGAGAUUGCAAGGAGGUUGAUUUAGAGGGCAUGCAAUGGGAAGCCCUUAAGAAUCUCUCUCGUUUGGAGAUUAAGAAUAUUCCAAAGCUGGUGUCUCUCCCCAUUGGGCUUCAACAUCUUGUUCAAUUGGAAACAUUAGAAAUCCGUAAUUGCAGUGGAUUGAGGUCACUCUUUCCUGUGUUCCAACAUCUCACUUCCCUUGAAGAAUUACGAGUAAGUCACUGCGAGGAGCUGGAGCUAUCAGCAGCAGGCUUCCAAAUAUUCCAAGAUCAUACAAGCCUACGCUAUCUAAGGCUGGAAAAGAUUCCAAAGUGUCGGCAUCUUCCGGAGUGGCUUCAACAUCUAACAAAUCUGCGACGUCUUUAUCUCAUUGAUUUGCCCAAUUUAACAUCGCUUCCGGACGAGAUGCGUUGCCUAACCAAAUUGGAAAGGUUAGAUAUAUCUGAAGUUCCUCAGUUGGAGGAAAGAUGUCAGAAGGACGUUGGCGCUGAUUGGCAUAAGAUUGCUCACAUCCCACGCAUUUGUUGGGAAUAGGUUGUCAUCGGAAGGACCUUAUUUGCUCACAUCCGGGGAUUCGGUUGUAAUCAGGUUGGUCCGUUCUUUUCAUUUAUUUAUUUUUAUGACAUUUUUUGUUGAAGAAAAAUUUGAGUGGUAUAUUUAGUCUCCAACUCUGGGCUCUCAUGCCAUUUUUCAUUCAAGUUGGCUACUGUUAAUUUCCUUGUUAAAAUAUUAUUCAAUUGACAUCGUGUAUAAAUUGAAAUUCCUUUGUUUUAAUCCUAAAAGAUCUUUAAAGGUACCCAAUAGACAUUGAUGUGGAGAGGCCUAUGAAGCUUGCACGCUGCCCUUCAAAAUGGUUGUACUAUAUGCUCUGGUUUGUUCAUUUUCCAAAUUUCAUUCGAAUUUCCAAUUGAUUCGAUUAAGCUUUCAUAAUAUUUUGCCAGUUUGUGCAGUAAGCCAUUGGAGAGUAGUCUGGGGAAAGAUAUUUGUCAACUUCAAUAAUUUAUAUGCAUAAAAAGAGGUGCUAAUUUAUCUACUUGCUUUAUACUUUUAAAUCAUAAUAAUUUCACAAUUGCAAUGAUGUAAUAGAACCGCAUGGUUAGUGCUUCUUUUCUUAUCUAUCAUUUCAUAGGAUUCAAUUUAAGGGCUUCUAAUAAUUUAAUUCUAAAAAAUCUUUUAAGGUAGCCAAAGGACAUUGAUGUGGAGACGCCUAAGAAAAGCUUGCAUGCUACCCUUCAACACGGUUUGUUCAUUUUGCAAAUUUAAGCACUUACCUGUCAUAUGUAUAUAGAGUUUUAUGUUUCUUUUUCCCUGGAAAAAUUUGUCCUGUUUCUGUCUUAAUUUUGGUUAGUUUUUGGCUGUAUUCUUCUGUAGAGCAUAGCAUACACUACAAGAAGCAGAGACCAUACUUUCUACUACGAUUACUUUAUCUGUCAAAAUAUUCCAACAAAACAAAAAUGGUACUAUAUGUCAUCAAUUUCAUUCUAGUUUCCAAUUGAUCUGAUAAAGGUUAUAUAAAUAAUGUAAAAGUUGUAAUAUAUAUGCCAACUGAUUACUAUCUUAGAUGGUACCUAUGCUAUUGUACAGAGGCAUUAAAAUUUAUCUAAUUGCUUUAUACUUUAAAAUCAUAAUAAUUUGAUAAUUGCAAUGAUGUAAUAGGACCGCAUGGUUAGUGCUUCUUUCCAUCUCUCAUUUCAUAGACUUCAAUUUAAGGGCUUCUAAUAAUUUAAUUCUAAAAAAUCAUUGAUGUGGAGAGAGAGGCCUAUGAAACUUGCAUGCUACCCUUCAAAAUGGUUGUACUAUAUGCUCUGCUUUCUUCAUUUUCCAAAUUCAAGCACUCACCUAUCAUAUGUUUAUAUAUAUUUAUGUUCUCUCUUAAUUUUGGUUUUUUACACUGCAAGAAGCAGAGACCACACUUUCUGUUACAAUUUGUUAAUCUAUCCAAAUAUUCCAUCAAAACAAAAAUGGUAAUAUAUGUCAUAAAUUUCAUUCGAAUUUGCAAUAGAUCUGAUAAAAAUUAUACAAAUAAUGUAUUUUAAGAGAUGUAAUAUAUUUGCCAACUGAUUGCUAUUGACAGAUGAUGAUGGUGAUGCCCUAUGUUUUGCCCUUUCGUAAAACUUGCACUGGAAAAUCACAAUGGCUUUGUGGUUAGCCACCAUUCUUGCACAUACUAUAAAGUUCUAUUUAGUAACUGUAAGUGUUUCUUUUACAUUUGGUCACUGCUCAGUCUAAAUGACAUAAAUUUUAACAUAAUUUGUAUUGGCAUUUAUAAUUUGCAGGUUCAUUGUUGCUAUAUAGAGAAAAUUGAUGGGCUAGAAAUCUAGAAUCCACCUUGGAGACCUUGAUAUCCUUAGCUCGCUAAGACACCCUGCCAUUACCUAAGUUCUUCCUUUCUUUCUUUGGAGGAUUGCAAUGUCUCAUCGCAUUGAGAUUCCAGAAGAAAUGCUUAUGUAAAUCUUGGUUGAUCCUGGAGGUUAUAUAUAUAGAUGAUUUGUUUUGUGGGUGAUGUGUGUACUUAAAGGAACACUUAGUGAGGGAAUAUUAUUUGAGCGCCACCUUCUGAAUGUUGAUUUUCACUUCCAUAACUAAAGUAAGUUGAAAGAGUGUUUACUUAAUUGUACAAAGGUGAGGUUGCACCAAGUUUGGAGGGUUGUGCAUAAAUCAUUUCUUUGUACUGUGAAGUUUAUAGUGAAUUCAUCUCUGGGCAAGGCCCCGCAGACGUAGGACAAGUUCCGAACUGCGUAAACAUCUUGGUUGUGUUCUUAUUUUUUCUUUAAUUUUACUUUUGUGUGUGUCAACUUAAGGAAAAAAAAACAUUUUUCUCUAUCGGUGUUUCAAAUAAGGGUAAUCUACAAAAGUAGUCACUUUUGUUUGCCUCAGGUUACAUUUUAGUCACUUAUGUUUGAAAUGUUACGUUUUAGUCACUUAUAGUAUUAUUUUGUUACGAAGUGAUCACUCUACCGUUAAGUUCCGUUAUCUCUCUAACGGUAAUCCUACGUGGCAGUCCAACUAGAUUUUAGGUGCCAACUUGGAUUUCUAAAUGGGAUGAAAAUAGAUUUUUAAUUAAAUAAAUUUAAAUAAAUAGAUUUUAGCUUGAAUGAAAUAGGUUCAUGAAAACAUGUUUCUGGUUACAUUUAAUGGGAUGUCUACCGAUGCAAAAUAAAAUACAUGUUCACAAACAAUUUCAAAAAGUCGAAGAAAAUAUCAAGAAUUUUAAUUUAGGGUUUUCAUUAAACAAUAAAAAUUCUAAUAUUUCAUUUUUCAGUAUUGAAUAAAAGAGAUAAAGGAAGGCAAAGAAGACAUAUUUGGACCCUCCAUUGAAUCCAUCUUUAUGAAGCAGACAAUUUGAUUUCAACUAUUUUGAUCUUAAUAAUAGUUUUUCCAGUCAAAUGAAAAAAAAAAACUAAAAAAAGAAGAGAUGAAAGACAAAUUAAAAAGAGGAGAUGAACAAUUUUUUCAGUUAAGGUUUAGGUUUAAAAAUUUUAAUUAAUUAAAUUUAUUUAAUUAAAAAUCUAUUUUCAUCCCAUUUAGAAAUCCAAGUUGGCACCUAAAAUCUAGUUGGACUGCCACGUAGGAUUACCGUUAGAGAGAAAACGGAACUUAACGGUAGAGUGAUCACUUCGUAACAAAAUAAUACUAUAAGUGACUAAAACGUAACAUUUCAAACAUAAGUGACUAAAAUGUAACUUGAGAUAAACAAAAGUGACCAUUUUUAUAGAUUACCCUUCAAAUAAUGUUUCAACACGUGGAAACACAAUUAAUUAUCAGGCAAUUUUGUGUAAGACUAUCAUUUAAUGAAGGCGCUUCAGUACCUAAUGACUGAUUGAAUGCUUAGCUUAGCUCUCUUCAGUUACCAAAUGUUGAGGAUGAAACUAUGGAUGCCCUGCAUCUGCAACAAUUACAACCCUUUUCAGCUUGUUACAAAACAACUAUACCUAUAUCCAAUGUCUUCUUUUAUCUUCCAUUAACUUUUGUGUUUUGGGAAUUUUCUUUUCAUUUUGCAUUAGUUUCUUAGUUGAAGAAGAAAAUAUUGGGUAAAAUUAAUAUUAUAUGGAUUAAGUUAGCUUAGCUCAACAACUCAAGUUUGCAAGGGGAGAAGAAAAGUCUAAAUAUGUUUAAUUUGUACCUUGUGAGCUAUUUUCAAUUGAUAUAAGGUAAAGUCCAUUAACCCCGUUGAUUAUAGAGAUUCGAAGCUUCGCUCAGGACCAUCAAUAAAAGUUAAAUUUUCUUUUAUUUUGGAUUGAUAGAUCCUAAAUUGUGCUCCGAUGAAAACGAAGUUGUAGACUAUAUUCAAUGAAGUGAAGAAAGGGAGGUGCUUGGGCAAAAAGAAAUUGGCUCAUGUUUGAAUAUUCAAGGCCAGAGCCUGGCCCGAUUCAUUUUUUAGUUUGUAAUUUUUUAUAUUAUAUAAUUUAUAACAAAUAAAAAAUAAAUUUAUAACACAACUAUGAUGUAAACGUUAAAAAAUGUUAAAGACGGCUAUAUAUAGGUUUUUUUUAUUGGUCUAAUAACAAAUUCACCCCUCCAAUAAAUAUUAGAUUUUUAUAUCAACUUUCUGUCACUCAUCUAACGGCAAGUAACAGGAAAGUGAUAAAAAUAUUUAAUUUCGAAAACUUUAGUGAUUAAAUCGAAAAAAUAAUCGUUGAAUGAUCAAAAUAAAAGAAAAUUUAUAAUUUAGUGACAUUUUUGUACUUUACCUUUUUUUUUUAAAGGAAAACGAAAGUAUGGUUCAUAAAAGGUACCAGCAAAAAGGUCUAAGGACAUAAACAUCACCAUGAGAAAACGAAUCAUACACAAAAAGAAAAAAAAAAAAUCAAAAGACAGCACCUACAAGUACAUCACUAUGAGAAAACUGCAGCAAUUGAAAGGAGAUUAUGUUCUGAUACAAAUGGAACAAUGUUGUUUCAUUUUAAUAUCAAGUUUACUCCAGGGAUUCAACUAUUUCAUUAAUUUACUCCAGGGAUUCAACUAUUUCGUUAAUCCAUUAAUAGAUUAUUAACGUGGCACAUUAGCCUAUUGAGUGACUAACACGUGAUAUUUUUUAAUUUUUGACUAAAAUUUAAACACCUAUCUAUAAUUAGUCCAACACAUUUUUUUCUCCCUUCUCUUUCUCAGCACUUCAUUCCCCGAAAAGUCCUGAAUAGGGUUUUAAAUUUUAUACUUCUACAAAUAAAACAAACAGCUCCUUUCUUGCGAUAACUUCUCAAUCAUUUACUUUACACUUCUCUCCAUCUCUAAAAAAUGUAAAUGUUCUGGAAAUAAACAAUCUUUGUUCUAAUUCACUAAGCAUGGUUGGUGGCAGAUCUUUUGCACCAAAAGUAGUCUUCACCAUUGGAGGCUUUAUGUUCUCCAUUUUCAAUUUCUUCUAAGCAGCAUUUUAGGAAAAGGAAAUAAACUUUUUUUUUCCUUAUUUUUACAUUUAUCAAAUAUCUGGUGUGCUGACAUUUACAUUUAUCAAACUAAACCCAUUUGUAGAGCAUUUAUAGUUUUGAGAGAUAGAGAGAAGCCUGAGGUGAAUGAUUGAGAAGUCAUUGCAAGAAAGGAAAUGUUUAUUUUAAUUGUAGAAGUAUAAAAUUUAAUACCCUAUUUGAGGAUUUUUUUCAGGGAAGGAAGUGAUGAGAAAGAGAAGAGAGGAAAAAUGUUUUGCACUAAUUAUAGAGAGGUACUUAUGCUUUAGUCCAAAGUAAUUUAAAAAAAAAAACAAAUGUCAGUCACUCAAUGAGCUUAUGUGCUACAUCAACAAUCUGUUAGUGGAUUAACGAAAUUUUUAAUAGCAGUGACUAAUUUGAGCAAUUAUCUUAAUUAGAGUGAUUAACAGUAUAACUUGUUUAUGUCGCAAUUUAUGUUUAUGUGGUGUGUAUGUGUGAUCUAGCUUAAAUAAACCUCACUGAGGUGAGCUUGUCGGCUACAAUUAGAUCUCUCAUGUUUUUAAUGCUGCCAAUAAGUUAAAUCUUGGGCACUGUGUUAUAGGUUUAUUUAUCGGUUUAGAAAGUAAUUUCAAAUGAAUUGUCUUUUGGUUACCGACUAGGUAAGGAGAGAUUGGUUGUCUGGCGCUGAGUUAGCAACUAGAACUAGUUCACUAGAGGCGUUGAAGUUAUCUUUGCAUCGAUGGUCGAAUUCAUAAAUCAAACGGAGAUUUUAUCAUUGGCUAGAGCUUUUUCCAAUUGAUUUUUCCAAAGCUUUUAAUUAUCGCCUUCUUUGUUUUAAGGGUUCAAUUUAAAUUAGUUUUUAAUUUAAUUCUAGUUUUCGAUUUCAUAAAAAAAUUAUUCCAAUUUACUUUUCUUAUUUUUUAUUGAAGAAAUAAAUUUAUUAUUGAUAUCUUUGGAUACAAUUCUACUUGCGCUUCUACUAAUUAAUAUUUUUUAAGUAGAUUUUAUUUUGGUAAGUUGACAGCCUAAAUAAUUAUUUAAUGUACUCAUUCUUUGAACUAGGCUUCGUAGGGGCGAAAUAAUUAUCUAAACUUGGUAAAUAAUUUUGGUUUGCAUAUUACCUUUUUGUUAUUGCAAACUGUUUCAAAGUUUUGUUCAAUCAAGUGUUGCAAUACUUCUUUGAACCUUGGGGCAUGGUUAUGGGAUGAAAGAUGAUUUUUUUAAUUAGAGAGGUUGUGUUUUGUUAUUAUUUUAUCUUUGACAUGAGCUUUAUAGAGUUGUCAUUUAUUGUGUUUAGAUGAGAUCUAGUUUAUGGUAACCUCGUUAGAGGUUUCAUUUUUAAUAAACUCAACUUUCGCUGAGACAAGAAAAUGCUUCUUCUAAUAAUAAAAGUGCAACACCUGCAAACAAUGCAAUUUCAAUUUCCUAAACAAUUAGCAACAAGAUAAUGGAUUACGGUUUAACUUCUAACAAGAUGUUCAAGUUCUCGCUAUCAUCUACUAAGAUUAAUAUAACCCAUGAUCAUCACCAAUUACAGGAUCCUUCUUUAUGCUUACUGUAAAGGGUCAUAAUUGUUGACAAUUGGUCUGCAAUGCAACAAACCACCAGCAUCGUGAGGAGCAGCAGUAAUGCUUACAUGUCUGUUUGAAGAUUGAACCAGAAGCAACUUUCUUUGUUUAAAUUUUGUAUUUUUGUGAUCUAAAGCUAGUACUUUUAGAUUUGAAAUGGAUGGAUGUAACAGCUGAAUUUUUCAGCUUUUCUUUUGUAUUAUUUUAGUUGGCAACUUGCCAAAUUUGGUAGGAGCAGUUACAUGUUUAGGUAACUGACUUGUUAUUAUUAUUUUUUUGUAACUCCUUUAUAUUUUGAAAUGAAGAUGAAAGCAGAUGACUCUCUCAUUUCGGCUACUUGUUUUUGUUCUUGGUUUUUCAUUUUUUGCUUGCUGUUUUGUGCUUAUGUUCAUAGUUGCUGCUGCCUUUUUCUAACAAAUGGUAAUCAGAGCCUCUUGUCUUUGAGGACCUCUGUUGUUUAAGUUUUUUUUGUUUCAAAAUAAACUCAAAAAUCGUGUUUGUCAAACUAGUUUCAGCAACAUGAGCUUUGCACCUCCUCCACCACCAGUUUUUGCUGGAGAAAACUACCACAUUUGGGUAGUUAAAAUGAAAACUUACCUCCAAGCACUUGAUCUGUGGAGUGUAGUUGAAAAUGAUGUCGAGCCACCACCAUUGAGAGCAAAUCCAACCAUUGCUCAGAUCAGGCAACAUGGUGAGGAGCGAGCCAAGAAGCAUAAAGCCAUGGCCUACCUACAGAAUGGAGUGUCUGAUGUGAUUUUUACUCGCAUCAUGGCCUGUGACUCACCCAAACAAGCUUGGGACAAGCUGAAAGAGGAGUUCAUGGGAUCAGACAAGACUAGGCAGCAACAAGUCAUCAACCUUAGAAGGGAAUUUGAAAAUUUGAAGAUGAAGGAGUCAGAAACUAUCAAGCAAUAUUCUGAUAAGAUUAUGGCUACUGUCAAUAAUACUAGACUCCUUGGAGAAGAUUUCAGUGACAGCAGGGUUGUUGAGAAGGUUAUUACCACAUUACCUGAAAGGUUUGAGUCAAAAAUCUCCUCAUUGGAGGACUCGAGGGAUCUCACAACCAUUUCUUUGUCUGAGUUGGUUAACUCACUCUAUGCACUUGAGCAGAGAAGAGCAAGUAGGCAGGAGGAGAGUUCUGAAGGUGCUUUUCAAGCAAAGGUCAGAGAAGGCUCCAGCUCAAGUCAGAAAGCUAAGAAGCCUUGGUUUGAAAAGAGGGAAAGAUCAAAGAAAGAUGCUGGUAGAAGGAGGUUUCCACCAUGCAUUCACUGCAAGAAGACUAAUCAUUUGGAGAAGUAUUGCUGGAAUAGACCAGACAUCAAAUGCAAGAGUUGCAAACAGUAUGGUCACCAUGAGAAGAUUUGUAGAAAUCAAGAAAAGGCACAAGCUCAGCAUAAUCAAGCUAAGACUGCUGAUGAUCUACAGGCUCAGGAGGAGCAUGUCUUCACUGCCUCAUAUUCUGCAACCACAAGCAAAUCCAAAUGCAGUUGGCUUGUAGAUAGUGGCUGCUCACAUCACAUGGCAUCAGAUGAGAGCUUGUUCAAGGACCUUGACAGGAGUUUUGCUUCAAAGGUCAGAAUAGGCAAUGGGAAUCUGAUUGAAGCUAAAGGCAGAGGUGAUGUUGUGAUCAACACUGGUUCAGGUAACAAGGUUAUUUCAGAUGUGCUCUAUGUACCUGAAAUAGAUCAAAAUCUACUUAGUGUAGGUCAGCUGGUUAAGAAAGGCUACUCUCUAGUUUUCAAGAAUAAUUCUUGUGUUAUUAAUGAUAUUCUUGGUAGAGAAGUUGUUUCAGCACCCAUGGCAGAUAGGUGUUUCAUGCUAGAUGUGAGCCAACUUGAGAGAAAAGCCUAUACAAGUUCAGUUGACAAUGCUGAUUUGUGGCAUAGAAGAUUUGGCCAUGUCAAUUUCAGGUCACUCAAUUUGCUGCACAAGAUGAGUUUGACAGAGGGCAUGAUUAAGGUUGAUGCAAAUGAGUCUGUUUGUGAAGUGUGCCAGCUUGGUAAGCAGGCCAGGUUGCCUUUUCCAGUAAACCAAGCAUGGAGGGCUCUAGAAAGACUUGAGUUGGUGCACUCAGAUGUCUGUGGACCAAUGAAGACCUCUUCACUGAAUGGCAGUAAGUAUUUUAUACUGUUUAUUGAUUAUCUGACCAGAUUUUGCUGGGUUUAUUUCAUGAAACAGAAGUCAGAAGUGUUUGAAGUUUUUGGAAAGUUUAAGGCAUUGGCAGAAAAUCAAACAGGCUACAGGAUUAAGGCCUUGAGGACAGACAAUGGUUCUGAAUACUUGUCUGAAAGAUUUCAGAAGCUAUGUGAGCAGGCUGGGAUUCAUCAUCAAUUGACCACAGUUUAUACUCCUCAGCAAAAUGGAGUAUGUGAAAGGAAGAACAGAACAGUGAUGAACAUGACCAGGUGUUUGUUUUUUCAAAGCAAGCUUCCAAAUAUUUUUUGGGCUGAAGGUGUCAACACCUCAGUGUACCUACUCAAUAGGCUGCCAACACAUGUUGUGAAGGAUAAAACUCCUUUUGAAGUAUGGUAUGGUCUUAAACUAACUGUUUCCCAUUUAAAAGUGUUUGGUUGCAUGUGUUUUGUACUUGUCCCUGCAGAAAGAAGAACCAAGCUCGAGAAGAGGUUUUGUUGGCUACAGUAGCUGCAAGAAGGGCUACAGAGUAUUUGAUCCCUCAACCAAGAAGAUUUUGGUAAGAAAGGAUGUCAAAUUCGAUGAAGGAAGGUUUUGGAGUCUAGAUGGCUCUAACACAAGUCAGUUUGAAUAAGAGCAGAUUGACAGCAAUCUAGAAUUGGCAGAAAAUGAAAUCAGUAAUGCCAAUGUAGAUUAUGCUCCUGUGAGAGGGACCAGGUCUAUUGCUGAUAUCUACCAAAGAUGCAAUGUGGCCAUUGUUGAGCUUUCAAGCUAUGAAGAAGCUGCAAGAAGCAAGAGCUGAAAGAAGGCUAUAGAGGUUGAAAUUGACAUGAUCCACAAAAAUGACACUUGGGAUCUGGUAGACAGACCUGAUCAGAAGAAGGUCAUAGGUGUCAAGUGGGUUUUCAGGGCCAAAUUCAAUGCUGAUGGCUCUUUGAACAAACACAAAGCAAGGCUUGUGGUGAAAGGGUACAAUCAACAGUUUGACAUUGAUUUUAAGGAGACAUUUUCUCCAGUGGCAAGGCUGGAUACGAUAAAGCUUCUGUUUGCCUUCGCAGCACAGAAGUAGUGGAGGGUCCAUCAACUUGAUGUCAAGUCAGCUUUCCUGAAUGGUUUUCUUAAAGAAGAAAUUUAUGUUGAACAGCCUGAUGGAUUUAAAGUCCAAGGAAAGGAAGACAAGGUUUACAAGUUGAAGAAGGCACUCCAUGGACUAAAACAGGCUCCUCGAGCCUGGUAUGACAGGACAGAUGCUUACCUGUCUAGGCUCAAUUUCGAGAAAAGUUUGAGUGAGCCAACUUUGUUUAUAAAGAAGUCCAAAGAUGAGACUUUGCUGAUUGUCUCAAUAUAUGUGGAUGAUCUAUUAGUGACUGGAAGCAGGGUCGAUUUGAUUCAAGAGUUCAAGAAGAAUAUGCAAGACAUGUUUGACAUGACAGACUUGGGAAUCAUGACUUACUUCCUUAGUAUGGAAGUAGACCAGUCCAAUCAAGGCAUUUUUAUCAGCCAGCAUGCAUUUGCCUUGAAAUUUCUCACUAAGUUUCAUAUGGAAAACAGCAAACCAGUGAGCACACCAUUAGCUGUGGGAGAGAAGCUAAGCAGCAUUGGAAAUGAAGAAAAGGUAGAUGAAAAGGAGUAUAGAAGCCUGAUUGGUUGUUUACUUUACUUGACAGCAACUAGACCUGACCUUAUGCAUUCAGUUAGUCUACUAUCUAGAUUCAUGCACAGCUGCAAUGUAACUCAUUUGAAAGCAACAAAGAGAAUACUCAGGUAUGUCAAAGGUACUUUGAAGUUUGGUGUAAUGUUCAAGAAAGGAAGUGAGCUGAAAUUAACUGGCUACUCAGAUAGAGACUGGGGUGGAUCAGUUGAUGAUAUGAGAGGUACUUCAAGCUACUUCUUUACACUUGGUUCAGGAGUUUUCAGUUGGAGCUCAAAGAAGUAACAAACUAUUGCUCAGUCUACUGCUGAAGCUGAAUACAUAGCAGCAGCUGCAGCAGUGAAUCAAGCCAUUUGGCUUAGGAAGUUGCUAUGUGAUUUGAAUGAAGAACAGCUUGAGCCUACUGAAAUUAUGGUGGAUAACCAGUCAGCAGUUGCCAUCUCUAAAAAUCCUGUUUUUCAUGGUAAAACCAAACAUUUUAAGCUCAAGUUUUACUUUGUUCGAGAGGUUGUUCAAUCCAAAGAAGUGUGUCUUAUACAUUGCAACUCACAAGACCAAUUGGCUGACAUUUUGACAAAGCCUCUUGGCACAAUCAGGCUUGAAUUCUUAAGAGAUUCGAUUGGUGUUUGUUGCCUACAGUCCAAGGAGGAGUGUUGACAAUUGGUCUGCAAUGCAACAAACCACUAGCAUCGUGAGGAGCAGCAGUAAUGCUUACAUGUCUGUUUGAAGAUUGAACCAGAAGCAACUUUCUUUUGUUUAAAUUUUGUAUUUUUGUGAUCUAAAGCUAGUACUUUUAGAUUUGAAAUGGAUGGAUGUAACAGCUGAAUUUUUCAGCUUUUCUUUUGUAUUAUUUUAGUUGGCAACUUGCCAAAUUUGGUAGGAGCAGUUACAUGUUUAGGUAACUGACUUGUUAUUAUUAUUUUUUUGUAACUCCUUUAUAUUUUGAAAUGAAGAUGAAAACAGAUGACUCUCUCAUUUCGGCUACUUGUUUUUGUUCUUGGUUUUUCAUUUUUUGCUUGCUGUUUUGUGCUUAUGUUCAUAGUUGCUGCUGCCUUUUUCUAACAAUAAUUAAUGAAGGCACAGUUAUUUUACUCCCACUUAUUACGAUGGAGUCUAGGUAUAGAGCUCAUGUAGACAGUGGCGGAGCCUAGUGAAGAACUAAGGGGUCAUAUCUUUAAAAUGGUAAAUUUUUAAUUUAGGUUUUUUAUAAUUUAUAAAAUUUUAAAUUAAUAAUGGUAAAAUUCUACUUUGGUCCCUAAAAAUGAUAAAACUUUUAUUUAAUCCUCUAAAAAUUAUAAAGACAUAGACUAUUAAAAUGAUGAAUUUGCAUUUUUACUAUCGUAAAGAUAUAUAAUUUAAUUCCGACCCAAAAAAAAAUUUCAGACUCCACUGCUUGCAGGCAAUGUAUGAGGAAUAACUCAUAAACCUUUUAUUUUCUACUUGGUACGUAAGAAAAACAUUUAUUUUCUACUUAAAACCUAAAAUAAAAAAUCCUAACAAAAUUUUAAAAUAUUGAAAACACAAGAAAAUGAUGAACCUUUUGAGAAAUUUGUGCCAAAUCCAUGUGACCAUGUCCGACCAAUUAAGGUUACUUUUUUUAACAUACUAAUCCUAAGAAAACAACAAAAUUUCCUGAUAAAAAGUUUUAUCGUAUUCUACAACAAAAAUUAUAAAUUAAGGCUCUCCCUUACUUAAGUUUUUAAUACAAAACCAAUACCUACUUGGUGGGGGUGGUCGGUCACUUCUUUAAAAUACCGUACACUCUACAUGUAUGUACUCAUGUCACGAGGCUAGACCUUUCGUCUCGCAAUCCGUGCGGCCUUAGGCGAUCCGUUCGUCCAAACUCGCCUAAGUCAGCCUUAACUCCCAAAAGAGAGGAUUCUUUUAGAACUCCUUCAAGGCACCAAUUGAAGAGCGGAAGCGAUUUAUGCCAAAAGAAGCUAAGGUAAAAAACAACAGAAAGCCACAAAAAAGAAUGCACACAAGGUGUUUGAGUAAAUGCUCUCAGAACUCUAUUACUCUUAAGAAUUCAGAAUACAAUGGAAUGAGUACAAAUGAGGGGGAGGCUCUCUAUUUAUAGUUGAGCUCCCCCAAAAUCGACGGUCAAGAUACAAUUACAUCGACGGAUGAGAUUUAACCAUAUCCCUUAAUUUUAGGGAUUUACAAGAUAAGUCUUAUCAAAUCUAAUCUAAUCUUUACAAGAUAAGAUUCCCUCUAUCUUCUAAGAUUAGUUACCAUAUCAGCCUGAAUCUCUUCGUUAUCGGGCCAACCGGGCUUCAAUUUGACAGGCUCCUCCAAUUGCUCAUUGAAUCGGGCCAGUUCUCGUGGGCCAAAUGAUCCCCAUCUGAGCAAUAGACCUCCAUUGGAUGCAUUUGGUGCAAUGGUCACGGGCUUUGAGCUGCGGCCCGUGACAUUCUCCCCCACCCAUUCUCGCAACGUCCUCGUUGCGACUUCUGAAUGGCACUGACUUGAUUCGCCUCGAUCUCGUGUUGAUGCCUUAGCCUUUCCAUUCUUUUGAGACUUUUGCCUCGGCUUCCGCCGCUUCUUAACUCGAACCGUCCUACUCGUUUGUACAUCUCGACGACAAGAAGCUAUGUCACUCUCUUGCCCACAUUCUAACUUGACUCGAACAGAAUCCUCUUGAUUCAACACCCUUGGCCUCGCUUUGCCCACCGUCUCUCGGCCUCUUUGCUCAAGAACUUCGAAAGGGCUCUUACGUUCUUGCCAAGUACACAAGUUAGAAUGCAAAACACUAUCACAGUGUUUGGAAUGUACCUUACUCGCAGCAUUUACUCGUCCCGACUGUCUUUGCAUCGCUCCAUUUCCCUUGAAGCCCGAUGCACAACCCACCUUCCCCAAAGGUGUCGGCUCCACAGUCGAAUCUGCAGGCUUCAUAUCGAACUCUUGCGCCACUAACACUUCCGAAGGAGCUUUCGUAAUCACUCGUUCUAUCGAGUCGAUGUUCCUCCCAUACAAAACAUCCUCGACUAGUUGGAUUGACGACAACACAUUUGCCCCUACUUUCAUAUUUCGAUGCACCGGAACAACAAUCUUUGUUAACGGACCGGUGAUAAUAUGGAUUUGAUCGGCCCAUGGAUACAGAACUGUUUGAAUCCUGUCAAGGAAGUUUAAGCCAAGUACAUAAUCGUAAUCAUCUAAUUCGAUUACCUCAAAUUCUUCCUUGCCCUUCAAUUCGCCGAUGUGUAGCUCCACAUUCCGAACUACACCCAUAGUUGGGGCCUCCUUGGAAUUUACUGUCUUGAUCUUCUUCUUCAAUUUCUUAAUCGGCAGACCAAGCUUUCUUGCAGCCUUUUCCGAUAUGAACAAGUCAGAUGCUCCCGUAUCAAUAAGAGCAUUCUGCUUCUGACCCGCAAUGUUGAUGUCUACAAACAUCAACCCUUCUUUACCAUUCCUCUUCUCAGGAAUGAGCACCAUCGAAUUGACCCUCGAUGGCUUUUCCUCAAUAGGCUUCGCCUCUUCAGGCUCAUCGCUUCUCUUGAUAGCCGAAACUGAAGAUACCUUUGGGCAGUCCCUCUUCAUGUGCGGUCCUUUACAAAAGUAGCACCGUAACUUUCCCCUCUUUUCUUUCGGGCUAUUAGGUCUCCGCUUCCCAUUUCGUGGUUUCCUAUCAUCACCAUCACUGCUACUACCAUUGUCAUCAUAGCUUUGUCCAUCUUCACCCUCCUCAUGGUACCCACCAUUGCCCCUCCUAUUGGGCUUGGAAGUUUCAAACCUGUCCCUUCUCGGAGCAAGUUCCACUAUGGACUCCGCUACCAUCAUGGCUUUGGUAAGUUCCCGAACUCCUCGACGUUGCAAUUCUUGCUUUGCCCAUGGUUUCAACCCAUCUGUAAAGGAGAAAAAUGCUUCUUUCUCGCUCAAAUCAGAGAUCUGGAGCAUGAGUUCACUGAACUCCCGCACAUACUCCCUAACCGUGCCUCGUUGCGUUAGCCGACGCAACUUCGCUCGAGCUUCAUCCUCGGCAUACUCGGGGUAAAACUGUGCUUUAAAUUCAUCUUGGAACUCCUUCCAAGUCCCAAUCUCAGUACCACCACGUCUCACAUCAGUGGACCUACGUCUCCACCAUAACAAAGCAACGUCAGUGAAAUACAUAGCAACAGUGUUUACCUUUGUAACAUCAUCCUCGAUGUUCAUCGCACGGAAGUAUUGCUCCAUGGCCCAAAGAAAGUUAUCCACCUCACUUGCAGACCUUGCCCCUUUAAACGCCUUCGGCUUGGGCACAUCCAUCGCUUGUGGCUUCGGCUUUGAAGCCAACAUUCCAUUCCCUAUGGCAGCCUUGAAAAUCUUGAGCUCCUCCUUAAGCUCGUUGAUUUCCUCCUUCAAAGCUGUCACCAUAGCCUCGAGAGCAUCGUUCUUUUCAGCAAGCUUAUUCUCCGAGGAACCGAUAGUAUCCCACACAAAUUCCCUGAGCUGUCCUUGCAAUGUUCGCAGCCCAUCAUUGUGUCUAUCAUCAACAUCGUCGAUCCUCUCCUUGACGUCCCCCAUGGACUCCUCGAGAGUGACGACUCGAUCCUCCAAAGCUGAAAUUAAGUCCCUUGAUCGACUCGCUUUUCUGGCCCUUCCUCGGUUCUCCAUUGGCUCAUUCUGACCAACAACUUCUUUCGACAUCCCAACAGUGCCUUUGAACCAACAACUCAGAUAUUACUUGGUUCAAACCUUGCUCGGAUACCACUUGUCACGAGGCUAGACCUUUCGUCUCGCAAUCCGUGCGGCCUUAGGCGAUCCGUUCGUCCAAACUCGCCCAAGUCAGCCUUAACUCCCAAAAGAGAGGAUUCUUUUAGAACUCCUCCAAGGCACCAAUUGAAGAGCGGAAGCGAUUUAUGCCAAAAGAAGCUAAGGCAAAGAACAACAGAAAGCCACAGAAAAGAAUGCACAUAAGGUGUUUGAGUAAAUGCUCUCAGAACUCUAUUACUCUUAAGAAUUCAGAAUACAAUGGAAUGAGUACAAAUGAGGGGGAGGCUCUCUAUUUAUAGUUGAGCUCCCCCAAAAUCGACGGUCAAGAUACAAUUACAUCGACGGAUGAGAUUUAACCAUAUCCCUUAAUUUUAGGGAUUUACAAGAUAAGCCUUAUCAAAUCUAAUCUAAUCUUUACAAGAUAAGAUUCCCUCUAUCUUCUAAGAUUAGUUACCAUAUCAGCCUGAAUCUCUUCGUUAUCGGGCCAACCGAGCUUCAAUCUGACAGGCUCCUCCAAUUGCUCAUUGAAUCGGGCCAGUUCUCGUGGGCCAAAUGAUCCCCAUCUGAGCAAUAGACCUCCAUUGGAUGCAUUUGGUGCAAUGGUCACGGGCUUUGAGCUGCGGCCCGUGACACUCACACCUGCGUUUCUUCUUCUUCAACAUUUCUCAUCCUCUUGCAGUAACCAAACACUUUGCCUUGAUAUCAUUUUGAACCAUCAAUGGCUGAAGCAAUUACGUUCGACCUCACCGUAAAGCUAAUUACUAAACUGAGCUCCCCUACUCUCUCUCAAAUUGGACAGUGGUGAAUCUCAAAGAUGACCUCCACGACCUUAAAAGCACCGUCCCCGCAAUCAAAGCUGUGCUUUUUGACGCUGAAGAGCGAUCUGUGACCAGCCAUCUUGUCAAAGAUUGGCUUGAAAAGUUGAAAGUGGGAGGGUUUGAGUAAAAAUAUAAACCUAAAAAAUGAGCUUGAGUAAAAAAUAAGACCUAUUUAAAAAAUGCGUUAGGCCCCGAGUAAGACAUUUUUGUCUGGGUCCAACUCGAAUUCACUAAAUGACAAAAAAAAUUAGUAUUUUUUUGUUAUUUUAAUGAUAUAUUCUUUUUUUCUUCUUAUUUUACUAUUAUUUUCUAUUAUGUUGCUACUAUUUUGUUCUUAUUAUUUGGAUAUUGUAUAACACUUGUUUUAUUAUUAAUUUUGUUAUUAUUUUAGAGGCAUUUUCUUGUUAGGUUGCAUCUAUCUUUAUAUUAUUUAAGUGUACAUAUUUUUUAAAAUUUAUUUUCAAUUUGUUGGGAAAUAUUGAUUUUAAUAUUUUUAAUAUUUUUGAUGUAUUAUAUAUAUUUAAAAAUUAUAUAAAAAUAAUAUAAAAAUUUUAAUAUGGGCGGGCCAAGUCUGGCCCGAAUUUUAACAUUUUUAUCCUUUCCGAACUUGAGUAAAUUUUUAGGCCCAUUUUUCAGGUUAGGGCCUAAAUUUUUGCUUGAGUCUGGCUCGGCCCAUGAGCACCUCUAGUCAAAACUAUAAAUCUAAUUUAUAAUUAAAUUUAUGCGUUAAAGUCUGCCGAUGAAGAAUAUUUUUCUUUUCUACGAAUGGGAAGAAAUCCUUCUAAAGUUUUUUAUUGUCCCAAUAUUAUUCAAUGCUAUGGUGGUUUCACGACCCUUGAGCGAGAACAAGGAAUGAUUUACAAUAUGUUCCUUGAAUAUGCUCUAGGAGGUAAUCUAUUAGACUUGAUGAAAAGUAUGAUGUUAAAAUUCCAGAAAGGGAUGUUAACUACUAUGCCCAAAUGAUACUUGAAGUACUUCUAGACAUUCAUGAGAAAAGGUUUAUUCAUUCAGAUUUAAAACCAGGUAAUAUUUUGGUUUUCCCUCCUCAACAUGGUGCCAAUUUAUCUACUUUAAAGACUGCAGAUUUUGGAUUAGCUAAACAACUAGGGGUAAAAGAUACAAGGUUUGAGUUUCAAGGUAUAAGGUAUUACAUGUCUCUUGGAUCGAUUUUCGAAGAAGUUAGUGGUGCAUUGGAUAUAUGGUCGUUGGGUUGCAUUGAGGUUCAAAUGAUUAUGGGGAAAUUGCCAUGGGACACUCGCGAUCGAGAUGAAUUAAGAGACAAGUUUUUGAGAGGAGAAUCAGCCAACAUCUUGGAAGACAUGUCGAAGCUAGGGAAUAGUUUCUUGAAGGAAUGCUUUGCUAUUGAUCCAAACAAAAGGUAGAAUGCUAGUAAGCUACUAUGUCAGCACAUGCUUCCUAGAGACUACCAACAAUCUUUAUCAUAUUUUCAAUAGCAAAAAGUAUUACGGUCUCAAAAUAUUCCAUCACCACCUAAUUUUAACAUUCCUAAUAAUUUUUUGUUGGAAAGGAGAAAAAUUUUAGAGAAACAAAGGUUAAGAAAGAUGAUUAGUUCCUAUCAGCAACAAAAAACUACGGGCUACUUGUGCGUCUAGUAUCCAUGAUUUCUUUCUAUUUGAAAAUUAGCAUGGCUAGACGUGAUAUGUUUUCAAUUUUGUUGGAUUGUAACAGUGUUUGUGGACAUGCUUCUAGUAUCUCAGGGUGAAAUCAAAUGUUAUGCAUUGCAAACAAAAAGUUGAAUGAUUCUGAUAAUUUGGAGUGAAACCAGAAACAAGAAAUUAAGUCGGCUUUGAUUGUAAAAUCCAACAACAGUUAUACUAUCAAUCUUACGUUUAUAGUAGUACUAUGACUGCGCCAUAGUUAUUGCAAUAGACCUCCACUCUUAGCAUACUAAUAACGUACAACAUCUCACGAGUGGUGCUAUUUUCGUAGCCCACAUUAACACUAUAUAUCAUUGAAAACAAUGAAGAUUAAUUUAUUAAAUAAAGAGUAUAUAGUUUGGAUACAUAUUGAUGAAGAGGAUUCCUUCCACCCCUCUCCCUCAACUAUCAUCCUUCCUAUAUGACAAGUAUGUUUUAUUUAUUUUAUCUAAUUACUAAACAUUUCAAUAUGCUUUAUUUUCAUUACGUGACAUAAAAACUAUUAAGAGUAAAAGCUCAGAUUCCAACGCUAUACAAAUCAUCCUUAGCACACCUCAAAAAUAUUCACAACUACUCUCUCGACAACAAUCCGCUAAGCUUUUUGAAAAAAAAAAAACCAUGAAUGAUUGUUAUUUUAAAAAUAGAAAUUGGUUGUGAUUUUUUAACUUGCAUGCUAUAUGUUUUCUAAACAACUCGAGUCAAGAUCAAUUUUCAAUUUUUUAGUUUUUUUAAUUCAACUCUACUCAUCGGAGGCAAAUGAGCAUUUAGAGGAGCCCUAAUAUAUUAUAAGAAGUUGAAUAAAUUAUAUUUAAGCUAUCUUUGUUUGGACAAUAACAUUCGCUCUAAUGAUAUUAAAAACAAUAAUGACCACGAUGAUGAUAAUCAUAAUAAGAUUAGCUGAUGUAAUAAUUCCACACCAUCUUGAAUUAUAGCACUAGAAAAUGACCAAAAAUGAAAAUUAUUAUUUUUUGGCAUAAUGAUUCUUUUAGUCCUCCAAUUUAAUAGAAAAAGUUAUUUUAGCCCUCCAUUUAAAUUUUCUCCUCUUUUAGCCAUUAAAGUUGCAUUUUCUGUCAAAUUACCUCAAAAUGGAUGGAAAAAUUAAAUAGGUGCCCAUGACAUGCGACGAUCUAUGCAAAAAUAAAAAGGAGAAUUUAAAUCUAAUAAGAGAAAAUAAUAAAGAUAUUGGAACUGAAUAACAGUAAAAAUAAGUAGAAACAAAAUUAAAUUAAGUAAGCCAAUAUGAUGAAAUUCUAGCUUCAAGCUCGAUUUUGCUUCACCUUUGAAUCAAUCCUCGAUAUCAAGUCUUCUCCUUCAUUGACAAGCCAAUUAUACUAAUCGAGGAUGCCUCAGACCGCCAACCCUUCCGUGUGUAAAUUAAUUGCGGAAUGCCCAACAACUAAUCCUUACCGAAUGAACAACUGCGAAACAUGUAUCCACAAUUUAGCUCUCUAGUAGCCUUGUGAGCUAAAAGGGUCCAACUCAAACCAACGGUCGCAAUUGCGCGAGUUGUUUAGAUCCGAUUGCUAUUUCCCUUUAUAGAAUUCAACUAACUCCUUACUUGGACAUGCCAAUGUAUUCUUUGGUAGAUCAAAUACGACAAAUGAUCAAUUCGUUACUUUCAACUGUAUGUCUAUCAAUACCGAAUCAAUGAGCUCUUUUUAACUUGAUGUCAAUACAACUUUAUAAGAUGAAAAUUCCACUCUCCUCUGUCUCACUCAAGUGAAUUGGUUUCGAAAGCAUUCUGCCAGUUUUUGGCGACUUUCACUUUCAACCCGAUUCAUCGCCUACAUGCCCUUUACGCCCAGUCAUUCCGAAGAACACUUGCCCUCCCCCUGUCUUACUGCGCCUGCUGGCACGGAGUUAACCAAGGUUUCUUCCUCGAGUCCUGUCAUUAUCGCACACUCGACGAAAGAGCUUUAUGAGCGGGCCUUACCCUUCUUCACUCACGCGAUAUUGCUAGAUUGGGCUUUCGCCCAUUGUCCAAGAUUCCCCACUGCUGCCCCAUGUGGGAGUCCGGGUCGUGUCUCAGUCCCACUGUAGCUAAUCAUCUGAAAAGACCAGCUAAGCAUCAUUGGCUUGGUCAGCCUUUACCUAACCGACUACCUAAUACUAUGCAAGCUCAUCAAACAGCACAAUGUCUAUGUCUAAACCAAAAAAAAAACAACCGAAAUAAAGAUUUUUAAAUAUAAGUUUGGAUCUAACAACCCUCCAUCGAAUUAUUUAUUUAGCAAAAGUAUAAAUAAAAUUUAAAAAAUAUGGCAAUAUGAUUACGCGUGGGACAGAGAAGUAAAAAACAAUUAUAAAUAAAAGAAUGGGGCCAAAUUUCCAAUAGUAAACAAAUAAAAAUCAUCACCCCAUUUACAAUAAACAAAUAAAUGUAUAUUAAAAUAAUAAUAACAAAUAUUAACACGCUCACCUACAUCAACAAUAUCCGUAAUUAAUAAUAAAAGUAUAGUAUAAAAGAGUAAUUUAAACUAUAUUUGGAAAGAUAAAAACUUGUGAUUGAAUUUUCAAUUAACACUAAAAUUAAAUUGGAUUCUCAGCCAAUCCCACUUUUACCCUUUAAAAAAGAUAUACAAUUGAUAAUUCUGCCCAACUUCUUGUUCUUUAUUCAUAUAUAGCAUCAUGUCAUGUGAUGCUAUUCAAGAAACAUACGUUGAAAAGUGCAGAAAUUUUAUAAAGAAAGACCGUCCCUUAACUAAGCUUUUAAUAUAAAAUUAGCAACUUUUUAUUUAAUUAUUACUUAGUGACAUCUUUUUAUUUAAUUAUUACUUAGUGGGUUGGUGGGUGGUGGCAUCUUUAAAAUAUUAUAUAAACUCUACGGGUAAUGUAGGUGUGUUUUAACAUUUGCAUUUUUAUGUAUAUAAUUGAAUUACAGUUAAAGUUUUAUUUAUAUAAUUACACAAAAUUAAAUUACAAAUCACACAUCACGAUAAUGUUCAUGAAUAAUUUUGAUAUUUACUCUAAAAAAAUAAAAAUAAUAAAAAGAAAAACACAUAAACACUACGGUAUUAACAAUAAAAAAGUAUCUCACCAUAACAAUUCAUAAACACCACUAGUAUUAACAAUAGUAAAAGUUAAACUAAUAAAAGAACUGAUGAUAAUAAAAUGUAGUGUUGAUAGUCAUAUAUAAAUGAAAAUGAUGAACAAAUAUAUGAAAUGCUGCUAAACACAUUUCACCUAUAUCAACAAUUUUAAUAAUAAGAUAAAGUGCACGUGUAUUAAAUAAAAAUUUAAUAAUUAAAAUAUAAAUUUAAUAAUAAUUUAGUGAUAUUCGAUACAAGCAUAAUUUAAGAAUUUUUACGGAUCAAGAUACUAAGUGAAUAAAUCGUUUAAUUCAGACACUUAUUUGACACAAAAUCAAACCAUAUUACUUUUUUUUUAUUCUUAAUAUUGUAUAAAAAAUUAAUAACAAAUAUAAUUAACAGACUUAUCAAUAUAAAAAAUUUAUUAAUAAGAGUAUAGUAUAAUAGUAAUGGAUAUAGUAACAAUUGUCAUUAUAUAUAAUUAUAGACAUGAUAAUAAUAAUUGAUACCAAGUUACCAAAAAGGAAAAAAUUAAAGCUAAAUUUCAUGGGUGGGAGAGGCCUAAAUGAGAUUUUAAUGUUAAUAAUUUAACUGAUUAUAAAUAAAUUUAAAUUCAAUUCAAUAAUUAUUGAGCUGAAUUUGAAUUAUUGAUCUAAUUAAACUUGAGUUUAGUAAUAUAUUAUAUAUUUUUAUCUUAUUAAAUUAAAUUACGAACUUAAUUCCAACUCAAAUAGAAAUAAAAUAUUUAAUUUAAGCCUCGAAUGCAUUGGCCUCAAUCGAAACACCUUGGAUUCCAUCGGAUUUGUCUCUUUCUUCUCUUUUCUUUCAUAGCUUUUUCAUUAAUUUCAAUUAUUUGUACGGAUCGAGACUGACAAAUUUUGCCCAAGUUGAUGUAAUUGUGCGGAGCACCCGAUCAUCCCAACUUUGUCUCCAUUGAGAAAUUUGUGUCAAACAUUUCCCACCAAUCAACAUUAUUUUCAUUUAAUUAUACUACUUGCUGGGUGGAUGCUAACAUCUAUAAAAAUUAUUAGUCUCCGCGUGUAUUAAUUUUCAUUUUAGUCCUCCUCUUGCAAUAACCAAACACUGUUUUGCUUGAUUUCAGUUUGAACCAGCAAUGGCCGAAGCAAUUGCUUUCGACCUCACCGUAGAGCUUAUUACUAAAUUGAGCUCCUUUACUCUCUCUCAAAUUGGACUGUGGUGGAAUGUCAAAGAUGACCUCGACGACCUCAAAAGCACCGUCUCCACAAUCAAGGCUGUGCUUCUUGACGCAGAAGAGCGAUCUGUGACCAGCCAUCACGUCAAAGAUUGGCUUGAAAAGCUGAAAGAUGUACUUUAUGAUGCCGACGACUUGCUUGAUGAUUUCUCUACCGAAGCUUUCCGGAAAGAUCUAUUGGGUGGGAACAAGCUGACGAAAGAGGUACGCCUUUUCUUCUCAAGCUCAAACCAGUUUGCUUACAGUCUCAAAAUGGGUCGUCAAAUUAAGGCCAUUAAGGCGAGGCUAACUUUGAUCGGAAGUGAGGCCAAGAUGUUCAAUUUGGUAGAGCGUGACCGCCCCAUGGAAACCUCUUUAUGACCAAAAAGAGGCAUCAAACGCACUCUUUUAAAGAUAACAUUAUAGGGAGAGACGAUGAUAAAGCAGCUCUUUUAAAACUCAUGUUAGAGUUUGAAAGUGAAGAGAAUGUUUACAUCAUUCCAAUUGUGGGGUUAGGAGGGUUAGGGAAGACUGCUUUGGCGCAGUUUGUGUAUAAUGAUGAAAUGGUCAAAAAUCAUUUUGAGUUGAUGAUGUUUGUGUGCGUUUCAGAUGUUUUUGAUGUCAAAAUAAUUGUAGAAAACAUUAUCAAAUCUGCAACUGGCCAAGCACCAAAUCAAAAACUCGAAAUGGAUCAAUUGCAAAGCCAACUUCGAGGGAAAAUCGGUGGGAAAAAAUAUUUGCUUGUUUUGGAUGACAUUUGGAAUGAGGAGUGGGAAGAAUGGGUUAGUUUAAAAGAGUUGUUAGUAGGUGGGGCUAAAGGAAGUAGGAUAAUAGUAACUACUCGCUCUUUGAGAGUAGCAAAAAUUACCAGUAAAUGUCAGCCUUAUGUUCUGAAAGGCUUGUCUGAUGACGAUGCUUGGUCUUUGUUCAAAGAAAUAGCAUUUGAGCAAAGAUCUAUAAACCCAACCUUUGUGAAAAUAGGGAAACAGAUCUUGGAAAGGUGUGGUGGGGUUCCCUUGGUUAUUAGGACCAUAGCUGGUGCGUUAUCUUUCAAAGAAACUGAAAAGGAGUGGAGUUCUUUCAAAGAUAAUGAACUUGCUAGAAUAUCUCAAAACGAAGGUAAAAUUCUAGCUACACUUAAGUUGAGCUACGAUCAUCUCCCAUCCCAUUUGAAACAUUGCUUUGCUUAUUGCCGACUGUAUCCAAAAGAUCAUAAAAUUCAUGUACAAACUCUUGUUCAAUUUUGGAUUGCACAAGGUUUCGUAAAGCAAUUGAAUCCAAGUCAAUCUCUCGAGGAGAUCGGGUUUGUGUAUUUUAAAGAUUUAAACGAAAGAGGUUUCUUCCAAGAAGUAGGAGAAAGAUAUUCGUGGGAAGGACUAACAUGUAAAAUGCAUGAUUUAAUGCAUGAUCUAGCUGAAUCAGUAGCCGGGACGGAGAGUAGUAUUGUAGAUUCAAAUGAAAUUGCAAGUAAGGUUGGUGAAAAGUGUCGCCACAUAUCAAUUGAUCCUUCAUUAAUUGUUUUGUUUAAAGGAAAGAAGUUGCGAACCAUGUUACACUUUCCAAAUUAUGAGAGAAAUCAAAAUAUGAAUGACGAAAUUUGGGAUUUUAUCAUUUCAAAUUAUAGAUGCUUGCGUGUAUUGGAAUUGAAUGGUUUAGAUUUUAAGAUGAUUCCACGCUCCAUUUGUAAGUUGAAACAUUUGAGGUACCUUGAUCUUUCUGGGAAUUUUAAUAUUAAGAUCCUCCCAAAGAGCAUUUGCAAGAUACAAAAUUUGCAAGCUUUGAAACUUAACUUAUGUUGGGAGCUUGAAGAAUUGCCGAAGAAGAUUGAAAAAUUGGUGAAUCUUACCCAUCUUGGGUGUGAAGAUUGUAGUGGCUUAACUCAUAUGCCACGUGGAAUAGGGAAGCUGACUUCCCUUGAGACGUUAAGCAAGUUUGUAGUGGACAAAGAUGGCUCACGUGACGGUGCAGAUCUAAGUGAAUUGAGUGGGCUUAACAACUUAACGGGACGGCUAGAGAUAACAAAUUUGGGAUUCGUAAAAAAUGCAAAAGAGAAGUUUAAAGCUGCUAAUUUGAAAGAGAAGCAACAUUUGAGAUUGUUGGUCUUAGUAUGGAAUGAUUAUGGUGACGACGACGACGACAGCGGUAAUGAUGAUGAUGAUGAUGACAAGUCACUUGAAGACCUCCGGCCCCAUCCCAAUCUCAAGGAGCUCUUUAUUGGAGGAUGGAGGAGUGAUGCCAAGUUUCCAAGUUGGCUUUCUUUGCUCACAAACCUCGUCGUGAUUAGAAUAUGGGGUCCUAGUAAUUUCAAACAAAUCCCGUCCUUUGCGCAAUUGCCUUGUCUUCAAAAGCUGUCAAUUGUUGAUUUAACUCUGCUGGAGUACAUGGACGAUAAUAGCCCAAAAGGAAGUCAAGGAGAACCAGAAUCAUUCUUCCCAUCGCUUAAGUCUCUUUGCCUCGAGAAUUGCCCAAAUAUGAAGAGUUGGUGGAGGAAAAGCUCGAUUGAUGAUGAUAACGAGGAUGACACAACUGUUAUAGGAACAUCAACCAUGGCAUUUCCUUGUCUUUCCUCUUUAGAAAUUGUAAAUUGCCCUUUGACUUCAAUGCCGUUGUAUCCUUCACUCGAUGAUGAUCUAAGGUUGGUGAAGACCAGUUCAAGGCCUUUAAAGCAGACCAUGAAGAUGAACAUCACUAGUACGACCCCAUCAAGUUCCACUUCUUCUCUUCCUCUCUCCAAAUUGAAAUCUUUCCAUGUACACAAAAUUGAGGGAUUGGACACUCACAUGCUAGAUGAGUACUUGAAACAUUUCACCGGCCUCAAAAAAUUAACAAUAGGAGAUUGCAAGGAGGUUGAUUUAGAGGGCAUGCAAUGGGAAGCCCUUAAGAAUCUCUCUCAUUUGGGGAUUAUUAAUAUUCCACAACUGGUGUCUCUCCCCCUUUGGCUUCAACAUCUUGUUCAAUUGAAAAGAUUAGAAAUUUGGAAUUGCAGCGGAUUGAGGUCACUCUUUCCUGUGUUCCAACAUCUCACUUUCCUUGAAGAUCUUUUAGUAAGCAAGUGCAAGGAGCUGGAGCUAUCAGCAGCUGGCUUACAAAUAUUCCAAGAUCAGACAAGACUACGCUCCUUAGCACUGGAAAAUAUUUCAAAGUGUCGGCAUCUUCCGGAGUGGAUUCAACAUCUAACAAAUCUGCAAAUUCUUUCUCUUGUUGAUUGGCCCAAUUUAACGUCGCUUCCGGAUGAGAUGCGCUGCCUAACCAAUUUGCAACAGUUAAAUAUACACGAGGUUCCUCAGUUGGAAGAAAGGUGUCAGAAGGACAUUGGUGCCGAUUGGUAUAAGAUUGCUCACAUACCUUCAGGUUGGUCUUUUCAUUAAUUUCCUUAUUGAAAUACUACUCAUUUUCCAUAAUAUUUUUGUUAAUUUUGCGCAGUAACCCAUUGGCCUGCUGUUGGAUAUAUCUGAAAAGCAUUUGACAACUUUAAGAAAUUAGAUGCAGAAAAAGAGGUGGUAACUACUUAAAUGGUUUACAUUUUUAAAUCAUAAAAUCUCACAAUUUCAGAUGAUCUAAUAUAACCCCCUAACUAAGCUUCUUCUUUUUCAGCAUGUGUUCAAUUGAAGAGCCAAAAAACAGGACAUGCGUUCUUCAUCAGCUGACCUGUCCAUGGCAUUGUACUCCCAUGAAAUCCUCCUCUCCAUGCACACGUGUUCUUUCUUUUCUUCGUUGAAGAGUCCCUCUGAUGAUCUAAUCCUAAUUUCUGCUAGAUUUUGGCUCUCUUUUUCGGCAGAGCACAGCAUAUAUUACAAGAAGCAGAGGCCAUACUUUCAACUACGAUUUUUUCGUCUGCCAAAAAUAUUCCAACUCAAGAAAAAUGGUAAUAUAUGGUUCCCAUGCCAUUGACAGAUUCUUGGUGUCGUGUUGGAGAGAGCUUAAACACGCAAUGUGGUUGUCAUGUAAGUAAAUUGAAUAGGGGGUAGGGGUUAAGGGUUGAUAAAAAUGGAGGGGGAAGAGAGGGAUAUUUCACAAUAUUCUUUGAUGCAGGGCACCCCUUUUAACUGUUUGAAUUUUGAAGGUUAAAUCAUGGAAGGAUCUUGCUUCAGAGUAUUUGGUGGUGAGGAUGAGGUUGAUGCUCUAUGUUUGGGAAUGGGAGUUUGUUACUAUUACAGAUUACGAUGCCCUAUGUUUGGCCCUUUGUUGAACUUGAACUGAAAAGGCAUAGAAAAUGGCCAUUAUUGCACAUAAAUAAAGUUCUGUUUAGCAACAGUAAGUGUUUCUAUAUUUGGACACUGCUCAGUUUAAAUGACAUCAAUUUUAACAUACUCCAUGUUCGCAUUUAUAAUUUCCAGGUUCAUUGUUGCUUUUGGAAGGUCUCGUUGUUGAAGCAUGAUAAUUGUCAGAGAUAUUGCAUUUGGAAAUUUAUUAUUCCACUUUACACGGAACUUAUGAAGAGUUUGACCAAUCCUAGAGCAUAUAUAUAGAUGAUUUAUUUUAUGGAUGAUGUGUGAAUUUAAAGAAGCACAUAUCUUCAUAAUAGGAGCUAUUGUUGAGUGACAUUGUUAUACACCAUCCGAGUGUUUAUUUUCACUUGCAUAGUUAAAAAGAAUUGGAAGAGAAAUUACUUAACUAUACAAAGGUGAGGUUGUAUCAAGUGUUUGAGGGGUAAAGCUAAAUCACUCCUUUGUAGUAUGAAGUUCAUAAUAUAUUUAUCUCUAGGCAAGGCCUCGCAGAUGUGGUACGACUUCUGAUCUAUAUAAACAUCUUGAUUAUAUUUUUAUUUUAUUUUGUUGCAUGAUACCGGCCAAAAAAAACACACACAUAUUUGUUAAUGUUCCAACAUUAAUUAUGCGGAGGAUUUCAAUAGAAUAGAGUGGCAGGGAUGGAUCAGCUCGUGAAGAAUGCAGGUCUUAUUUUGCAUCUUCCAUUUAACUAAUGCAGACAAAACUAAGCAUUAAUUAUGCGGUUCUAAUACAUCAGUUUAUUACAUCAGAGAAAUUGCCAAGUUCGUUUAGAUUCAUGAAUUUUCCAUAUUAGUUUCACUAAAAAUCUUCAAGGUAAUCCAUACUGAUAGUCUUGAGGCAGUUAAAAUUAUUUAGGAGAGAUCUAUAGGUGGAUCCAAUUCAGUUUAAGUUAGAAGGAUUUGUUAGUUGCUGAUACAGCUUGAUCAUUGAAAUAUUUCGUAUACUUCUAGAAUGAAUAAUCAGGAGGCUGAUACUUUGGCCAAGCUCGCACAUGAAGGUAGACAUAGUUUAUAGUUUGGGAGUUUUUGUAACAUCCCUAUUAAAGGGAUCGGUUACCGCACAAAUUAGCAAAAGAAAAUGAUAAAUGAAGUAACAAAGUAACUUAAAUUUACAAAAUAUGGUAUUGAUGGCACCAAAAAGCUUAUUCCAAUCGGCACCGAUGUCCUUCCGACUGAAAAUUGUUAACUCUUUUACAAUUUGAUCCUAUUUAAUUCUUUUUUAAUAAUAUAGGAACUAAAUUGAUUCAUUUAAUAACAAAGGGACUAAUUUGAUACAGUCUAUAAUAUGGGGACUUCUCAGAUGCCUUAACCCGUAAUGUGUGUGAAAUGUUUUAAAAAGUUUGCAAUUAAGCCCAUGUAAGUUGUUGCACCAUAUCAAUUAAAAAAAUUGAUGUUUGUGAACCUUAAUUUUGUAUUUUCUUUUAACUUUAAGAAAGAAAAAAAAGGAUUUUUGAGCCUAUUUUGUUUUUAAAGAAAAAGGAAAAUAUUAUAUCUAGGUGAAAUAAACCAUACACUAGAUUGCCACGUAAGCAGGUAAUUAUUUUUUUAAUUUAAAAUUUCAAUAAUAUAUAAAAAAAGUAUUUUAAGAAGUAUUUAAAUUAUAAAAACAUAUUUAUAAUACCUUUUAAUUUUUAAAAAUUUAUUAAUUGCUAACGUGACAUACAUAUGGUAAUCCACGUGUAUAUACUAUAUGUAUGUCACGUCAGUAAAAUUAACAAACGUUAACUUGUUUAAUCAUUUUAGGGUGACUUGACAAAAAAUAUAAAUUUAAAGUUUAAAAGAGAUAAAAUAAUUAAAUAAAAAGCUAAAAUAAUUUUUUUUAUAAAGUUAAAGAGUUAAAAAGUCAUUAUACUUUUUUUUUCAAGAUAAGAAAUGUUCUAUUGAUGAUACUUUAUACGUAAGUGCAUGUACAUUUGCCCCAUGAUUGUUAUUUUUAUAAAUUCACCAUAAAAAUUAAUUUAAUGUAUAGAGUUUUUUGUCAUAUUUGAGGUUGACUAUUGUAGCGAUGGGAUUAAAACUAAUUGUGAAAUAUAUAUUUAAACUCAAAUGUAAACGUUGUGAUAGAACGUGUUUAGAAAAUAACUACUAAAGACAUUAAGUUCAAAUUCAUCUCUAUGUAAAAUAAAUAAUUAAGGAUUUAUUUAAAAAUAAAACAUCUUAAAUAAUAAUUGAAAAUAUCAAUGUUAUGUUUAUAUUUAAAAAAUAAUUAAUAUUAAAUUAUAAAAUAUACAUAAAAAUUGUAUGUUUUAAUUUUUAUUAAAUUAGUAGUUAAAAUCACUUAAAAUUUUUAUUUCAUUAUUAUUUUCUUUCAAACUUUUAUUUUUGAAUUUUUUUAUACCGUCAAUAUUUUAAUUAUGUUCCACAAUUUGGAUAAUAUUUAUUACAUAAAAUAAAAAUAUAUAAAAUCAUGUUCAAUACGUAUAAUAUUAAAAAUUAGUAUAUAAAAAAUAAUUGGGUUGUUUCUUCAAAAUUAUUAAUAUAUAAAUAUCUUGAAGUGAAAAAAAAAAAAAUGGAAACUACAUAAGAGCUUAUAUAUGUGUUGUCUUUUUCUUUAUCAUACUUGAAAUAGAGUCGAAGCCAGGAAAUCCUUUUAGGGGCUAAAAUUAAAUUGUAAUUUUUGCAAUAGAAAAAAUGUAAUUUUACCAUUUUAUUAACUUAUAUCUUUAUAAUUUUUAAAAAUUAAAUCUAACUUUUAUCAUUUUUAGGAUGCCAAAGUACAAUUUUACAUUUAUUAAAUAAAAAAAUUUCUAUUUUAGAAAAGGUCGGGCCCCUGUCAACCCCUAGCUACGCCCUUGACUUGAAAGUACUUAUAAAGGUCUAUCAUGGCACAAGGCAAAAUUCCAAGCAUCUAAUUGUUAUUUCUCCCAUUGUUUUCCUUAUAACAAGAGUAUAGUAAAAUAGUAAUAGAGACAGUAACAAUUAUCAUAAUAUAUAAUUAUAGACAUGAUAAUCAUUGUCAUCAAAAAUACCAAAGUUAAAUUUUGUGGGUGGGGAGGUGGAAAUGAGAUAUUAGUGUUUGCAAAUUAAGUGAAUUCGACUCAAAAGAAAAAUUCAAAUUCGAUUCGGUAGUUAUUGAGUUGGGUUUAAGCUAUUAAUUUAGUCGAAUUCAAGUUUAAUAAUGCUUAUUCCAAUGACUCACUAAUCUUAUUAAUUUUUUUUAUUAUAUAUUUUAUCUUAUUAAAUUCACUACAAGCUUAUCUAAUUUAAAUAACUCAUUUAUAUCUUGAAUUGAAAUCAAACUCGAACUUAAAAAUAGAUAUUUAAUUUUAACUCAAAGAAUUCGGACUCGGCUCAAUGAAGCUUUAGAAAGACUUGAAUGCAUGUGCCUGAACCUAAAGUGAAUUCCAUGGGAUUUGUCUCCUCUCUUCUUUCAUAGUUUUUUCAUUAAUUUCAAUUAUUUCUACAGACGGACAAAUUUUCCCGAAGUUGCUGUAAUUGUGCAGAGCACCCCAAAUGUCAUCAUCCCAACUUUGUCUCCAUUGAGAAAUUUUUAAAAUUUUAAAUUAAUAAAAAUAAAAUUAUAUUUUAAUCUUUAAAAUAAUAAAAAUUUAAUUUAAUCCUUUAAAUCUAUCAUUUAAUUUCGGCAAAUCAACAUUAUUCUCAUUUAAUUGUACUACUAGGUGGGUGGAUGGUAACAUCUUUAAAAUACUGUCUCUGCGUGUAUGAAUCCACAUCUGUGUCUCAUCUUGUCGGAAUCAUUCUCAUUUUAGUCCUCCUCUUGCAAUAACCAAACAUCUUUGUGCUUGAUUUCAGUUUGUGACAAUUUCUUUUAAAGUAGAUUUUGAAAAAGCAUACGAUUAUAUAGAAUGACAAUUUCUUAACUUGGUUAUGAAUAAAAUAGAUAAUUGUCAAAUUUUAAUAUAUAAUAAUCCCUAUAGGAGCAAUCAAGUUUUAAUAAAUAUGUAUUGUUAACCCAAAUGAUAGGGAAAUAAAAGGGAAAGAGUGUAAUAAAUUUAGUUCAAUCUAGACCUAUUUAUGGGUAGGGUUUUUUGUCAAAUUUAAAAAUAUUUUGAGGGUUUAGGUAAAUAUAUUAGUUUUAAAAAAUAGGUUCCGAAAAAAAAGGCAUGCAUAAAAUAUGAAUUGGGAUUGGGAUUGGGAUUGAACAUUUAAAGCCUAAGUUUGACCCAAUCCAUUUUUUUAGUUUGUAAUGUUUUAUAUUACGUUAUUUUUAUAUGUUAUGUAAUUUGUAACAAAUAAAAAUUAAAUUUAUAUACUAUUAUAAUGUUAAGAUGACUAUAUAUAAAAUUUCAAUAAAAAUAUAUACAUAAUUAUUAAAUAUCAAGUUAAAAAUAAUAUAAAUAUAUUUUAAUUUUUUUUUAAAAUAGUAUGGUGGGUCUAAAAUGGACAUGAAUUAACCAUAUAUAAAUUUGGACGAACUUAAAAGUAAAAUUUUAGACUUACAUUUUAACUCAAACUAAAUUUAGACAAAUAUAAAAUGAAUUAAUAUCAUACUUAAACUUGACCUAUGAUAAACUCUAAUUUAAUUUUAGAACUCUACAUUUUGAAAUAAUAUUUUAAUGAAUUCUAUUUAUGUAUAUUAAAGUAAUUAAAAUGCACUCCUAAUCAAAUAGAUGUAAGCAAUAUUGAUGAUGAUAUAAGUAAUGAUUUUCCAUUCAACUCCACAAUAGCCUAAUCACAACACAUCCCUGUGAAACUGACAUAAACCCAAUAUCUCCCUCCACAUGUUCUUUGCAAAAUUAAAGCCAAAAUUUACAAUCACACCUGAUUUUAAGUCCAAAAGAAAUUAUGUAACUCCUCAAUAGCUCUCUGUGCGACAUUUGUAGUCACCCUUGAUAUUAAGUCCAAAAGAAAUUAACUUUUUCUUUUAUAGGCAACUUCUCCCAUUUUGGCAUUUUGGGAUAUGCCAAAUCAAUCUCUCUUAAUUUAUUUUUUAUAUAUUACAUACACAAAUAAUUAUAAUAAUUUAAUAUAAUAUAUAUCUGUAUUAAUUUUUUUAAAAGUAUAUAAUUGAAUUAAAAUCAAAGUUUCAUGUAUAUAUAUGAACCACAAUUCAAGUUUCAUGUGGAUGAUUGUACCAAAUUAAAAUUCAUGUAUCAAAUUGCACAUUUAACCAAAGUUCAUGUAUAAAUUUAGUUAUCCUUAAUAAUAAUAAUAAAUCAAAAACUUCGACCCUUUACUAAUAAAUAUAUGUAUAUUUUAAGGAAAAAUUAAAUGCUACUACUAUUAAUAGCAAAAAUGUCUUGACUUGUAUAUAUUUGGAAAAUUUUCAAUUAUGUAUAGUGUCUCAAUAAGUAUAAAUGAAAGCGUGUAAUUAAUCAAAAGUUAUAUCUUUUGAUUAUUGAUCAAGAAUUAUAACUAUCUAUAAUAAUGAGUUAUAUUCCUGAUAAAGAAUUAUAACUAUUCAAGCAAACUUGAAUAAUUAUAUAUCUUUUAGAAAAAAAUCACCUAUUAAAAGUUAUGUCUCUUAAAUUCCUAUAAAUAGGAGUAGAAUUUCAUUUAAAAAAUAUACCCAAAAAAGGUUCUCAAUAAUUCUUUCUACUAUUCUUACAUAUUUUACCAUUCUUAGAUUGUUCUAUAAAAUAAUAUUGCUGAAUUUUUUUUAUAAAAAUUGAUUUUCUUGUUAUACUCUGUUCGUUAAUGUAAAACGCUCAUAGCCACUGGGGUUCAUGUAUCUCGAGGUUCAUUUACUUUAAACUCAUUUGCACAUAGAGUAGGGGGUGAAUAGAAAGAUAAUUGAGCCUUGUCCUAUUGCUUCUUUUCUCUGUUCAAAUUGUUGUUCAUGUGUUCAAGAUUUUCGUCAUCGAAGUUCUACACUAAUAGUAUGGAGAGAUGGUUAAAGCUUUUAUCAGAUACUUAUUUAACACAAAUUCGAACCAUAUUACCUUAUUUUUAUUCUUAAUAUUAUAUAAAAAAAUUAAUAACAAAUAAAAUUAGCAGACUUAUCAAUAUAAAAAACAUUAUUAAUAAGAGUAUAGUAUAAUAGUGAUGGAUAGUAACAAUUGUCAUUAUAUAUAAUUAUAGACAUGAUAAUAAUAACUGUUACGAAGUUACCAAAAAGGAAAAAAUGAAGCUAAAUUUCAUGGGUGGGAGAGGCAUAAAUGAGAUUUUAAUGUUAAUAAGUUAAAUGAAUUUAACUAAAAAUAAAUUCAAAUUUGAUUCGAUAAUUAUUGAGUUUAGUUUGAAUUAUCGAUCUAAUUAAAUUUGAGUUUAGAAAUAUAUAUUAUAUAUUUUUAUCUUAUUAAAUUAAAUUACGAGUAUUCAAACUCAGCUCAAUUACACUAAGCAAGUGGGAAAAGUUACGAAGACAAGAAUGCAUGGGCCUCAAUAUAAACACCUUGGAUUCCAUGGGAUUUGUCUCUUUCUUCUCUUUUCUUUCAUAGCUUUUUCAUUAAUUUCAAUUAUUUGUAGGGAUCGAGACUGACAAAUUUUGCCCAAGUUGAUGUAAUUGUGCAGAGCACCCGAUCAUCCCAACUUUGUCUCCAUUGAGAAAUUUGUGUCAAACAUUUCCCAUCAAUCAACAUUAUUUUCAUUUAAUUAUACUACUUGCUGGGUGGAUGGUAACAUUUAUAAAACUUCUUAGUCUCCGCCAGUAUGGAUCCACACCUGUGUUUCAUCUUGUUCCAAUCGUUUUCAUUUUAGUCCACCUCUUGCAAUAACAAAACACUCUUUUGCUUGAUUUCAGUUUGAACCGGCAAUGGCCGAAGCAAUUGCAUUCGACCUCGCUGUAGAGCUUAUUACUAAAUUGAGCUCCUUUACUCUCUCUAAAAUUGGACUGUCGUGGAAUGUCAAAGAUGACCUCGACGACCUCGAACGCACCGUCUCCACAAUCAAAGAUGUGCUUCUUGACGCAGAAGAGAAAUCGAAGACCAACAAUCUUGUCAAAGUUUGGCUUAAGAAGCUGAAAGAAGUACUUUAUGAUGCCGACGACUUGUUCGAUAAUUUCUCUGCCGAAGCAUUGCGGAAAGAUCUAUUGGGCGGGAACAAGCAGACGAAAGAGGUACGCGCUUUCUUCUCAAGCUCAAACCAGUUUGCAUACAGUCUCAAAAUGGGUCGGAAAAUUAAGGCCAUUAAGGCGAGGCUAACUUUGAUCGGAAGUGAGGCCAAGAUGUUCAAUUUGGUAGAGCGUGACCGCCCCAUGGAAACCUCUUUCAUGACUAAAAGGAGGCAGCAAACGUCCUCUUUUAUGCGUGAAGGUGAAAUAAUAGGGAGGGAUGAUGAUAAAUCAGCUCUUCUAAAACUCAUGUUAGAGAAUGAAGGUGAAGAGAAUGUUUACGUCAUUCCAAUUGUGGGGUUUGGAGGGUUAGGGAAGACUGCGUUGGCGAAGUUUGUUUAUAAUGAUGAAAUUGUCCGUGGUCAUUUUGAAUGGUCGACGUGGGUGUAUGUUUCAAAUGUUUUUGAUGUCAAAAGAAUUGUAAAAAGCAUUAUAGAAUCUGUAACAGGCCAAGCACUAGAUCAAAGUCUCGAAAUGGACCAGUUAGGAAAACAACUUCGAGAUAAAAUUAGUGGGAUAAAAUAUUUGCUUGUUUUGGAUGACAUUUGGAAUGAGGAGCGGGAAGCAUGGUUAAGCUUAAAGAAUUUAUUGAUGGGUGGGGCUAAAGGAAGUAGGAUAAUAAUAACUACUCGCUCUAUGAAGGUAGCAAAGAUUACUAGUACAUGUCAGCCUCAUGUUCUGAAAGUUUUGUCUGAUGACAAUGCUUGGGUUUUGUUCAAAGAAAUAGCAUUUGGGCAAAUAUCUGAGAACUCAACAAAUCCAGUCUUUGUUGAAAUAGGGAAACAGAUUUUGGAAAGGUGUGGUGGGGUUCCCUUAGUCAUAAGGACAAUAGCGGGUACAUUAUUUUUCAAAGAAACUGAAAAGGAGUGGCGUUCUUUCAAAGAUAAUGAACUUGCUAGACUAUCUGUACAUCAAGAUGAAAUUUUACCUACACUUAGGUUGAGCUACAAUCAUCUCCCAUCUCAUUUGAAGCAUUGCUUUGCUUUUUGCCGAUUGUAUCCAAAAGAUCAUGUAAUUCAUGUACAAACUCUUGUUCAAUUUUGGAUUGCACAAGGUUAUAUAAAGCAAUUGAAUCCAAGUCAAUCUCUUCAGGAGAUCGGGUUUGAGUAUUUUAAUGAUUUAGUUGAUAGAAGUUUCUUUCAAGAGGUAGGAGAAAGAUUUUCGAGGGAAGAACUAUCAUGUAAAAUGAAUAAUUCAAUGCAUGAUCUAGCUGAAUCAGUAGCAGGGAGGGAGAGUAGUAUUGUAGAUUUAGAACGACAUGCAAGUCAGGUUGGUGAAAAUUGUCGCCACAUAUCAAUUAAUCCUUCAUUAAUUCCUUCAUUGAAGGGAAAUAUGUUGCGAACUUUGUUACAUUUUCCGAACAUUAGAAUUCAAAUUUUGAGUGACGAAACUUGGGAUUUGAUAAUUGCAAAUUGUAGAUGCUUGCGAUUAUUAAAAUUGGAUGAUAUAGAUUUUAAGAUGAUUCCACGUUCCAUUCAUAAGUUGAAGCAUUUGAGGUACCUUGAUCUUUCUCACAAUCGCGAUCUUAAGAUUCUCCCAAAGAGUAUUUGCAGUAUACAAAAUUUGCAAGUGCUGAAACUUGAUCGGUGCUGGGAGCUUGAAGAAUUGCCGAAGAAGAUUGAAAAUUUGGUGAAUCUUACCCAUCUUGGGUGUGAAGAUUGUAAUGGCUUAACUCAUAUGCCACGUGGAGUAGGAAAAUUGAGUUCCCUUGAAACGUUAAGCAUGUUUGUAGUGGAUAAAGAUGGUUCUCAUGGCGGUGCAGAUCUAAGUGAAUUGAGAGGGCUUAACAACCUAAGGGGAGAGCUAAGAAUAAGAAAUUUGGGAUUUGUAAAAAAUGCAAAAGAGAAGUUUAAGGCUGCUAAUUUGGAAGAGAAGCAACAUUUGAGAUCGUUGGUUUUAGAAUGGGGCUUUUAUUUUGAUGAUAACGAUCAUGAUGACAAAUCACUUGAAGACCUCCAGCCCCAUCCUAAUCUCAAGGAGCUCUGUAUUCAAGGAUGGAGGGGUGAUGCUGAGUUUCCAAGUUGGAUUUCUUUUCUCACAAAUCUCGUCCAUAUUAAAAUAUGGGGUCUUGGUAGUAAAUUCAAACAUCUCCCGUCCUUUGCUCAAUUUCCUUGUCUUCAAGAUUUGGUAAUUUGUGAUUUAACUGAGCUGGAGUACAUGGAUGAUAAUAGCCCAAAAGGAAGUCAAGGAGAACCACAAUCAUUCUUCCCAUCGCUUAAGUAUCUUUGCCUACGGGAUUGCCCAAAUAUGAAGAGUUGGUGGAGAAAAAGGUCGAUUGAUGAUUCCAACGAGGACGACACAACAGUUAUGUCAUUUCCUUGUCUUUCCUGUUUAAAGAUUGAAAAUUGCCCUUUGACUUCAAUGCCGUUGUAUCCUUCACUCGAUGAUUGGUUAAAGUUGGUGAAUACCAGUUCAAGGCCGUUAAAGCAGACUAUGAAGAUGAACAUGAAUCCUAAGACCCCAUCAAGUUCAACCUCUUCUCUUCCGCUCUCCAAAUUGAAAUCUUUCCAUGUAGAGAAUCUAAAGGAACUGGAGACUCACAUGCUAGAUGAGUACCUGCAACAUCUCACCAGCCUCAGAGGUUUAACGAUUAGAGAUUGCAAGAAGGUUGAUUUAGAGGGCAUGCAAUGGGAACCCCUUAAGAAUCUCUCUCGUUUGAUGAUUGAUAAAAUUCCACUGCUGGUGUCUCUCCCACGUGGGUUUCAACAUCUUGUUCAGCUGAAAACAUUAGAAAUUCGUAAUUGCAGUGGAUUGAGGUCACUCCCUGUGCUCCAAAAACCCAUUCCUGUGUUCCAGCAUCUCACUUCCCUUGAAGAGUUUGAAGUAACGAACUGCAGGGAGCUGGAGCUAUCAGAAGAUGACAUCCAAAUAUUCGAAGAUCAUACAAGCCUACGAUAUCUAACGCUGGAAAACAUUCCAAAGCAUCGGCAUCUACCGGGGCGGUGUAAAAACAUCCAUAAUAAUAGUAGAAAUUCCCCAACUGAAGGAAAGAUGUAGGGAGGACAUUGGUGCAGAUUGGCACAUUUGGUGGUAUCAGGUUGGUCCGUCCUUUCUAUUUAUUUAUUUAUUUAUUUUUAACACCAUAAUUUGUUUCCAAAAAAUAAGAAAAGAAAAAUUAGAGUGGUAUAUUUAGUCUCCAACUCUGGGCUCUCAUGCCAUUUUCAUUCAAGUUGGAUACUGUUAAUUUCCUUGUUAAAAUAUUAUUCAUUUCACAUCUUGUAUAAUUUGAAAUUCCUUUAUUUUAAUCCUACCAUUUUCAUAAUAUUUUGCUAAUUUAUGCAGUAAGCCAUUGGGGAAAGGCAUUUGUCAACUUCAAUAAUUUAUAUGCAUAGAAAGAGGUGGUAAUUUACGCAUCGUUACUGCUUCUUUUCAUAUCUCUCAUUUCAUAUACAUCAAUUUAAGGGCUUCUAAUAAUUUAAUUCUAAAAAAUCUUUAAAAUAGACAUUGGAGCAUAUAUAUAGAUGAUUUAUUUCAUGGAUAAUGUGUGAAUUCUGUAUUUGUCAUCUUUCAUAAUGUUUUGCUAAUUUGUGCAGUAACCCAUUGGAGUCUAUUUUGAUGAAAGGCAUUUGACAACCUUAAGAAUUUACAUGCAGAAAAAGAGGGGGGGUAGUAUUUAAUUGCUUUACACUUUCAAAAAAUAUUAAUCUCGCAAUUUCAAUGAUGUAAUAUAACCCCGUAACUAAGCUUCUUCUUUUUCAGCAUGAAUUCAAUGGAAGAGGCAAAAAACAAAAUGGACAUGCAUUCUUCAUGGGCUGAUCUGUCCAUGGCAUUGUACUCCCAUGAAAUCCUACCCUGUAUGCACAUUUGUUCUUUCUUUUUCUUUUUCUCUUUGUUGAAGAUCGACACAAAUUUUGUAGAUUUAUCCUCAAUUUCUUUGUCGAAGAGUCCCUCUGUUGAUCUAGUCCUAAUUUUUGUUAGAUUUUGGCUUUCUUCUUCGGUAGCGCAUAGCAUAUAUGACAAGAAGCAGAGGCCAUACUUUCAACUACGAUUUGUUCAUCUGCCAAAAUAUUCCAGCAAAACAAAAAUGGUAAUAUAUGUCAUCAGUUUCAUUAUAAUUUCCAAUUGAUCGGAUAUAAAUUAUAUAUAUGCCAAAUGAUUACUAGCUUAUAUGGUACCUAUGCUAUUGACAGAUUCUUGGAGUCGUGUUGGAGAGAGCUUAAACACGCAAUGUAGUUGUCAAGUAAGUAAAUUGAUUAGGGGCUAGGGAUUAAGGGUUGAUGAAAAUGGAGGGGGAUAUUUCUCAAUAUUCUUUGAUGCAGGGCACCCCUUUUAGCUGUUUGAAUUUUGAAGGAUCUUGCUCAAGAAUAUUUGGUGGUGAGGUUGAGGUUGAUAAAAUUCUUUCAUUAUUUAUAGAUGAACAACAAUAUAUUAACACUAAUGGGGAUGUGAAUUUCUUACCAUUACAGAUGAUGAUGAUGAUGAUGAUGAUGAUGAUGAUGAUGAUGAUGAUGAUGCUCAAUGUCUGGCCCUUUGUUAAGCUUGCACUGGAAAAGCAUAGACAAUGGGUUUGUGGUUACCCCCCAUUUAUGCACAUGAUAUAAAGUUUCUUGUAGUAACAGUAAGUGUUUCUACAUUUGGACACUGCUUGGUCUAAAAUACAUAAAUUUUAACAUAUUCUAUAUUGGCAUUUCCAGGUUCGUUGUUGCUUUUGGAAGAGUCCUAUUUCAAUGAUUGUCAGUUGCUGGAGAUAUUGCAUUGAUAAUUCAUUAUUCCAUGUUACAUGGAGCUUAUGUAAAGCUUAAUUGAUCCUAGAGUUUAUAUAUAGAUGAUUUGCUUCAAGGGUGAUGUGUGGAUUUAAAGGAGCACGUAUGUUUAUAGUGAGGAACGGAACUAUUAUCGAGUGCCAUUGCUAUAACCUCCGAGUGUUAAUUUUCACUUACAGUAGGUAGAUCUGAUAGAUAGUUUACUAAAUUGUACAAGAGUGAGAUUGCAACAAGUGUUCGAGGGAUUGGGCCUAUUUUUUUUUUUUUGGUAUUCUGAAGUUUAUAGUGGAUUUAUCUCUGGGCAAAACCCCGCAGAUGUAGGACAAGUUCCGAACUGCGUAAACAACCUAAUUGUGUACUUCAUUAUUCUUUACUUGUGCUAUGUGUGCCAACUCACAAAAGAACAUAUUUCUGCAUUUAGUAUUCUAGAUAAUGUUCAAACACAGGGUAGUUUAAAUGAUUGUCAUACAUUAUUUAAUGAAAGCACUUUGCAAAAAAAAUCCUUAAAUUGAUUACACUGAAAAGAAUCAAUCGAAAUAAAUCAGUUUUUUUCAGUUUAAUUAAUUCUUAUGUUUGAUUUAAUUGAUUUAUUUGCUCGAUUUUCAUUUUUAAUUUUUUAGAUUGAUGAGCUUUUUAAUUAGGGAUAAAUUUUAAAAUCAUACAUUAGUUAUGGUUUAAUAUGCAAUUGUAUAAAUGAAUUUUAAUUUUGUGCAAUUUUAUACAUAAAAUUUUGAUUUGAUAUUAUUAACACAAUUAUUGAUAUAACAUCAUCUUAUGUUUAUAUGUUGUAUAUAUAAAUAAUUAUAUUAAUUCAAUAUAAAAAUAAAUUGAAGUAUUUAUUUUUUUAAAUGUGCAUGAUUAAAUCAAGAUUAAAGUUUCAAGUAUACAUUUGAAUCAAAAUUAGAGUUUCAUGCAUAUAGUUGCAUCAAAUUAAAAUUUAUAUAUACAAUUGCAAAUUAAAUCAAAGUUAGAUAUAAUUUUAAGAUUUAUCUCUUUUAAUUAUUAAACCAAAAACUCAUUCACAUAUCUAAGUGCAAAAUAAAAUAAAUACUUAAUACCCAUAUAAAACUCAACCCACCUCAAUUAAUUAAAAAAACCUAGACAAAUAUUUAAUUUAAAAAUCCGAUAAUAAAAAGUUUAUAUAAUAUAUUUAUUAAAAGAAACUAACUAAUAAAAUUACUUGUAACAAAAAUUAGUCUGGUCAAUAAUAUUCAUCAUAGUAUUAAAUUUAUAUUAAAUAUUAUUGGAUAAAUACAAAAGUGGUAUUCAAGUGAAGUUCUUUCUACAAAUAAUCAAUUUUAUUAUUUAUUUAUUGCUUUUAAUAAUAAUAUAAAGAAAAAAAACUGAAUUUCUUAACUUUUUUAUAUUAGCACACGCAAAAGCACUUUGAUUGCUGGUGACGAAAAUUUCAAAAGAUUUCCGAAUAAUAAUUAACUACAAAAUAAAAAAGGUAAAGACAAAACAACUAUAAAAGGAAGAAAAUAAUAUCAUAAAUAAAUCAAAUAUACAAAAAAGAAAAGAAAGAAUGAUUAUUUCUUUUAUUAUUUCCGGCACUUUCAUGUCGUUCAUAUUUACCUCUUUAAAUUAUGCAUCUUUUAUUUUAUUUUUAUUUUGAGUUAUCAUGUUUAUUUUAUUAUUAAAUAUGGUAUUAUGAUUAUUAUUGUUACUCUUAUUACUAUUGACAAAUGUUAUUAUCAUUAUUAUUAAUAUUGCACUAUUAUUGCCAUCGCUACUUUUUUAUUUUUUAUUAUUUAUUUAUAAUAUUAUAUUAUUUGUACUUAUAUAGCAAUUCCAUUUUUGCUAAGCAUUCUAUUUCUCUUGCACAUAAUCAUACAAUGCUUAAAUAAAUUAGUUGCACAUCGCAUUAAAUAUUAUAUUCAUUUUACCCGAUGUAUAGGAAAUAAUUAAAUCGAGGUAAUAUUCAUUAUUUUUGAAAUUUGAGGAGUCGUGCUCCUAACUUACGAAGUAUGAUCUCUUUCCAAAACCGAAGUAAUUGAAUAUCCUAUUUAAAAAUAAAAAUUGAGAUUUGAGUAAUGAUCAAAUGGUGAUUAUUCUUGUUUUCGAGGAUUCAAAGCAUCAUGUCCUAACUUACAGGACAUGAUCUUUUCUUCUCGACUAACUCGAAGUAAGGCCUUUUCGUAAAAUUUAAUUUAGUUAAGUGAUAUUUUAAUCAAAAAAGAACAUCAUGCGAAGAGGGAUUGUAUUUUAAUUUCUCUUUGAAUUUUCAAUUUUUGACAUCAAAACAUCAAGUAACCAGCUAGGUACCAAUUUUGGGCGUUAUGAGGGUACUAACCCUUCCUCAUACGUAACCGACUCCCGAACCCAUUUUCUUGGAUUUUUUAGGCUAAAAUAUUUAUCGUUUUAGUAAAAUAUAAUCUUUUAUUAAAAUGAUUAGUUUUUUAGGUAACCCAAUUACAACUAAUAAAAAUGAUCGGUGACGGCUCCAUUCUCGUUUUAAAAUAAAAAGUCGAUUUUGAAAAAGGGUUUCGACACAUUCUAUUUCCAAAUGCUGAGGAUGAGAAUAUGGAUGCCCUGCAACAAUCACAACCCUUUUUUAGCUUGUUACAGAACAAAUGUAUUUAUGUUCCUUUAACUUUCGUAUUCCAUUGUGCAUUAGUUUCUUUAUUCAAGAUUAAAAUUUUGCAUAAUACUAAUGUGUUAUCUGUAUAAAUUGAUUAAUAAAGAAUGAAAUUCAGAUGAUUUUUUCAAUCACACACACUAACGAGAACAAUCUGAUAAAAAAAUCCGUGAGAUUCUUCGAUGGAAACUUAUCUAAGUUCAAAACACUAUUGAAAUGAAAUAUAUAAACACAGUCUGCACAACUUUUUCUUUCUUUAUGCAUUGCAUCAUCAAGAAAUAUUGAAAACUGCACAAAAUUCAUGAAGAAAGACAGUCCCUUAAUUAAGUAUUAUUUAUUAAUUUGUUCGUGUAACCCCCUCCUUGACGUUUAAACAAUAGGCUCUUCCUCCGGAAUUAGAUGCAACGAGAUACUGCAAUCCUCGAAAGAAAGGAAGAACAUGGGCAUGGCAGGGGCGUUUCUUGGUGAGCUAAGGAGGAUUCUAGCACAUCAAUUCCCUCUACAUAGCAACAAGAACUUGGAAAUUAUAAAUGUCAAUAUACAAUAGGAUAAAAUUGAUCUCGUUUAGACUGAGCACUAUCGAAAGGUAGAAGAAAGACUUACUGUUACUAAAAACAUAACCCCGUAUUUUGUGCACAAAUGGUGGCCAAACACAAAAUUUAAGAUAGGGCCAAACAUUGGGCGUCAUCAUCAUGUGUGAUAGUAACAAACUCACAUUCCCGUUAGUGUUUAUACCUCAAAACCUUUUGCCAAAUUAAUUUUUCUUUACUAAAAUGCUUACCAUCAUCAGUGUUAUAUUAUUUCAUAUCUAAUGUUAUGUCAGCUUGUUGCUUUCGCAUAUUACUCACAAAGAAAUUAGUUAAUAGAUUUAACAUUGUCAUUUGCAUGAAGAUUAAAAUUUCGACAUUCAAAAAAUAUAGCAACUAAAAAUGAUCCAGUUAGAGAAUAUGGACUAAAUUUAUAACUUUAUUCAUAAUACAGGACUAAUAGCAUAAUUUAACAAAACAGAUUUAAUUGCUACCAUUUGAUCAAGACAAAAAAAUCAAAAUUCAAAAAGUACAGGGACUAAAUUUGAUCAAAUUAAGUACAAGUACUAAAUCUCAGUUUACACAAAGUAAGGGUCUGAUAGCUAAAUUUGACCUAAACAUAUCAUAGAAAAUAGAAGAAAAGAAACGAGUGGUAUGAAUUACCUGUCAUUCCUUGUUAGUGUUGCUCUUCUAACUAUUUUAGUGAUCACAGUAUUUGGUAUAAGCUGCGAUUUCAAAUGUGUAUACACAAGAGGACUUCAUCAGAUCAUUGCAAUGGUGAGAUUAUUAUGAUUUAAAACUGCAAAGCAAUUAGAUAAAUUACCUCCACAUUUUUCUGCAUUUAAAUUCUUGAAAUUUCCAAAUUGCUUUUGCUAAAAGUCUUCUAUGGUCACUGCACAAAUUAGCAAAAGACAAUGAUAAAUGAUAAAUAAAAAACUGCACUAGUAAUUUCAAUUUACAAAAUAUGGAAACAUACCAACCUGUAGCUAUAUGAGCAAUCUUAUGCCAAUCGGCCCCAAUGUCCUUCCGACAUCUUUCCUCCAACUGGGGAGUUUGUCGUAUGCAUAACUCCUCCAAACUGGUUAGGCAACGCAUCUCGUCCGGAAGCGAUGUUAAAUUGGGCAAAUCAACGAGAUAAAGCUGUUGCAGAUUUGUUAGAUGUUGAAGCCACUCUGGAAGACGCUGACACUUCGGAAUGGUUUCCAGCCAUAGAGCACGUAAGCUUGUAUAACCCUGGAAUAUUUGCAUGCCAGCUCCAGAUAACUCCAGCUCAUUGCAAUUCCUUAUUGAAAACUCUUCAAGGGAAGUUAGAUGUUGGAACACUGGAAAGAGUGACCUCAAUCCACUGCAAUUACGGAUUUCUAAUGAUUUCAAUUGAACAAGAUGUUGAAUCCCAAUGGGGAGAGACACGAGCUUUGGAAUAUUAUCAAUCACCAAACAAGAGAGAUUCUUAAGGGGUUCCCAUUGCAUGCCCUCUAAAUCAACCUCGUUGCAAUCUUUUAUUAUUAAAGUUUUGAGGCCGAUGAGAUGUUGCUGCCACCCAGAUAAAGACUCUAGCAAAUGACAAGAAUCAAUAAAACAGCGUUCAAGGGAAGUCAUAUUUUGCAAGCAAUCAUCUAGCAUGUGGGUGUCCAGUCCCUCAAUGUUCUCUGCAUGGAAAGAUUUCAAUUUGGAGAGAGGAAGAGAAGAGGUUGAAGUUGAUGGGGUCGUACUAGUGAUGCUCAUCUUGAUGGUCUGCUUUAAUGGCCUUGAACUGGUAUUAACCAACUUUAGCUUUUCAUUGAGUGAUGGAUACAGCGGCAUCGAAGUCAAAGGGCAAUAUUUAAUAUCUAGAGAGGAAAGACAAGGAAAUGCCAUGGUUGAUGCUCUUAUAACUGUUGUGUCGUCCUCGUUGGAAUCAUCGUCGAUUGGUUUUGUCGUUCUCCACCAACUCUUCAUAUUCGGGCAGUUCCAGAGACGAAGAACUUUAAGCGACGGAAAGAAUGAUUCUGUGUCUCCUUGUCUUCCAUUGGGGCCAUGAUCUUCCAUGUACUCGAGCUCAGUUAAAUUAGAUAUCUUCAGCUGUUGAAGACAAGGCAAUUGAGCAAUGGAUGAGAGAUGUUUGAAAUUACUCGGACCCCAUAUGGUAAUAUCAACGAGUUUUUUAAGCAAAGAAAGCCAACUUGGAAACUUGGCAUCACCCCUCCACCCGUCCACCUUCAACAUCUUCAGAUUUGGAUGGGGCUGGAGGUCUUCAAGUAACUUUUCAUCAUCAUUAUUGCCAUCGCCCCAUUCUAAAACCAAUGCUCCCAAAUGUUGCUUCUCUUUUAAAUUAGCAGCCCUAAACAUCUCUUUUGCAUUUUUCACAAAUCCCAAAUUACUUAUCGUUAGCUCUCCCUUUAAGUUGAUAAGCCCACUCAAUUCACUUAGAUCUGCUCCACCAUGGGAGCCAUCUUUGUCCACUACAAACCUGCUUAACAUCUCAAGGGAAGUCAACUUCCCUAUUCCACGCGGCAUAUGAGUUAAGCCAUAACAAUGUACACACCCUAUAUGGGAAAUAUUCACCAAUUUUUCAAUCUUUUUCGGCAAUUCUUCAAGCCCAACACACCAAUCAAGUUUCAGAGCAUGCAAAUUUUGCAUAUUGCAAAUACUCUUUGGAAGGAUCUUAAGAUUGGGAUUGUCGGAAAGAUCUAGAUACCUUAAAUGUUUCAAUUUAUGAAUGGAACGUGGAAUUGUACUAAGAUUUAAAUUAUUCAACUUUAAUACCCGCAAGCAUCUACAUCUUGAAAUUAUUAAAUCCCAUGUUUCGUCCUCGCUCAUAAUUUGGCUUUGCUCGCUCUCUUUUGGAAAACAAAGUAAAGUUCGCAACUUCUUUCCCUUAAGCAAAGGAAUUAAUAAAGGACUAAUUGAUACAUGACGACAUUUUUCACUGACCUCACUUGCACUUGAAUUUGAAUCUACCAAACUACUCUCUGUCCCUGCUACUACUUCAGCUAGAUCAUGCAUUAAAUCAUGCAUUUUACAUGUUGUAAACCAGGUUUCAUCAUCUUCUACCUCUUGAAAGAAACUUCUUUCAACUAAAUCUUUAAAAUAUCCUAACCCAAUCUCUUCAAGAGAUUGACUAGGAUUUGAUUGCUUUACGAAACCUUGUGCAAUCCAAAAUUGAACAAGUGUUCGUACAUCAAUUUUUUGGUCUUUUGGAUAUAACCGACAAUAAGCAAAACAAUGCUUCAAAUGGGAUGGAAGAUGAUCAUAACUCAAGUUAAGUGUAGGUAAAAUUUCACCUUCGUUCUGAGAUAUUCUAGCAAGUUCGUUAUCUUUAAAAGAAAGCCAAUCAUUUUUAGAAUUUUUGAAAGAUAACGUACCAGCUAUCGUCCUUAUGACUAAGGGAACUCCACCACACCUUUCCAAAAUCUGCUUUCCUAUUUCCACAAACUCUGAACUAAGUGAAUCUGUAGAUAUUUGCUCAAAUGCUAUCUCUUUGAACAAUGACCAAGCAUCAUCAUCAGACAAGCCUUUUAGAACAUGAGGUUGACAUUUACUAGUAAUCUUUGCUACCUUUAAAGAGCGAGUAGUUACUAUUAUCCUACUCCCUUUAGCCCCACCCAUCAAUAAUUUCUUUAAGCUAACCCAUUGUUCCCACUCCUCAUUCCAAAUGUCAUCCAAAACAAGUAAAUACUUUUUCCCACGAAUUUCAUCUCGAAGUUGUUUUUGCAAUUGAUCCAUUUCGAGAUUUUGAUCAGGUGCAUGGUUAGCUACAGAUUUGAUAAUGUUUUCCACUAUUGUUUUCAAAUCAAAAAUAUUUGAAACACACACCCAUAUCCUCAACUCAAAAUGAUCUUUGACCAUUUCAUAAACGAACUGUGCCAGCGCAGUCUUCCCUAGCCCUCCAAACCCCACAAUUGGAAUGAUACAAACAUUCUCUUCACUUUGAAACUCUAACAUGAGUUUUAGAAGAGCUGCUUUAUCAUCUUCCCUCCCUAUUAUUUCAUCUUUAUGCGCAAAAGAGUGCGUUCGCUGCCUCUUUUUAGACAUGAAAGAGGUUUCCACGAGACGAUCACGCUCUACCAAGUUGAACAUCUUGGCCUCACUUCCAAUGGAAGUUAACCUGGCCUUAAUGGCCUUAAUUUGACGGCCCAUUUUGAGACCAUAAACAAACUGGUUUGAGCUUGAAAAGAAAAGGCGUACCUCUUUCGUCAGCUUGUUCCCACUGAGUAGAUCUUUUCGCAAAGCUUCGGUAGAGAAAUCAUCGAGCAAGUCAUCAGCAUCAUAAAGUGCAUCUUUCAGCUUUUCAAGCCAAUUUUUGACGAGGUUGCUGGUCAUGGAUUGUUCUUCGGCAUCAAGAAGUACAGCUUUGAUUGUUGAGAUGGUGUUGUUGAGGUCCUCAAUGUCAUCUUUGAAAUUCCACCAUAGUCCAAUUUGAGAGAGAGCAAGGGAGCUCAACUUACUAGCGAGCCCUCCGGCGACGUCAAAAGCAAUUGCUUCGGCCAUUGAUGGUUGAACCCAAAAUCAAGGGAAAGUGUUUGAUUAUUGCAAUAGGAAGAGUGAAAUGAUUCGAACAAGAUGAAGUGCAGUACAUACAGGUAGAGUCUAUGGCAUUUUAUAUAGAUGUCACCACCCACCCCCAAGUAAUAAUUAAAUAAAAUCUCAUCUUCUUUGUUCAUUAAAAAAUUUUGAGCAGUUUUCAAUUUCUGUAUUAAACAAUAUAAUUGAGACAAUAAAUACUCUUUGACUCUCAUACUAAUACACUAAAUUUCAUUUUAAUGGUGGAAUUAACCGGUGAUUAAAUUAAAAUUUAUAUAUCAAUGAUUAUAAUAUUAGCGCCCUAAAACUUAAUUUACUAUUAAAGUAAAUAUUGUCUUUUAAAAAAAUAAAUACUAUUAAUCACUCACCUUAAAUUGAGUCAAAAACUUAAUUUGGGCAGCUAAAAUCUUACGUAAAUUUGGUUAUUGUAAGUGUGGUGGAUGAUUUUGAUUUGUUAGUCAAACUUUAUUUUAAUAUUUAUGGUGCUUAUGAGUUGUUAUGGUGAAAUAUUCUUUAUUAUAAGUUAAAUAAUAUUUUAACAUUAUUAUAUAGAUAUGUAUGAUAACAUAAAGACAAUUUUAAAUGUUGAUAUUGGUAGCUGUUGAUGUUAUAUGUUUGACUAUUAAUUAUUGUUUAUUAGUAUAGUUUUUAUUUGUGUUAAAUUAUAGAAUAAAAUUUUUAAUAUUAAAAUAUAUUUCAAAUCUCUAUAUACAUUUAAAAUUUAAUUUUCUUUCUUUUAUUUUUUAGAAUUUAACCUUUUUACUUUUCAAGUUUAAGAAUCCGCUUUCAAAUUAUAUAUAAUUACGUAAUAUUUUAAUCGAAAAAUUAAUGAUAUUAACCAUUUGAACUAAUUAAUAACAUUUUAAACAUUUAAAGACCAAAUUAUAUCAAAUAUAAGUAUAAUAGAGAAACUAAAAUUAAAAUUUAACCAUUUUUAUAGUGCAAAGAAAGUACAAUCAUGAUGCAUCCACGUGUCAAUAAAGGAAAACCUUUUGGACUUUCCUUAAAUUGUAAAAUAAAAAUUUGAAGGUUAAAAUAUGAUCUAAGUCUUUAUACAUCUUGUAUAUUUAAAAUUUAAUCUCUUGCUUCUAUUUUUAAUAAUUUAAUCUCUCUGCUUUUCAAAUUUGAAAAUUUAAGUCCAUAGUCAUCACCAUUGUUAAAAUUUUCUAAUCAUGUAACAAUAAGAAUAAGGUUGAAAAUAUUGAUUAAUUUUUUUCUAAAAAAUACCAAUUCGAACUCGUUAUGAUAAAAUAUGUAAACAAUUUCAAAUGUUUGCCUUCUACAAGGCAUACUUAAUAUAAAACUUAUUUUUGAUAGUUUUUAUUUUUUUCAAAUACGACAAUACAUUCAAGUUAAACAAUUAAUAGGAUCUAAAAUUGAAGAUAAUAAUCUUUUUAGUAAUUGGAGUGGAAUUGGAUUGGAUUAUUUAAAGUCGUUACCUUAACUGCAAGGAGGGAGAAGCCGAAGGCAGAACUAGUGACUAGAGUGAAGUCGUAACAAGGUAGCCGUACAGGAGGGUGUGGCUGGAUCACCUCUUUUUCAGGGAGAGCUAAUGCUUGUUGGGUAUUUUGGUUUGACACUGCUUCACACUCAAAAAGAAGUGAGCUAUGUCUUAAUUAAACUUGAAGAUGGAAGCCUUCUUUCGAUUCUCUACGGUGAAGUAAGACCAAGCCCAUGAGCUUAUUAUCCUAGGUCGGAACAAGUUGAUAGGAUCCCCUUUUACGCCCUCGGGUCCCUCCCAUGUGGCGACAUGGGGGCGUAAAAAGGAAAGAGAGGGUUGAGGUUUCUCUCGCUUUUGGCCUAAAAUUAAAUCUAAAUUCUCAUGCUUAUAACAUAAUAUUAUUGUUAUUAGAUUAAAAAUUUAUGUAAUUAAAAUAAAAUAUAUUUGAGUUAACAAUACAAUACUGUUUGGAUAGGGAUGAUUAUAUAUUAAAGUUUGACUAUUAUCUACAACAUUUAUCUAUUAAUUGAAAAUUAAACCCCAAAUAUAUGCCGACAAGUGUCUAUUAAUUGAAAAUUAAUCCAUAAGCAUAUGCGGUGCACACGCUAUUAUUUUAUUUUUCAUUUCAUCUUUUAUUUAUAUUUUUAAUUGAUUUAAGGAUUUUUAAGGUGAAAAAGCUUAGAUUAUCAAAGUUGAAAACCACGAUAAUUAUUUAUGCUACCUUGAGUUAAAAUAUUAUACCCAACAUCCAAAAGUAAUAAUAUAUUGUUGCUCAUAAAUGUUUACAUAGUUCAGAAUCUUUGCCCAUAUAUAGAUGAAUUCACUAUAAAUUUUUUCUCGGAAUAUAGAAAAAUGUAUUCUUUCUUGUUUAUUUAACAUGAUUCGUUGCAAGUAGAGAUUGAAGAUAUUUUUAUGUUCAUAUGUUCUUCUAUAAAUAUAUAAGAUAUUCUCAAGCUUUUAAGAUUUCCUUCUAUUGAAGUAAUACUAUGAGUAAAUUUGUAAUAUAUAUAAACUUCAACACUUAAUGGAUGUUUAAAUUUAAAAUCAAGUUGGAGUAAAAAGGUUAAAAACAAUCAAAUUACAAUUUAACUCGUGAUAUGAAAAAUUAAAUCUAAGUUUUGAAAUAUCGAAUCUGAUUUCUAAUUUUUUUUAUCAUAUAUUGUAUAUAUAUUACCUCAUUUACUUUAAUUAAUAUUUUAUUAUUUGUUAGAAUUUGUUAAAAAAAUUACUGUAUACUUCAAUAACAGCUACAAUUUAUCUUAAUGUAUUUAUCCUAUUCCCAAAACUGUAAUGUAGGUUUUAUUUUUUUUUAUAUAUAUAGUUUAAGUGAAUAUGUAUGUAAAUGUAUGAGAUCCAAAUUGUAUUAUAUCAAAAAUAAAAAUAAAAAGAUCUCACAAGAUGAAAUUAAAUAUGUGUAGACAUCUUAUCUCCGUAGCAAUUAAACAUGUGUAGCCUUAAAUCAAUUAUCAACAUCAUCAUUACAUUUUAAACCAAUAAUCUCAAAUGUUGCUUCUCUUUCAAAUUAAUAGCCUUAAACUCCUCUUUAGCAUUUUUCACGAAUCCCAAAUUUGUUAUUGUUAUCUCUCUCCUUAAGUUGUUAAGCCCACUCAAUUCACUUGGGUGUGUGAAAUAUAGGGAUAUGUAGUAUUAUUGAGGUUAAAUUAUAGGGUAUUAAUGAUGGGUUAAUGCUAGUAAAAAAGAUGAAGGGGAGAUGGGUAAUUUUGGAAACGGAUAGUAUAGUAACUUUAGGUCUUAUCCAUAUGAAGGACAAGAUGGAUUAUGAUAAUGUUAUGCUACGGAGUAUUAAAAGAUUAGUUGCUUGUGAUUAAGAAAUUUGAUUCAAUCAUGUGUUUCAUGAAGGGCAGUCAUGGCUAUUAGCCUUGAUCUGAGAGUUUGUGUUUACCCAUAGUUACCAAAUGCAAUUCUUUAGAUUCUACAUAAAAAUUUACAUAAUUUUAUAAUAUUCAAAAUUAUGUCGGCUUAAUUGUUAUUGUUUUAUCUACCUUUAACAACAAAAAGAAAAAAAAGAAAAUAUUUGCCCUCCAAGAGCAACCAUAAAAUGGGAUAUGCGAAUAUAUGGAAUGCCAACCUGUUGCAUCACUAAAUUUACUGUUUAAAUUUACUGUUUAAAGAUUUUUUUUAAAUAUAAAAAAAAUAAGAGAAAGAAAUUAGAAUGGGAAGUAUAAUGGUAGGCGUAGGUUGAAAAUAUAUAAUGAAAAUCAGAAUAUAUGAUGUAGAGAGAAUUAGGUGAUGUUUGGCUCACUACCAAACUAACCCCAUCUUCACAUCAAUCAUUGACGUCAAUUUUUUCUCUUUACAGAUUCAUGCUCCCAAUAAAACUCCCUGUAAUUGACUUUCUCCCUGUACAAAUUUUGGGCAGGGAAAACAGAGCAAAAAACAGAGAACCAGAGCAGCCAACAAAGAAGCAUCUAUAUAUAGGUUCACUAAGCAUGACCAUGGGGGCAUCACCAAGCAUCUAUAUAUUUUUGUAUUUAAUAAAUAUAUUAAUUCUAUUUAUCUAUUUUGGUUUUUAAUUAUUCUUUUAAUAUUAAACCUUAAACCCCCAUAACCAAAAUGUUGGGUUUUGGUUGGAUAUGCUUUUAAACGUUUCGACCAUUCAUUUUUAGUGAAAAGAUGCAAGUGGCAACAAUCGUAAAAGGCCAAUGGGUGUGGCUCUUUUUUAGCAAGAAAAUUCAAAAUUUAAUCUUUUUUUAAUUUAUCAUAAUUUUAUUUUUUUACUAUAUAAAACUUUAGUAAUUAAUCCAAUUAAAUAACAUUAUUAUUAAAUCGUUAUUUUAAAAUUUAUAUAUAAAAAAUUAAUAAAACUUAACCGUUCAUAUAUUUAAGAACAAUUAAAUCAAUUUCUCGUUUUUCACAAAUUACGAUAUUAAAUUAAGAGCAAAAACUAACUUAUUAAUUUUUGUAAAAUAAAUGAAUCAACUUUAUAAUUACCUUCAAAAUAAAUGAAAAUUAAACCCCAAAUAUAUGCCGACAAGUGUCUAUUAAUUGAAAAUUAAUCCAUAAGUAUAUGCGGCUACACGCUAUUAUUUUAUUUUUCAUUUCAUCUUUUAUUUAUAUUUUUAAUUGAUUUAAGGAUUUUUAAGGUGAAAAAGCUUAGAUUAUCAAAGUUGAAAAAUAACAUACGAUAAUUAUUUAUGUUACCUUGUGUUAAAAUAUUAUACGGAACAUCGAAAAAUAAUAAUAUAUUCUUGUUCAUAAAUAUUUACGUAGUUCAAAAGUUGACAUAUACACCUAUAAAGUCUUUGCUCAUAGAUGAAUUCACUAUAAUUUUUUUCUCGGAAUAUAGAAAAAUGUAUUCUUUUUUGUUUAUUUAACAUGAUUCGUUGCAACUAGAGAUUGAAGAUAUUUUUAUGUUCAUAUGUUCUUCUAUAAAUAUAUAAGAUAUUCUCAAGCUUUUAAGAUUUCCUUCUAUUGAAGUAAUACUAUGAGUAAAUUUGUAAUAUAUAUAAACUUUUAACACUUAAUGGAUGUUUGAAUUUAAAAUCAAGUUAGGAGUAAAAAGGUUAAAAAAAUCAAACUACAAUCUAACUCGUGAUAUGAAAAAUUAAAUCUAAGUUUUGAAGUAUCGGAUCUGAUUUCUAUUUUUUGUAUCAUAUAUUGUAUAUAUAUUACCUCAUUUACUUCAAUUAAUAUUUUACUAUUUGUUAGAAUUUGUUAAAAAAUUACUGUAUAAUUCGUUAACAACUACAAUUUAUCUUUGAUCAUGUUUAUUUGCAAAUGAGUUGUUUAGCGCAUUAAAAGUUAGACCUCCACUAUGUAAUGUAGGUGCACUUUGAUACAAACCUCGCUCUAGUCAACUUUGUACUAUGAUUCAUUUGCUAAGGGUAUUCAUCCUAUUCCCAGAACCGUAAUGUAGGUUUUGUUUUUAAUAUAGUUUAAGUGAAUAUGUAUGUAAAUAUGUGAGUUCCAAAUUAUAUUAUAUCAAAAAAAAUAUUAAAAAGAUCUCACAAGACCGAAAUUAAAUGUGGAGACAUCUUAUCUCCGUACAAAUAGCAAUUAAACAUGUGUAGCCUUAAACCAAUUAUUAACAUCAUCAUUACAUUUUAAACCAAUGAUCUCAAAUGUUGCUUCUCUUUCAAAUUAGUAGUCUUAAACCUCUCUUUAGCAUUUUUCACGAAUCCCAAAUUUGUUAUUGUUAGCUCUCUCCUUAAGUUGUUAAGCCCACUCAAUUCACUUAGGUGUAUGGAAUAUAGGGAUAUGUAGUAUUAUUGAAGUUGAAUUAUGGAGUAUUAAUGAUGGGUUAAUGCUAGUAAAUACGAUAAUUUUAGAAAUAGAUAGUUUCGAAGCUUUAGAUCUUAUCCAUAUGAAAGACAAGAUGGAUUAUGAUAAUGUUAUGCUACGGAGUAUUAAAAGAUUAGUUGCUUGUGAUUGAGAAAUUUAAUUCAAGCAUGUGUUUCGUGAAAGAAAUCGAUUAGCAGAUUAAAUGACAACCAUGACUAUUAGCCUUGAAUCGGGUAUUUGUGUUUACUCACAGUUACCAAAUGCAAUUCUUCAGAUUCUACAUAAAAACUUACAUGAUUUUAUAGUGUUUUAAAUGAUGUCCGUUUAAUUCUUAUUGUUUUAUCUACCUUUACAAAAAAAAAAGAGCAAAUAUUUGCCCUCCAAGAGCAACCAUAAAAAAGGAUAUACGAAUAUAUGGAAUGCCAACCUGUUGCAUCACUAAAUUUACUCUUUAAAGAUUUUUUUAAAUAAAAAAAAGAGAGAAAUUAGAAUGGGAAGUAUUAUGGUAGGCGUAGGUUGAAAAUAUAUAAUGAAAAUCACAAUAUGUGAUGUAGAGAGACUUAGGUGAUGUUUGGCUCACAACAUAAUCAUCACCCACUACCAAAUUUUUAGUGGACAUAUCAUCGGAACCAAACUAACCCCAUCUUCACCACCUCAAUCAUGAACGUCAAUUUUUUCUCUUUACAGAUUCAUGCUCCCAAUAAAACUCCCUGUAAUGGACUUUCUCCCUGUACAAAUUUUGGGCAGGGAAAACAGAGCAAAAAACAGAGAACCAGAGCAGCCAACAAAGAAGCACCUAUAUAAUGGUUCACUAAGCAUGACCAUGGGGGCAUCACCAAGCAUCUAUAUAUUUUUGUAUUUAAUAAAUUUAUUAAUUCUAUUUAUCUAUUUUGGUAUUUAAUUAUUCUUUUAAUAUUAAACCUUAAAACCCCAUAACCAAAAUGUUGGGUUUUGGUUGGUUAUGCUUUUCAAACGUUUCGACCAUUCAUUUUUAGUGAAAAGAUGCAAGUGGCAACAAUCGUAAAAGGCCAAUGGGUGUGGCUCUUUUUUAGCAAGAAAAUUCAAAAUUUAAUUUUUUUAAUUUAUCAUAAUUUUAUUUUUUUACUAUAUAAAACUUUAGUAAUUAAUCCAAUUAAAUAACAUUAUUAUUAAAUCGUUAAUCUAAAAUUUAUAUAUAAAAAUUAAUAAAAAUUAACCUUUCAUAUAUUUAAAAACAAUUAAAUCAAUUUCUAUUUUCACAAAUUACGAUAUUAAAUUAAGAGCAAAAACUAACUUAUUAAUUUUUGUAAAAUAAACGAAUUAACUUUAUAAUUACCUUCAAAAUACAAUUUUAAAUUUAAGCAGGUGUCUAAUAAAAAUUUUAAUUAUCGUUUUAUACAAGUUAAGAUAAAAAUUAAAUAUUUUAUAAUUCUCGAUUUUAAAAUCAUAAUUUAUCUAUUUUUAUUUUUUAAAAUAUUUUAAUGAAAAUUUGAAAAUAAUAUAAGAAAAGGAUAACACAAAAGAGGAAGACCAAUCAAUUUGAGAGAUGUAUAUCUUUCUAAAGCUGUGGUUUCCAUGUAUUUGCUCAUCUAACGAAACAUCAACCAUCAUGUAUAAAAAUAUAAAUAGGGUAAAUUAUAGAAAUAGUCACUUUUGUUUGCCUCAUAUUACAUUUUAAUUACUUAUAUUUGAAAUGUUACGUUUUAGUCACUUAUGUUAUCAUUUUGUCACGAAGUUGUCACUCUACCGUUAAGCUCCAUUACCUCCCUAACGACGGUCCUACGUGGAGUCCAAAUGGAUUUUAAAUGCCAACUUAGAUGUCUUACGUGGUAGUCCAAAUUAAAUUUAUUUAAUUAAAAACCUAUUUUCAUCCCAACAACUGAACAUCUAAGUUGGCAUUUAAAACCCAUUUAGGCUACCAUGUAGGACUGUCGUUAGGGAGGUAAUAGAGUUUAACGGCAGAGUGACCACUUCGUAACAAAAUGAUAACGUAAGUAACUAAAACGUAACAUUUCAAAUAUAAGUGACUAAAACGUAAUAUGAGGCAAAUAAAAGUGACUAUUUUUGUAGUUUACCCUUAAAAAAGACAAAUUAGUCUCUAUACAUUAGAUCAAAGAGUAAAUUGGUUCUUUCUAUUAAAAAUUUCAUCCAAUUGUACUUUUAAAAAUUAGCAUGACUAACAAAAUAACCAAACAAUGACACAUAGCAUUUCAUAUGUACUUUAUACUGACAUACAGAGACUCAUUUUUAACAGUACAAAUGAAUAAAAUUUUAACAAAAAGAAUAGCUUGCUUUUUAAUGUAAUGUAUAUGGACUAAUUUACUCAUUUUUUAAAUAGAGGGGGUAAAAGGUAAUUCGACUCUUAAUAUAAGAGCCUUCGUGAUACUUUUACCUACAAUUCUAUAAUACGUCAAAUAAUUUACUUUUUAGGUAAAUUACAUUAAUAGUUUCUCAACUAUUUUUUUGUCACUAAACUAUUUAAUUUUUAAAAUCGAGACUCGCUCAACCCUACUCAUGGAUACCUUUAAAUUACACUUAAAAAAACAAAAUUCAAAUAAUUUUAUAUUUAAUAUUAAGAUAUUCACUAUACUUUCCCCUACAAAUCUAUAAUACAUUAAAUACAAUUUAUUAUUAUAUUUUUUUAAUUUAUUAAACAUAUAUUUACGCAGGAAGCUAAUAAGAUAACACACGCUAAAUACUAUUCCAUCACUAAAUCCUCAUACAAUCACCAAAAAGAAACCCAAUAACUUACAAAUCCACCAUGUCCGGUAGCAAAGACUGUGGCGGCCACCACAAAUUUCCCCGGAAAAAUUUCCGGCGAGUCAUCUCUUGUAUUCUAAUCCUCCUCCUCCUCAUUCUCAUCACAAUCUUACUCAUAUGGGCAAUCCUUCGUCCUAGCAAACCCAACUUCACUCUCCUCGACACCACCGUCUACGCCUUCAACGCCACCACCUUCAACUUCCUCACUUCAAACUUUCAAAUCACCGUCCGUUCAGAAAACCCAAACGAUGAUAUCGGUAUUUAUUACGACCAGCUCGACGUUUACGCUACUUACCGGAACCAAGAAAUAACACUCCGGACUCGAUUCCCACCAACGUACCAAGGCCAUAAUGAGGUCAAUAUUUGGUCACCUAUAAUAUAUGGUACUAUGGUACCGAUCUCACCGGAAUAUUCCGUCGCAUUGGGUGCUGAACAGAUGGCCGGGAGUGUUUUUUUGGUGAUCAAGAUUGAUGGACGGUUGAGAUGGAAAGUUGGGACUUUUGUAACUGAGAGGUAUCAUAUUCAUGCAAGGUGUCCGGCUUAUAUUACGUUUGGGGAACAAAGCGACGGCGUUUUGGUCGGAGAAAAUGUUGUUAAGUUUCAGUUCUAUAGUAGAUGCAGUGUCAGCUUGUGAAGAAGAAGAAGCAAGUAACGCCGUUAAGUAUAUGGUUUUGUUUAUCUUUGUUUUAAAUUUGUUUCCCUCGUUUUCAAUUUGACGCCGUUAAUUUUUUAUUUGGGUAAACUACAUUACUAGUCAUCCAUAUAUUUUUCUUUUCCUUUUUGGUCACACAACUAUGAAAAGUUACAAAGUGAUCACCCAAUUAUUAGUAAGUUUAUUUUUUCACCCAACUAUGAAAUUUACUAAUAGUUGGGUGACGAUUUUGUAACUUUUCAUAAUUGAGUAACAAAAAACAAAAAAAUAGCUUGGUGGCUACUAAUGUAGUUUACCCUUUUUAGGUUAAAAUAUGCCAUAAGUCCUUGUACUCUUCAUAAAUUUAGAAUUUUAGUCCUUAUACUUUUAUUUACAAGAAUUUAGUUAUUUUACCUUUCAGAUUUUAAAAUUUAGGUCCAAUUGUUAAAAUUGUUACUUUUUUUUGUUGAAUUUGUUGGUGUGACAUUUCGAAAUAAAAAAAAUACUCACUUACUAGCCAUGUAAUUAAGAAUUUGAUGUUUUAAUGAACUUGAAUUAAUAAAAUAAUUUCAACAGUGUUAACAGUUGGACUUGAAUUUUAAAACCUAAAAAGUAGAAGGACUAAUUUCUUAAAAAUAAAAGUAUACAGACUAAAUUUCAAGUUUACAAAGAGUAUAGAGACUUGUGACAUAUUUUAAUUUUUUAGUAUAAGGGGGAUUUUAAUUUUGUUAUAGUAAAUGGGGGAAAUAGCAAAAUAAAAAUGGCAAUUAAUAUGUGAACAAAAUCUAAAUGUAUGCAAUUUCUAAAAAAUUGUGUGAUUAAUAAAAUAAAUGUUCCAUACAUUAUAUUUUAUUUUGAUUAAUUUUUUUCCUAAUUUUUAUAGCAGAAUUUAACCUUAUUUCUAUAGAUUAAAAAAGUUACAUUUCCACGUAAUAUUUCUUAAGAAUUUCUUUUUUUUUCUUUUUCAAUUUUUCAUCCAUAUAAUCUUAAGAAUUAUUUUUCUUAUUUUUUCAAUUUUCAUUUAUUUCAUAUAAUCUUAACAACUAUUUGUUAUAACUCUAAUUUUUAUUAUUUAAUUAAUAUGUUUUAUCUUUUUAACACCUUUUUCGAACUUGAUUUUUUUUCUAAUAUUUCAUAUUUUAUGCUUAAAGUAUAGAUUUAGCUCAUGUGCUCUAAUUUAGCAUAAAUUUCGAAUUAUGAAAUUUCAAUCUUAACUAAAACAACAGUCGUUAAAUCUGUUAUGUCUAAAUUUGUUAUUGGUUUCAAACUAUGCAUAAAUUGUGAGUUCAGUUUUCGUUUUUCAAUUUAAUACUUUUUAAUCCAUAUAAUUUUCUAAAAUUUAAAUUUCAAUGUUAUACCAUUUAAUUCAUUAAUUAAAAUAUUGUGGCUUUUUUUUUUUGCAAGUAUUAUGUCCACAUAUUAAGUUGGCAUGGCAUUAAAUGUGAUAAUACAUUUCUCGUAUAAAAUUAUGAAAAUAAUUUAAUUUAAUUUAAUAGAUUUAACAACUAUCAUUUUAAUAAGUACUAAAAAAUAACUAAAUUAAAAUAUAAAAAUUAGAAAAACAAUCUGUGAAUUAAUAGUAAAAUUUAACCCAUAAAUUAAAAUAAUGGCUAAUUUUAAAAUGAGUGGUCUGACAUAAAAUAGAUAAAAGAAACAAAGAAAAUGAUGGGUUGAAGCAAUGCAUUACAUAUUUUCUUUUUCAAUUAUAGUUUGGACCUACUCUUUUUUUUUCCUUCUUAUAAUUAAUUUAAGAAGUUUAUUUAAUGUUAUACAAUUAACAAUUAAUGAAUCAAAUGAUAUCAUAUUAUUAUAUUUUUAAUGAAUAAAUAAUUUUUUUUCUCAUAAAGUGAUAUUAUUUGUGUAUAAUAUAAUUAUAUGAUACAUUAAAUAUAAGAAUCUUUUAAUUUAAUAUCUUAAAAGUGUGCAUUUAGGGGAAUCUAAACUCCAAUUUUUUUUACCUAAAUAUUAUAUUUUCCUUUUUCUUUAAAAACAAAAUAAAAAAUUAAUAAUUUCAAAAUAAUGAGUACAUAAAUGUAGCAUUCUGCCACUUGGUCCACUAGUUAGUGCAUGAUUUAUAUUCAAAAAGUGAGGCUCAAAAAUCCUUUUUUUCUUAAAAGAAAAUACAAAAAUUAAGGUUCACAAACAUCAAUUUUUUUAAUUGAUAUGGUGCAACAACUUACAUGGGCUUAAUUGCAAAUUUUUUAAAACAUUUACACACAUUAGGGGUUAAGGCUGGGAAGUCCCUAUAUUAUAGACUACAUCAAAUUAGUCCCUUUGUUAUUAAAUGGAUCAAUUUAGUCCCUAUACUAUUAAAAGGAAUUAAAUAAAAUUAAAUUGUAACAGAGUUAGCAAUUUUCAAUACAAUUUUCAUACAAUAAAUGUUAACUCUAUUACAACUUGGUCUUAUUUGAUCAUUUUUAAUACUACAGGGACUAAAUUGAUCAUUUAAUUAUUGAGGGACUGAUACAGGGAUAGGGACUUCCCAGUUACUUUCAGCCUUGUAUAUGUAUUUAAAUCCUACAUAUGGAUGUCGGACUAGGAAGGACAUUGGUGCCGAUUGGAUAGACCAAGCUUUUUGGCCCCAUCAAUACCAUAUUUUGUAAAUUGAAGUUACUUCGUUAAUUCAUUUAUCAUUUUCUUUUGCUAAUUUGUGCAGUAACCAUCGAAGAUUUUUAGUGAAACGUAUUUGGCAAAUUCAUGAAUCUAAACGAAUUUGGUAAUUUUUCUGAUGUAAUAAACUGAUGUAUUAGAACCGCAUAAUUAAUGCUUAGUUUUGUCAGCAUUAGUUAAAUGGAAGAUGCAAAAUGAGGCAUGCAUUCUUCAUGAGCUCAUCCAUCCACACCACUCUACUCCAUAUGCAUUGACAUAUUGUUUCAAACAUUAAAAUGAACAUAAAUGUGUAUUUUUCUCAAAUUGAUACGUAUCAUGUAACAAGUAAAAUAAAAAGCAUAAUCAAGAUGUUUACACAGUUUGGAACUUGUCCUACUGUACAAAUAAGUGAUUUAAGUUUUACUCCUAAGUAAAUUCUCUUCCAACUCAUUUUAGCCAUGCAAAUGAAAAUCAACACUCAACACUCAGACGGUGUAUGACAAUGUCACUCAAUAAUAGUUCCUACUAUGACAUAUGUGCUUUAAAUUCACACAUCAUCUAUAUAUAAGCUUUAGGAUUGGUCAAACCCUUCAUAAGCUCCGCGUAAAGUGGAAUAAUAAAUUUCCAAAUGCAAUAUCUCCGACAAUUAUCAUGAUGAACAACAAGACUGUUCCAAAAGCAACAAUGAGCCUGAAAAUUAUAAAUGCCAACAUGGAAUAUGUUAAAAUUGAUGUCAUUUAGACUGAGCAGUGUCCAAAGUGUAGAAACACUUACUGUUACUAAACGGAACUUUAUUUAUGUGCAUGAAUGGCCAUUUUCUAUGCUUUUCCAGUUCAAAUUCAACAAAGGGCCAAACAUAGGGCAUCAUCAUCUGUAAUAGUAACAAACUCCCAUUCCCAAACAUAGAGCAUCAACCUCAUCCUCACCACCAAAUAUUCUGAAGCAAGAUCCUUCCAUGAUUUAACCUUCAAAAUUCAAACAGCUAAAAGGGGUGCUCUGCAUCAAAGAAUAUUGUGAAAUAUCCCCUUCUUCCCCCUCCAUUUUCAUCAACACUUAACCUCUACCCCCUAUUUAAUUUACUUACUUGACAACCACAUUGCGUGUUUAAGCUCUCUCCAACACGACUCCAAGAAUCUGUCAACAGCAUAGGAACCAGAUAUUACCAUUUUUCUUGACAUAUAAAUUGCAACUCUUGAAAUACUGAUGACAUAUAUUACCAUUUUUCUUGAGUUGGAAUAUUUUGGCAGAUGAAAAAAUGGUAGUUGAAAGUAUGGCCUCUGCUUCUUGUAAUAUAUGCUAUUCUCUGCCGAAGAAGAGAGCCAAAAUCUAGCAAAAAUUAGGAUUCGAUCAUCAGAGGGACUCUUCAACAAAGAAAGAAAGAACACAUGUGCAUGGAGAGGAGGAUUUCAUGGGAGUACAAUGCCAUGGACAGGUCAGCAGUGAAGAAUGCAUGUCCUGCUUUUUGGCUCUUCCAUUGAACUCAUGCUGAAAAAGAAGAAGCUUAGUUAGGGGGUUAUAUUAGAUCAUUUGAAAUUGUGAGAUUUUUAUGAUUUAAAAAUGUAAACCAAUUAAGUAAUUACCACCUCUUUUUCUGCAUCUAAUUUCUUAAAGUUGUCAAAUGCCUUCAGAAAUAUCCAGCACUAGGCCAAUGGGUUACUGCACAAAAUUAACAAAAAUAUUAUGAAAAAUGAGUAGUAUUUCAGUAAGGAAAUUAAUGAAAAUACUAACCUGAAGGAAUGUGAGCAAUCUUAUACCAAUCGGCACCAAUGUCCUUCUGACACCUUUCUUCCAACUGAGGAACCUUAUGUAUAUUUAACUGUUGCAAAUUGGUUAGGCAGCGCAUCUCAUCCGGAAGCGACGUUAAAUUGGGCCAAUCAACAAGAGAAAGAAUUUGCAGAUUUGUUAGAUGUUGAAUCCACUCCGGAAGAUGCCGACACUUUGGAAUAUUUUCCAGUGCUAGGGAGCGUAGUCUUGUAUGAUCUUGGAAUAUUUGGAAGCCAGCUGCUGAUAGCUCCAGCUCCUCGCAGUUCAUUACUACAAGCACUUCAAGGAAAGUGAGAUGUUGGAACACAGGAAAGAGUGACCUCAAUCCGCUGCAAUUCCGAAUUUCUAAUCUUUUCAAUUGAACAAGAUGUUGAAGCCCUAGGGGGAGAGACACCAGCUGUGGAAUAUUAAUAAUCUCCAAAUGAGAGAGAUUCUUAAGGGCUUGCCAUUCCAUGCCCUCUAAAUCAACCUCCUUGCAAUCUUCUAUUGUUAAUUUUUUGAGGCCGGUGAAAUGUUUCAAGUACUCAUCUAGCAUGUGAGUGUCCAAUCCCUCAAUUUUGUGUACAUGGAAUGCUUUCAAUUUGGAGAGAGGAAGAGAAGAUGUUGAACUUGAUGGGGUCGUACCAGUGAUGUUCAUCUUCAUGGUCUGCUUUAACGGCCUUGAACUGGUCUUCACCAACCUUAGAUCAUCAUCGAGUGAAGGAUACAACGGCAUUGAAUUCAAAGGGCAAUUUGCAAUUUCUAAAGAGGAAAGACAAGGAAAUGCCAUGGUUGAUGUUCCUAUAACUGUUGUGUCAUCCUCGUUAUCAUCAUCAAUCGACCUUUUCCUCCACCAACUCUUCAUAUUUGGGCAAUUCUCGAGCCAAAGAGACUUAAGCGAUGGGAAGAAUGAUUCCGUUUCUCCUGGACUUCCUUUUGGGCUGUUAUCAUCCAAGUACUCCAGCUCAGUUAAAUCAACAAUUGACAGCUUUUGAAGACAAGGCAAUUGCGCAAAGGACGGGGUUUGUUUGAAAUUACUAGGACCCCGUAUUCUAAUCACGACGAGGUUUGUGAGCAAAGAAAGCCAACUUGGAAACUUGGCAUCACCCCUCCAUCCUCCAAUAAAGAGCUCCUUGAGAUUAGGAUGUGGCCGGAGGUCUUCAAGUGACUUGUCAUCAUCAUCAUCACCACCAUCAUUAUCAUCAUUAUUCCAUUUUAAAACCAACGAUCUCAAAUGUUGCUUCUCUUUCAAAUUAGCAGUCUUAAACUCCUCUUUUGCAUUUUUUACGAAUCCCAAAUUUGUUAUUUCUAGUUGUCCCCUUAAGUUGUUAAGCCCACUCAAUUCACUUAGAUCUGCACCGUCAUGUGAGCCAUCUUUAUCCACUACAAACAUGCUUAACGUCUCAAGGGAAGUCAGCUUCCCUAUUCCACGUGGCAUAUGAGUUAAACUAUAACAAUCUCCACACGCAAGAUGGGUAAGAUUCACCAAUUUUUCAAUCUUCUUCGGCAAUUCUUCAAGCUCCCAACAUAAACCAAGUUUCAAAACUUGCAAAUUUUGUAUCUUGCAAAUACUCUUUGGGAGGCUCUUAAUACUAAAAUUCACAGAAAGAUUAAGGUAUCUCAAAUGUUUCAACUUAUAAAUGGAGCGUGGAAUCAUCUUAAAAUCUAAACCAUUCAUUUCCAAUACACGCAAGCAUCUGCAAUUUGAAAUUAUAAAAUCCCAAGUUUCAUCACUCAAAUUUUGAUCUAUGUUGUUUGGAAAGUGUAACAAGGUUCGCAACUUCUUUCCCUUAAACAAAGGAAUUAAUGAAAGAUCAAUUGAUAUGUGGCGACAUUUUUCACCAACCUUGCUUGCAAUUUCAUUUGAAUCUACAAUACUACUCUCCGUCCCUGCUACUGAUUCAGCUAGAUCAUGCAUUAAAUCAUGCAUUUUACAUGUUAGUCCUUCCCACGAAUAUCCUUCUCCUACUUCUUGGAAGAAACCUCUUUCGUUUAAAUCUUUAAAAUACACAAAUCCAAUCUCCUCGAGAGAUUGACUUGGAUUCAAUUGCUUUACAAAGCCUUGUGCAAUCCAAAACUGAACAAGAGUUUGUACACGAAUUUCAUGAUCUUUUGGAUACAGUCGGCAAUAAGCAAAGCAAUGCUUCAAAUGGGAUGGGAGAUGAUCAUAGCUCAACUUAAGUGUAGCUAGAAUUUUACCUUCGUUUUGAGCUAUUCUAGUAAAUUCGUUAUCUUUGAAAGAACGCCACUCCUUUUCAGUUUCUUUGAAAGAUAACACACCAGCUAUCGUCCUUAUGACCAAGGGAACCCCCCCACAUCUUUCCAAAAUCUGUUUCCCUAUUUUUACAAACGUUGGGUUUAUAGAUCUUUACUCCAAUGCUAUUUCUUUGAACAAAGACCAAGCAUCGUCAUCAGACAAGCCUUUCAGAACAUAAGGCUGACAUUUACUAGUAAUCUUUGCUACUCUCAAAGAGCGAGUAGUUACUAUGAUCCUACUUCCUUUAGCCCCACCUACUAAUAACUCUUUUAAACUAACCCAUUCUUCCCACUCCUCAUUCCAAAUGUCAUCCAAAACAAGCAAAUAUUUUUUCCCACCGAUUUUUCCUCGAAGUUGGUUUUGCAAUUGAUCCAUUUCGAGUUUUUGAUUUGGUGCUUGGCCAGUUGCAGAUUUGAUAAUGUUUUCUACAAUUAUUUUGACAUCAAAAACAUCUGAAACGCACACAAACAUCAUCAACUCAAAAUGAUUUUUGACCAUUUCAUCAUUAUACACAAACUGCGCCAAAGCAGUCUUCCCUAACCCUCCUAACCGAACAAUAGACAAUACCAAAGUCACUCCUAAUAUAACAACAACAACAACAACAACAAUUACAAUUUUGAAUCUAAGAGAAGUCUGUUGGUGCAACAAUAGAAUCAAGCAGACUCAGCAAGUAUCUUGUCGAGCAAGCCUCGAAUCUUGCUGAGCAAACAAACAAUUUCGAGUUAAAGAAAGAAGAAAAUAAGCUGGGGAAAUUUGAGAGAAUAUUGAUGAACAAAAACUAAUUUGAUUCAUGCAUAAAACAAUGGCUUGAAGCCAGUACAUAACUCAAGCAUAAGGCUUGUCAAAAUCAACAAGUAAUUACCUACCUCCACUAAUUACAUAGAAACUUGAAAUCUUAGCUUGUAAACUUAUACAAAAGUGUGUUUACAGCUCAUACAUAAGCUAAUUACAUCAAUCAGAAAGCUAACUUAGUUAGAAAUGAACUAACACUCAUUUCAUCAACUAAAUAUAACAAAAUGAACAAAAUGAGCUUGCAUCAGCAGCCCUUGCAUCUGUUCCAGCUUUGCUUGGUCUUCAUGGCCUGUAUGGAAUCGAGUGUUGGCUUCAUGCUGACCAACUUCAACACUCCUCCUUGGUUAGCAUGGUGCAAACACCUAAAUUUUCUUCUUAAAUGCUCAAACCUUGUGACAUUAAGGGCUUUAGUCAAAAUGUCUGCAAGCUGGUCCUCUGAAUUGCAGUGAAUUAGCUUCACUUCCUGAGCUUGCUCCAUUUCUCGAACAACAUAUAGCUUAAUGCUAAAAUGCUUUGUUCUUCCAUGGAACACAGGAUUUUUGGCAAUUGCAACAGUAGAUUGAUUGUCACAGAAGAUCUCUGUUGCUUCCCUUUGAUCCAUAUUCAAAUCAGCCAGGAUUUUCCUAAGCCAAAUGGCUUGGUUGACAGCACUUGCUGCUGCCACAUACUCUGCUUCAGCAGUAGAUUGUGCCACCAGACUUUGCUUCUUCGAGCUCCAGCAGAACAUAGCUGAACCAAGGUUGAAAGCAUACCCUGAGGUGCUUUUCAUGUCAUCUAUCGAUCCAGCCCAGUCACUAUCAGUGUACCCAACUAGAUUUAGAUUUCCUUUCCUGCUGUACCUUAAGCCAUAGUCCAAAGUGCCUUUGACAUAUCUGAGCACUCUCUUGGCAGCCUGGAAAUGCUUCUCAUUGCAACAAUGCAAGAACCUUGAGAGCAAUCCUACAGCAUACAUUAUGUCUGGUCUAGUGGCAGUUAAGUAUAGCAAACAACCAACUAGACUCCUGUAGGUAGUUUCACAUACCUUCUCAAAGUCUCCUUGGCUCGAUAGUUUUUCUCCAACAGCAACAGGUGUUUUAGUUGGUUUGCUGUUUUGCAUGGAGAACUUGGUCAGAAUCUUUGUGGCAAAGCUCUUUCUGACUUAAAAAAUAUCCCAUUCUGUGCUUGAGUCNNNNNNNNNNNNNNNNNNNNNNNNNNNNNNNNNNNNNNNNNNNNNNNNNNNNNNNNNNNNNNNNNNNNNNNNNNNNNNNNNNNNNNNNNNNNNNNNNNNNGAUCAGACAUUUCAAACACCUCUUGCAUCUUGGUCUUGAAAUUAACCAGCACUGCUCGAUCUCCUCCUGUCACCAGCAGGUCAUCAACAUAUAGGGACACAAUGAGUUGUGUUUGUGUCCCUUGCUUCUUAACAUACAGUGUUGGCUCACUCUUGCUUCGAUUGAAUCCCAGAUCAGUCAAGUAUCCAUCGAUUCUGCUGUACCAGGCCCUUGGAGCCUGUUUUAAGCCAUAUAGGGCCUUCUUCAAUUUGUAGACCAUAUGCUCUCUCCCAGCUGUUUCAAACCCUUGUGGUUGUUCAACAUAGAUGUCUUCAUCUAAAAAACCAUUCAGAAAGGCUGAUUUCACAUCGAGUUGAUGAAUUUUCCAUUCGAGCUGGGCUGCUAAGGCAAUCAGCAGUCUGAUGGUGUCGAGCCUGGCCACUGGUGCAAAGGUCUCCAGGUAGUCCAAGCCAUACCUCUGACUGAACCCCUUGACAACCAACCUUGCUUUCAGUUUGUUCAAGGUACCAUCAGCAUUUUGCUUGGCUUUGUACACCCAUUUCACCCCAAUCACCUUCCUUUUGACUGGCCUUUCAACCAAUUCCCAGGUCUGGUUCUUCUCAAUCAUGCUGAUCUCCUCAGCCAUUGCCUGCUUCCACUCUUGCUGAGCUUCAGCCUCUUCAAAGUUACUUGGUUCAGCUAUGGCUAUAUGAGCCCUUUCAUAAAUCUCAGUCAUUGAUCUUGUUCCUCUGACUGGUUCAUCAUCAAUGUCCAUUUCAGGAACACUUUGUUCUGGCUCAGCUUGGUUUGUUGUAAGUUCUUCAGAAACUUCCUCAGGUUCAUGCCUUUCCCAGUUCCAACAUGACCUUUCAUCAAAUACCACAUCCCUGCUUACUGACACUUUGUUUGUUGAAGGAUCCAAGAUCCUAUAGCCUUUCUUAACAGUGCUGUAGCCCACCAGAAGACCAGGUCGAGCCCUUUCAGACAAUUUGUCCCUUUUAACAGCAGGUACAUGUGUGUAACAUAUGCAUCCAAAGACCUUCAGAUGAGCCAGUGAUGGCUUGAAGCCAAACCAGGCCUCGAAUGGAGUCUUCUGAUCCAAAGCCUUGGUUGGAAGUCUAUUUUGAAUGUAUGUUGCAGUGUUAACUGCUUCUGCCCAUAGUGCUUUAGGCAGAUUCUUCUGAAUCAUUAAGCACCUGGCCAUAUCCAUUAAGCUCCUAUUCUUCCUUUCACUUACACCAUUCUGUUGAGGUGUAUAAGUGUUGGUAAGCUGGUGUUUGAUGCCUGCCUUAUCACAGAAGGCUUGGAACUGAGCUGAGGUGUACUCAGUCCCAUUAUCAGACCUUAUGGUCUUCAGCUUGCAGCCUGUUUCUGUCUCAGCAGCAGUUUUAAACUUCCAAAACACAGUGGCCACUUCUGAUUUCUGUUUUAAGAAGUAAAGCCAGCAAUAUCUAGAGAAAUCAUCAACAAACAGUAUGAAGUACCUGUUUCCACUUAGUGACUUAGUCCUCAUAGGGCCACACACAUCAGUGUGCACCAGUUGGAGUUUUUCAGAGGCUCUCCAGGCUUGAUUCAUGGGAAAUGGCAAUCUGGCCUGUUUUCCUAGCUGACACACUUCACACACAUCAUCAUGGUCCACUGAGUUGAUGAAGUUUUCAGCCAGGUCUUCUCUGACCAUUAGGGCCAUCGAUCUGAAGUUGGCAUGUCCCAGCCUUUGAUGCCACAACUUAGAUUCAUCUGAUGUGGCUGUGUAGGCAAUGUCUGACUUCUUUGUCCAGUCAACCACAAAGCUCUUAUCAGCCAUAGGGACUGCCAUCAGUUUGGAUCCACUUGGAUCACUGAUUUGGCACUGCUUGUCCUUGAACACCAUAGAGUAACCUUUCUCCAGCAAUUGAGCUAUGCUGAGUAGGUUUCUGUCAAUUUCAGGCACCAGGAGCACAUUUGAGAUCAUUUUGGCACCUGUGGGAGUGCAUAUCAGCACAUCACCUUUGCCUUCAGCUUGAAUAAAGUGCCCAUUACCAAUUUUGACUUUGGUUCUACAGUUUCUGUCUAAAGACUUGAAGAUUGCAGCAUCAGGUGUCAUGUGAUUGGUGCAUCCACUGUCUAGGAGCCAACCAGAUGAGAGCCUUUCCUGAGCAGCUGAGCAUGACACAGCAAAGACUUGCUCCUCUUGGUCACUGUCCUCCUUAGCUACUCGAGCCUCAGCUUUCAUCUGUUGAGACUGGUUCUGUCUUGUUUUGGUCUUGCUCUUGCAAACUCUCUCAACAUGACCCUUCUUCUUACAAUGCUGACACACAGCAUCUGGAUUGAACCAGCAUUUUUCUUCUGGAUGAAAAUCCUACCAAACGCAGNNNNNNNNNNNNNNNNNNNNNNNNNNNNNNNNNNNNNNNNNNNNNNNNNNNNNNNNNNNNNNNNNNNNNNNNNNNNNNNNNNNNNNNNNNNNNNNNNNNNNNNNNNNNNNNNNNCUCUAGAUACCAAUUGUUGGUGCAACAAUAGAAUCAAGCAGACUCAGCAAGUAUCUUGUCGAGCAAGCCUCGAAUCUUGCUGAGCAAACAAACAAUUUCGAGUUAAAGAAAGAAGAAAAUAAGCUGGGGAAAUUUGAGAGAAUAUUGAUGAACAAAAACUAAUUUGAUUCAUGCAUAAAACAAUGGCUUGAAGCCAGUACAUAACUCAAGCAUAAGGCUUGUCAAAAUCAACAAGUAAUUACCUACCUCCACUAAUUACAUAGAAACUUGAAAUCUUAGCUUGUAAACUUAUACAAAACUGUGUUUACAGCUCAUACAUAAGCUAAUUACAUCAAUCAGAAAGCUAACUUAGUUAGAAAUGAACUAACACUCAUUUCAUCAACUAAAUAUAACAAAAUGAACAAAAUGAGCUUGCAUCAGCAGCCCUUGCAUCUGUUCCAGCUUUGCUUGGUCUUCAUGGCCUGUAUGGAAUCGAGUGUUGGCUUCAUGCUGACCAACUUCAACACUCCCUAUUAUGUUAUCUUUAAAAGAGUGCGUUUGAUGCCUCUUUUUGGUCAUGAAAGAGGUUUCCAUGGGGCGGUCACGCUCUACCAAAUUGAACAUCUUGGCCUCACUUCCGAUCAAAGUUAGCCUCGCCUUAAUGGCCUUAAUUUGACGACCCAUUUUGAGACUGCAAGCAAACUGGUUUGAGCUUGAGAAGAAAAGGCGUACCUCUUUCGUCAGCUUGCUCCCACCCAAUAGAUCUUUCCGCAAAGCUUCGGUAGAGAAAUCAUCAAGCAAGUCAUCGGCAUCAUAAAGUACAUCUUUCAGCUUUUCAAGCCAAUCUCUGACGCGAUGGCUGGUCACAGAUCGCUCUUCUGCGUCAAGAAGCACAGCUUUGAUUGUGGAGACGGUGCUUUUGAGGUCGUCGAGGUCAUCUUUGACAUUCCACCACAGUCCAAUUUGAGAGAGAGUAAAGGAGCUCAAUUUAGUAAUAAGCUCUACGGCGAGGUCGAAAGCAAUUGCUUCGGCCAUUGCUGGUUCAAACUGAAAUCAAGCAAAAGAGUGUUUGGUUACUGCAAGAGGAGGACUAAAAUGAAAAUGAUUGGAACAAGAUGAAACACAGAUGUGGAUCCAUACACGCGGAGACUAAGAAUUUUUAUAGGUGUUACCAUCCACCCUGCAAGUAGUAUAAUUAAAUGAAAAUAAUGUUGAUUGGUGGGAAAUGUUUGACACAAAUUUGUAAAUGGAGACAAAGUUGGGAUGAUGACACUUCGGGUGCUCGCACAAUUACAUCAACUUGGGCAAAAUUUGUGAGUCUCGAUCCCUACAAAUAAUUGAAAUUAAUGAAAAAGCUAUGAAAGAAAAGAGAAGAAAGUGACAAAUCCCAUGGAAUCCAAGGUGUUUCGAUUGAGGCCAAUGCAUUCGAGUCUUAAAUUAAGUAUUUUAUUUCUAUUUGAGUUGGAAUUUAGUUCGUAAUUUAAUUUAACAAGAUAAAAAUAUAUAAUAUAUUACUAAACGCAAAUUUAAUUCGAUCAAUAGUUCAAAUUCAGCUCAAUAAUUAUCGAAUCGAAUUUAAAUUUAUUUAUAAUCAGUUAAAUUAUUAACAUUAAAAUCUCAUUUAGGCCUCUCCCCCCAUGAAAUUUAGCUUUAAUUUUUCCUUUUUAGUAACUUGGUAACAAUUAUUAUUAUCAUGUCUAUAACCAUAUAUAAUGACAAUUGUUACUAUAUCCAUUAUUAUUAUACUCUACUCUUAUUAAUAAUGUUUUUUAUAUUGAUAAGUCUUUUAAUUAUAUUUGUUAUUAAUUUUUUUAUAUACUAUUAAGAAUAAAAUAAUAAUAUGAUUUGAUUUUGUGUCAAAUAAGUGUCUCAUAAAAGUUUUAACCAUUUCUUUAUAUUAUUAGUGUGGAACUUUGAUGACGAAAAUCUCGAACACAUGAACAACAAUUUGAACAGAGAAAAGAAGAAAUAGGACAAGGCUCAAUUAUCUUUCUAUUCACCCCCUACUCUAUGUGCAAAUGAGUUUAAAGUAAAUGAACCUCAAGGAUACAUGAACCCUAGUAGCUAUGAGCGUUUUACAUUAACGAAAAUAGUCCACUAAGAACUAAACAGAGUAUAACAAGAAAAUCAAUUUUUAUAAAAAAUUUCAGCAAUAUUAUUUUAUAGAACAAUCUAAGAAUGGUAAAAUAUGGUAAAAUAUUCCUAAAUUAUGCUUGUAUCGAAUAUCACUAAAUUAUUAAUAAAUUUAUAUUUUAAUUAUUAAAUUUUUAUUUAAUGCACGUGCAGUUUAUCUUAUUAUUAAAAUUGUUGAGAUAGGUGAAAUGUGUUUAUCAUCAGUUCUUUUAUUAGUUUAACUUUUAUUAUUGUUAAUCCUAGUGGUGUUUAUGAAUUGUUAUGGUGAGAUACUUUUUUAUUGUUAAUACUCUAGUGUUUAUGUGUUUUUCUUUUUAUUAUUUUUAUUUUUUAGAGUAAAUAUCAAAAUUAUUUAUGAACAUUAUUGUGAUGUGUGAUUUGUAAUUUGAUACAUAAAUUUUAAUUUUGUAUAAUUAUAUAAAUAAAACUUUAACUAUGAUUCAAUUGUAUAUAUGAAAAUGCAAAUGUUAAAACACACCUAUAUUACCCGUAGAGUUUAUAUAAUAUUUUAAAGAUGCCACCACCCACCAACCCACUAAGUAAUAAUUAAAUAAAACGUUGCUAAUUUUAUAUUAAAAACUUAGUUAAGGGACGGUCUUUCUUUAUAAAUUUUCUGCACUUUUCAACGUAUUUUUCUUGAACAGCAUCACAUGACAUGAUGCUAUAUAUGAAUAAAGAACGACAAGUUGGGCAGAAUUAUCAAUUGUAUAUCUUUUUUAAAGGGUAAAAGUGGGAUUGGCUGAGAAUCCAAUUUAAUUUUAGUGUUAAUUGAAAAUUCAAUCACAAGUUUUUAUCUUUCCAAAUAUAGUUUAUACUAUAUUUUUAUUAUUAAUUACGGAUAUUGGUGAUGUAGGUGAGCGUGUUAAUAUUUGUUAUUAAGGGUAGUAGCAUUUUAAUUAUUCUAAUAUACAUUUAUUUGUUUAUUGUAAAUGGGGUGAUGAGUUUUAUUUGUUUAUUAUAGGAAAUUUGGCCCCAUUCUUUUAUUUAUAAUUGUUUAUUACUUCUCUGUUCCAUGCGCAAUCAUAUUGCCAUAUUUGUUAAAUUUUAUUUAUACUUUUGCUAAAUAAAUAACUUGAUAGAGGGUUGUGAGAUCCAAACUUAUAUUUAAAAAUCUUUAUUUUGGUUUUUUUUUUUUAAGAGAUAGACAUUGCGCUGUUUGAUGAGCCUGCAUUGUAUUAGGUAGUUGGUCAGGUAAAGGCUGACCAAGCCAAUGAUGCUUAGCUGGUCUUUUCGGAUGAUCAGCCACGCUGGGACUAAGACACAACUCGGACUCCCACGGUGGGCAGCAGUGAGGAAUCUUGGACAAUGGGCGAAAGCCCGAUCCAGCAAUAUCGCGUGAGUGAAGAAGGGCAAGGCUCGCUCGUAAAGCUCUUUCGUCAAGUGCGCGAUCAUGACAGGACUCAAGGAAGAAGCCCUGGCUAACUUCAUGCUAACAGUCGCGGUAAGACUGGAGGGGGGGCAAGUGUUCUUCAGUAUGAUUGGGCUUAAAGGGCACGUAGGCGGUGAAUUGGGUUGAAAGUGAAAGUCGCCAAAAACUGGCGGAAUGCUCUUGAAACCAAUUCACUUGAGUGAGACAGAGGAGAGUGGAAUUUUCAUCUUAUAAAGUUGUAUUAACAUCAAGUUAAAAAGAGCUUGUUGAUUCCGUAUUGAUAGACAUACAGUUGAAAGUAACGAAUUGAUCAUUUGUCGUAUUCGAUCUACCGAAGAAUACAUUGGCAUGUCCAAGUAAGGAGUUAGUUGAAUUUUAUAAAGGGAAAUAACAAUCAGAUCUAAACAACUCGCGCAGUUGAGGCCGUUGGUUCGAGUUGGACCCUUUUAGUUAACAAGGCUACUAGAGAGCUAAAUUGUGGACGCAUGUUUCGUGGUUGUUCAUUCGGUAAGGAUUAGUUGUUGGGCAUUCCGCAAUUAAUUUACACACGGAAAGGUUGACGGUCUGAGGCUUCCUCGAUUCGUAUAACUGGCUUAACGAUUGAAGGAGAAGACUUGUUAUUGAGGAUUGAUUCAAAGUUGAAGCAAAAUCGAGCUUGAAGCUAGAAUUUAAUCAUAUUGGUUUACUUAAUUUAAUUUCGUUUCUACUUAUUUUUACUGUUAUUCAGUUCCAAUAUCUUUAUUAUUUUUACUCUUAUUAGAUUUAAAUUCUCCUUUUUAUUUUUGCAUAGACCGUCGCACCUCAUGGGCACCUAUUUAAUUUUUCCAUCCAUUUUGAGAUGAUUUGACAGAGAAUGUAAGUUCAAACUUCUCCAUCCAUUUUGAGGUAAUUUGACAGAAAAUGCAACUUUAAAGGCUAAAAGAGGAGAAAAAUUAAAUGGAGGGCUAAAAUAACUUUUUCUAUUAAAUUGGAGGACCAAAAGAAUCAUUAUGCCAAAAAAUAAUAAUUUUCUUUUUUGGUCAUUUUCUAGUGCUAUAAUUCAAGAUGGUGUGGAAUUAUUACAUCAGCUAAUCUUAUUAUUAUUAUUAUUAUCAUCGUGGUCAUUAUUGUUUUUAAUAUCAUUAGAGCGAAUGUUAUUGUCCAAACAAGGAUAGCUUAAAUAUAAUUUAUUCAACUUCUUAUAAUAUAUUAGGGCUCCUCUAAAUGCUCAUUUGCCUCCGAUGAGUAGAGUUGAAUAAAAAAAACUAAAAAAUUCAAAAUUGAUCUGGCUCGAGGUGUUUAGAAAAUAUAUAGCAUGCAAGUUAAAAAAUCACAACCGCCCAAAACCAAACCAAAUUCUAUUUUUAAAAAAAUCACUCGGUUGAAGUUAAAUUGAAUAUUUUAUUUCUAUUUGAGUUGGAAUUAAGUUCGUAAUUUAAUUUAACAAGAUAAAAUAAUAUAAUAUAUAUUACUAAACUCAAAUUUAAUUAGAUUGAUAGUUCAAACUCAGUUCAAUAAUCAUCGAAUCGAAUUUAAAAUUUUUUUUAGUUGAAUUCAGUUAACAUAUGAACAUUAAUAUCUUAUUUAAGCCUCUCUCGCCAAUAUAAUUUAGCUUCGAUUUUUUCUUUUUGGUAACUUGGAAACAAUUAUUAUCAUGUCUAUAAUUAUAUAUAAUUAUAAUUCUCACUAUCCAUUACUAUUAUACUAUACUCUUAAUAAUAAUAUUUUUUUAUUGAUGAGUCUUGUUAAUUAUAUUUGUCAUUAAUUUUUUAUACAAUAUUAAGAAUAGGAAUAAAAUAACAUGGUUCGAAUUCGUGUCAAAUAAGUGUAUGAUAAAAGCUUUAGCCAUCGCUCCAUACUAUCAGUGUGGAGCUUUGAUGACGAAAAUCUUGAACACAUGAACAACAAUUUGAACAGAGAAAAGAAGCAAUAGGACAAGGCUCCACUAUCUUUAAGGUUCUAUUCACCCCUUACUCGAUGUGCAAAUGGGUUUCAAAUAAAUGAACCUCGAGGAUACAUAAACCCCAGUGACUAUGUGCGUUUUAUAUUAACGAAAAUAGUCCGCUAAGGACUAAAUAGAGUAUAAUAAGAAAAUCAAUUUUUAUAUAGAACAAUCUAAGAAUGGUAGAAAGAAUUUUUAUAAGAAUUCAAGAGACAUUAACUUUCAAUAGGUGUGUUUUUUUUAAUAAUCAUAUCUUCAAAAGAUACAUAAUUAUUCAAUUAAUAUAUUAAAUAAACAUAACUAUUCAAAUAAUAUUGCUUGAAUAGUUAUAAUUCUUUGUCAGAAAAAUCAAGUGAUAUGUACUUUUUAUAUUUAAUAGAUUUAAUUUAUUAUUAUGAAUAGUUAUAACUCUUGAUCAAUAACCAAAAAAUAUAAUUUCUAAUUAAUUAUACUCUUUUAUUUAUAAUUAUUGGGACAGUAUAAAUAUUUGAUAAUUUUCCAUCACAUACAAGUCAAGACAUAUUUGCUAUUAAUAGUAGUAUUUAAUUUUUCCUUAAAAUAUACAUAUAUUUAUUAGGAAAGGAUCAAAUUUUUUUAUUAAGGAUAAAUAUCAAAUUUAUACAUGAAUUUUGGUUUAAUAUGCAAUUAUCUAUAUGAAACUUGAAUUGUGGUUCAUAUAUAUAUAUAUAUGAAACUUUGAUUUUAAUUCAAUUGUAUAUAUUAUAUUAGAUUAUUAUAAUUAUUUAUAUAUUUAAUAUAUAAAAAAAUAAAAUGAGAGGUUGAUUUGGCAUAUCCCAGGAGAAGUUGCCUACAAAAGAAAAAGUUAAUAUUUUUGGACUUAAUAUCAAGGGUGAUUGCAAAUGUGGCACAGAGAGCUGUUGAGGAGUUGCAUAAUCACUUAUUUUUUGGCUUUAAUUUUGCAAAGAACAUGUGGUCAUAGGGAUGUGUUGUGAUUAGGCUAUCGUGGAGUUGAAUGGGAAAUCAUUACUUAUAUCAUCAUCAAUAUUGCUUGUCGAAACUGCUUUUUUGAAAACAAAAAUUUUAGUUGUCGACUCUAAAAAAUAAAACUGGAGUCGCCACCGAUCCUUUAUUAAGGUGUGAUCGGCCCACCUUAAAAAUAAUUUUAGACUGCGAAAUUUGAGAAAAUAGGUUCGGGAGUCAGUUACGCACAAGGAAGGAUUAGCACCCUCGUAACGCCCAAAAUUGGUACCAAAUUGAUUUUUUUAAUGCCUUGAUGUCGAAAAUUUGAAAAGAUUUUAAAAGGGAACUUUUUAUUUCAUGAAUGAAUCAAAAUAAUAAGACAUUCUUAUUUCAAAGAAAUAAAACACCACACCCAGUGAGUUAGGGCACAAUGUUUCUAAAUCUUCAAAAUACCCGAAUAUUGCCUUUUGUUUCUGAAAAUUCUUAUUUCGAGAAGUCAAAAUAUCAGGACCAGUAAGUUAGGACCCAACAUUUUAAAUCCCCGAGAAUAAGCUUCAUUUGAAAUUUGUGAAUUUAUCGCAAAACGAAUACUUGGCUUUCUAAAUUCAUCAAAAAAUAAUCGCGAUCCAGUAAGUUAGGACACGAUCUUUCACGAGAAUCAUGAAUGCCAAAUAGUUUGGAAUUUAUAAAAUAGGAUGAUUUAAAUACUUUGAGAAAAUCAAAAGAUAUAUUGUUUAAAAGGGAUGCUAAAAAGGGUUAAGGUAUAACAUGAAACGGAUAUUCUAAUUUCAAACAUAUAUGAAUAAAUAUUUACGAAUGUAUAUAUAAUUAGGUAUAAUAUACAAAUAAAUUUACAAAUAUGUGUACGCAUAUAUAUCUAACACACAUAUACAGGAAUACAUGUAAAAAGAAGGAAUGGAAUAAAUCAAAUAAACAAUAUAAAAAAACAUGUAGUGAAAAGAAAAUAAAAGUAUAAAAAUAUGCACAUGUAUAUAUUUACAGAAUAAAAAUGUAUAGUAUAUAGGUCUAUUAUAAAAAUGCGUAUUUUGAACUAUAAAAUAUGAAAAAAACAUGUGUAUUUAAAACAUGUAUGUGUACAUAUACAUGUAUUUGUAAAAAAAAAGUUUAUGAAGGAUAAUAAAAAAAAACAUAUAUACAUAUUACAAAAGUAAAGAAAAAUCUGAAAUUAAAAUAUAAAAAUGAGCAUAUGUAUAGAUAUAGAAACUAAGAAAUAAAAAUAAAAAUAAAAGCAUACGUAUAAAGCAUGUAUGAGUGGACGUACCCUGUAACAUGCAUACAUAUAUACUAUAAAAACCAUGCCAGUAUACUAGAUAAAAAAAAAUUGCACACAUGUAUUAAAUAAAACGAUGCAUGUAUGUUAUAAAAUAAUAAUAAUAAUAAUAUCAAUGAUAGAGUAGUAUAACAAAAAUAAUAAUAGUAAUAAUAAGAAUAGUGAAACAAAUUUUAAAAAAAUUAAAUUGAACUAAAAAAGAAAAAAAAAGUGAAAUUCGAAAUAAAAUAAAACAGGACCAUAUUGAGUGCGCGCGCAAGUGUGGAGGACCAAAAGGGAGAUUAUCUCCUCCUUCCAAAACGCUACGCAGCAAGGGACCAAAUUGAAACAAAAAUAAAAUGUGUGGCCCAAUUUUUUCAAAAUGCAGAGUUGUAAGAUUAAAUUAGAGUUUAUCAUGAGUUGAGUUUAAGUAUAAUAUUAAUUCAUUUUAUAUUUGUUUAAAUUCGGUUUGAGUCAAAAUAUAAGUUUAAAAUUUUACUUUAAGUUCGUCUAAAUUUGUAUAUAGUUAACUCAUGUCAAUUUUAGACCCGCCAUACUAUUUUUAAAAAAAUUAAAAUAUAUUUGAAUUAUUUCUAACUUAAUAUUUAAUAAUUAUGUAUAUAUUUUUAUUGAAAUUUUAUAUAUAGUCAUAUUAACAUUAUAAUAGUACAUAAAUUUAUUUUUUAUUUGUUACAAAUUACAUAACAUAUAAAAAAUAAUGUAAUAUAAAAUAUUGCAAACUAAAAAAUUAGGUCAGCCCAAACUUACAGUUUAAAUGUUCAAUCUCAAGCCCAACCUAUAUUUUAAGCGGACCUUUUUUUUUUUUUUUGCUGGAGCCUAUUUUUUAAACGUAAUAUAUUUAUUUAAACUUUCACAAAUUUUGAACAAGCUUUUGGACUUGACGAAAAACCCUAUCCAUAAACAGAUCUAGACUGAACUAAAUUUACUACAUUCUUUCCCUUUUAUUUCCCUAUUAUUUUGGGUUAAUAGUACAUAUCUAUUAAAACUUUAUUGCUCCUAUAGGGAUGAUUAUAUAUUAAAGUUAGACAAUGAUCGUACAAAGCUAUUUUAUUCACAACCAAGUCAAGAAAUUGUCAAUCCAUACAAUCGUAUGCUUUUUCAAAAUCUACUUUAAAAGAUAGCACCUCCCCUUCUUUGCUUUUUUGAAUAUAGUCCACAACUUCAUUUUCACUAAAGCACAAUCCAGAAUCUAACAAUCUGAAAUAAAAGCAAAAUUGACCUUCAUUGAUGGUCCUGAAUGAAGCUUUGAAUCUAUCUAGUCAAAAAUUUUCGGUAUAGUAAAAAUUUUUAACAUCAAAUAAAUAAUAAAAUAGGGUGGGCAUCAAUAAAUAAAUAAAUAAAAUCUGAAUUUUACUGUAUGGACAAGUCUAUUGAGAAAUUUUUUUAAAAAUGAUAUUUUAGCAUAUAUAUGGGUUAAAGUACUUAGGAAGUCCCUCUAACAUUAAAUGAAUCAAUUUAGUCCAUAUACUAUUAAAAAAAUAUCAAAUAAGUUCAAAUUGUAACGGAGUUAACAUUCACUAUAGCACAUUUAACAUUAACAUAGUUAAAUAUUUUCAAUACAUUUUAGACAAUAAAUGUUAACUUUGUUACAAUUUAACCUUAUUUGAUCUAUUUUAAUAGUAUAGGGACUAAAUUGACCGAGAGGGUUAUUUGAUAAGUCCCUAUAAUACAGGGACUUCUCAAUUCUCAAGUACUUUCAACAUUAUAUAUGUAUUUCAAUCUUAUUUUGGAAUGAAAUUGAACAACUGAAAAAGGUUAGAGUUCAAAAACAUUAUACAGUCCCGAUGAUUGUCACAGAUUUUCAUCUAGUAAUAGUCGUAGAAUAGUUGCCGAUCAAGAAGUUGAAGCAAUUGUUGUGAGAUCUCUAGUGAGUUCAAAAAUUCUCUUCUGAAAAUGGUGGCUAUCAUGUAAUUAGCAGUAUAUUAUUUCAAUUUUGGUGAGAAUUGUAUUCUCACUUAAACGCUUAAUGCCAUUUGCUUAAUACUUUGUGUGUGUGAUCUUUUGAUCUGUUCAUAGACAGAACUUUUCAUGGUGGCUAAGUUUCUUAGGGGAUAAAUUAUUAGUAGUAUUAUUUGUUUCUGCAGUGAAAUUGUGAUGCCUGUAUUUUAAACUGUGAGGUAUUUCCGUAUUUGUUGAUGUAGUGGAGUUUUGGUAGAUUUAAGUGCUCGUUUGCUGUACUAAGUUGAAAUUGAAUGAAUGCUGGCCUCAUCCAAUGUCCAAAACUUGAUGACUUCAACAUUUUGAUGCCUUAAUUUGAGAAGACUAAGUUAGAGUACUAUAAAACUUUCUAAGAAUGCUGAUGAGGCAUAGAUCUAGUGAUCUAAUAUAAUUGCAAUUGAUAGUAUGGUAGUCUAAAUGCUUUAGUAAGAGAGGAAGAUUAUGUCAUGCUACUCCAUUCUCGGUUUAAAUCAGUGCUCUAUAUGAAGAAAGGUUGAUGGGUGUUAGUUCUUUUGAUGUCUUGUCUUUGAUGGAUGUUUGAAAAAUGAUUCAGUUGAUAUUCAUAAUGUCUAUCACUACAGUUUCCCCUUUAUGUAUAAUAUGACUGCUAGUUUGUCGGUCUUCGUAUAUUAUAUUCCUUUUUCUUAUUGUUUUCAACACGAUAACAACUGAGUUACUAGUUAUUUUACUUGAUUUUGUCAUGGCAUUUCAAAGAUGACCUUAAGGACCUCAAAAGCACCAUCUUCACAAUCAAAGAUGUGCUUCUUGAUGUCGAAGAACAAUCCAUGACCAGCACUCUCAUCAAAGAUUGGCUUGAAAAGUUAAAAGAUGCAUUUUAUGAUGGCGAUGAUUGGCUCGAUGAUUUUUGUUGAAGGUUGGUAAGCAUGUAGCAAAGAAGCAGACAACAAGCAGGUCAUGAAGAUUGACCCAUGCAGAAGCUGCUGCAGCAAGCACAACUGUUCCUUUUUUGUUCAUUUUGUAACCUUAAGUUGAUGUAAUGUAUUUUAGUUCAUUUUGAACUAUGUUAGGUUAAUGAAUGAUGUAAUUAGAUGAUGAAUGAGCUGUAAACUCAGCUUUGUCCAUGCUUACAAGUUUUGUUUUUCAAGUUUCAAUGUAUUAGUGGUAGUAGGUAGCAAUUAGGUGACCACAUACCGAUUUUGAUAAGCAAAUUACUUGAUUUAUGUAUUGGCAUUAUGCCAUUGAUCAAAAUGAAUGAAAUCCAUCAGUUUUUUGUUCUAUUACACUUCACUUUCUUUGCUUUCUUUUCUCUUCUUUUCUUUUCAUUUUCUCUCGAUUUCUUUUGUUUCUUCAGCAAGCAUUGAGCCUUGCAGCUCAAGCCAUAAGCUGAACUUGUCUGUUCUUUGUUCCUAACACCAACAAUUUUUCUACUGAAGUUUUGCGGAAAGAUCUACUGAGCAGGAGCAAGCUAAUGAAAGAAGUAUGCCUUUUCUUUUCAAGCUCAAACCAAUUUGCUUAUGGUUCCAAAAUGGGUCAUCAAAUUAAGGCCAGGAUGUUCAACUUGGUAGAGUGUGACCGUCCCAUUAAAACCUAUUUCAUAACUAAGAAGAGGCAGCGAACACACUCUUUUGUGAGUAAAGAUGAAAUAAUAUGGAGGGAAGAUGAUAAAGCAGCUUUUCUAGAACACAUAUUAGAGUUCCAAAGUGAAGAGAAGGUUUAUGUGAUUCCGAUUGUGGAGUUUGGAGGGUUAGGGAUGACUACAUUAGUACAGUUUGCCAAUGAAGUGGUCAAUGAUCAUUUUAAGUUGAGGAUAUGUAAAGAUUCCAAACUGGUCAUCUCGGAAGCGAUCUUAAAUCGGGCAAAUUAGAGAGAUAAAGAAAUUGCAACCCACUCCGGAAGAUGCCGACACUUUGGAAUUUUUGCCUGCGAUAGGGAGCGUAGGUUACAAUGCCAUGGACAGAUCACAACUCCACUUUCUAUAUAGUUUCAAAAAUUACUCGGGGGCAGAAGGCAAUGGGAGCCACAACUCCCCUUACCCCUCCCCCUUCCAAAUUUGGGAAAUUCUCAUUAAGCCUUCAAUUUUUUUGAAAAUUUUAAUUAAACUCCUCAAUCUUUUUAAAAUUUUUGAAAAAUUUAAUUCCACAUUUCGCUACCUUUCGUCUCUGAUAGCUUUAGUUUAUUUGAAUGCUUGGAAUUAGGCUUUCACAUUGUUACAUGGUUGAAAAUUACUUGUAUUUUGAUAACGAAAACAAUGGGAAAAAUAACAAUUAGAUGCUUGGAAUAUUGGCUUGUGCCAUGAUAGGCCUUUAUAAGGUGUUAUUCAACUUGUAAUUUGAUGUGUGCCAACAUAAGCAUCAACAGACAAGUCAUGUAUAUACAGCCAGGACAUCGACAUCUUUUGGAAGCAUCAUAAUUGAACAAUGUGAAAUACCGUCUAAAACAAUUAUUGUCUCAUAAUCAAUUGUGCAUCCCUGCAUUUGAAUACUGUUUGGAACAUUAAAAAUGUGUUUUUUCCUGAGUUGGUACAUAUUAUGCAACAAGGAAAAUAAAGAACACAAUUAAAAUGUUCACGCAGUUCUAAACUCGUCCUACGUCUGCAGGGCUUUGCCCAAAAAUGAAUCCACUAUGAACUUCAUAGUACAAAGAAAUGAUUUAAGCUUAACCCCUCAAACACUUGAUGCAAUCUCACUUUUGUACAAUUAAGUAAAUUCUCUCCCAACUCAUUUUAGCUAUGCAAGUGAAAAUUCACAUUCAACACUCAGAUGGUUUUCCUACUAUGAAUCAAGCUCUUAAUAAGCUCAAUGUAAAGUGGAAUAAUAAAUUUUCAAAUGCAAUAUGUCUGGCAAAUGUCAUGCUUGAACAACGACUCUUCCAAAAGCAUCAAUGAACCUGAAAAUUAUAAAUGCCAACAUAGAAUAUGUUAUAAAUCCCAUUAUUAUCAGCCUUAUAUUUGCACAUAUGUGUGUUUAGUAUAUUGCUGUUGAUAUAUAAAUAAUGAAACAUUUUAUCAACUUCAUCCUCACCACCAAAUAUUCUGAAGCAUCUUCCUUUUUUUCCUGUUUGGACCUUCAAUAACAAAUCUGUUUGGAAUUCCAAACAGCUAAAAGAGUGCCCUGCAUCAACGAAUAUUAUGAAUUUGAAUACCUCCAAAAGCCUGUCAAUAGCAGUGGUACCAUCUAAGAUAGUAAUCAGUUGGCAUAUAUUAAGAGAAAACAUAAAUAUAUAUAAAGAUACAAUAGGUAAGUGCUUAAAUGAAGAAAGCAGAGCAUAUAGUCCAACCAUUUUGAAGGCUUCAUAGGCCUCUCUCUCCACAUCAAUGAUUUUUUAGAAUUAAAUUAGUAGAAGCAAUUGUCAAGUUAUUAUUAUGAUUUAAAAAUAAAAAGCAAAUAGAUAAAUUAGCACCUCUUUUUAUGCAUAUAAAAUGAUUGAAAUUCACUAAUGCCUUUAUCCAAUGCCUUACUGCACAAAUCAGCAAAAAUAUUAUGAAAGAUGAUAAGUAAAAAGUAGGAUGAAAACAAAGGGAUUUUAACAAGGAAAUUAACAGUAUCCAACUUCAAUGAAAAAUGGCAUCAGACCCCUGACUUGGAGAUUCAAUAUACCACUCUUAUUUUUCUUCAAAAAAAGAUAAGGUCAUCAAAAUAAAUAAAUAACAAAGACAGACCAACCUGAUUCACAAAAUGCAGGGGAUGUGAGCAAUCUUUUGCCAAUCAGCGCCAAUGUCCUUCCGACAUCUUUCCUCCAACUGAGGAACUUCAUGUAUGUGUAAAUGCUCCAAACUGGUUAGGCAACGCAUCUCAUCCGGAAGAGAUGUUAAAUUGGGCAAAUAAGAGAGAUGAAGCUCUUGCAGAUUUGUUAGAUGUUGAAGCCACUCCGGAAGAUGUCGACACUUUGCAAUAUUUUCCAGACACAGAGAACGUAGGCUUGUAUGAUCUUGGAAUAUUUGGAUGCCAGCUCCAGAUAACUCCAGCUCCUUACAGUCCUUUACUUCAAACUCUUCAAGGAAAGUGAGAUGUUGGAACACAGGAAGCAGUGACCUCAAUCCAUUGCAGUUCUGAAUUUUUAAUGUUUUCAAUUGAACAAGAUGUUGAAGCCCAAUGGGGAGAGACACCAGCUUUGGAAUAUUAUCAAUCUUCAAAAAAGAGAGAUUCUUAAGGGGUUCCCAUUGCAUGCCCUCUAAAUCAACCUCCUUGCAAUCACUUAUUGUUAAGAAUUUGAGGCUGGUGAGAUGUUGCAGGCACUCAUCUAGCGUGUGAGUGUCCAACCCCUCAAUGUUGUGUACAUGGAAAGAUUUCAAUUUGGAGAGCGGAAGAGAAGAGGUUGAAGUUGAUGGGGCCUUAGCAUUGAUGUUCAUCUUGAUAAUCUGCUUUAACGGCCUUGAACUGGUAUUCGACAACAUUAGAUCUUCAUCGAGUGAUGGAUACAGUGCCAUUAAAGUCAAAGGGCAAUUUUUAAUACCUAAAGAGGAAAGACAAGGAAAUGCCAUGGUUGAUGUUCCCAUAACUGUUGUGUCGUCCUCGUUGGAAUCAUCAUCGAUUGGUUUUGUCGUCCUCCACCAACUCUUCAUAUUCGGACAGUCCCAGAGCCAAAGUUGCUUAAGUGAUGGGAAGAAUGAUUGUGGUUCUCCUUGACUUCCUUUUGGACUAUUAUCAUCGAUUGGUUUUGUCAUCCUCCACCAACUCUUCAUAUUCGGACAGUCCCAGAGCCAAAGAUGCUUAAGUGAUGGGAAGAAUGAUUGUGGUUCUCCUUGACUUCCUUUUGGGCUAUUAUCAUCCAUGUACUCCAGCUUAGUACAACCAUGUAUCUCCAGCCCUUUAAGACAAGGAAAUUGCGCAAAGGAUGGGAUUUGUUUGAAAUUACCCCGAUAUAUUCUCAUAUAAACGAGAUUUGUGAGCAAAGAAAGCCAACUUGGAAACUUGGCAUCACCUCUCCAUCCUACAAUACAGAGCUCCUUGAGAUUAGGAUGGGGCUGGAGGUCUUCAAGUGACUUCUCAUCAUCACCAUUACCACAGGCCCAUGCUAAUUCCAACGAUCUCAAAUGUUGCUUCUCUUUCAAAUUAGCAGCCUUAAACUUCUCUUUUGCAUUUUUUACGGAUCCCAAUUUUGUUAUUUGUAGACGUCCCCUUAAGUUGUUAAGCAGUCUCAAUUCACUUAGAUCUGCACCGCCAUGGGACCCAUCUUUAUCCACUACAAACAUGCUUAACGUCUCAAGUGAAGUCAGCUUCCCUAUUCCACGUGGCAUAUGAGUUAAACUACGACAAGAAUAACACGCGAGAUGGGUAAGAUUCACCAAUUUUUCAAUCUUCUUUGGCAAUUCUUGAAGCCUGCAACACUCAUCAAGUUUCAGCGCUAGCAAAUUCUGAAUCUUGCAAAUACUCUUUGGGAGAAUCUCAAGACCGCUAUUAUAAGAAAGAUCAAGGUACCUCAAAUGUUUCAACUUACAAAUGGAGCGUGAAAUCUUUUGAAUACCUAUAGAAUCCAAUUUCAAUACACGCAAGCUUCUACAAUUUGCAAUUAUCAAAUCCCAAGUUUCAUAGCUGAAAUCUAGACUUAUUUUGUCUUCAAAAUGUAACAAGGUUCGCAACUUCUUUCCCUUAAACAAAGGAAUUAAUGAAGGUUUAAUUGAUAUGUGGCGACAUUUUUCACCAACAUCGCUUGCAAUUUUAUUUGAAUCUACAAUACUACUCUCCAUCCCUGCUACUGAUUCAGCUAGAUCAUGCGUUAAAUCAUGCAUUUUACAUCUCAUUUCUUCCAUCAAGUCUCCUUCUAUAUCUUGAAAGAAACUUCUUUCGACUAAAGCUUUAAAAUACCCAAACCCGAUCUCCUCGAGAGAUUGACUUUGAUUCAAUUGCUUUAUGAAACCCUGUGCAAUCCAAAAUUGAACAAGCGCUUGUACUUUAAUUUUGUAAUCUUUUGGAUACAAUCGGCAAUAAGCAAAGCAAUGCUUCAAAUGAGACGGGAGAUGAUCAUAACUCAAUUUCAGUAUAGGUAGAAUUUCUCCUUCAAUUUGUGAAAUUGUAGCAAGUUCAUUUUCUUUGAAAGAAUGCCACUCAUUUGCAGUUUUCUUCAAAGAUAAUGUACCAGCUAUCGUCCUUAUGGCUAAGGGAACCCCACCACACCUUUCCGAAAUCUGUCUCCCUACUUCCACAAAGGCUGAAUUUGUUGAGUCUGCAUGUCCUUGCUCAAAUGCUAUCUUUUUGAACAAAGACCAAGCAUCAUCAUCAGACAAGCCUUUCAAUUUCAAAACAUGGGAUUGACAUUUAUUAGUUAUCUCCGCUACCCUUAGAGAUCGAGUAGUUACUAUUAUCCUACUCCCUUUAGCCCCACCCACCAAUAACUUCUUUAGCCUAGACCACUUUUCUGGGUCCUCAUUCCAAAUGUCAUCCAAAACAAGCAAAUAUUUUUUCCCAUCAAUUUUAUCUCGAAGUUGUUUUUGCAAUUGAUCCAUUUCAAGAUUUUGAUCAGGUGCAUGAUGAGUCACAGAUUUGAUAAUGUUUGCUACAAUAGCUUUCACAUCAAAAUCAUCUGAAACACACGCAAACAUCGUUAAGUCAAAAUGAUUUUUGACCAUUUCAUGGUUAUAGACAAGUUGGGCCAAAGCAGUCUUCCCUAACCCUCCAAACCCCACAAUUGGAAUGAUAUAAACAUUCUCUUCACUUUGAAACUCCAACACGAGUUUUAGAAGAGCUGCUUUAUCAUCAUCCCUCCCUAUUAUGUCAUCUUCACGCUCAAAAGAGUGCGUUUGCUGCCUCCUUUUAGUCAUGAAAGAGGUUUCCGCGGGGCGAUCACGCGGAAUGAAGCCAAAAGUGUUGGUCUCGCUUUCAAUUGAAGCUAAUCUCGCCUUAAUGGCCUUCAUUUUCCGACCCAUUUUGAGACCAUAAGCAAAUUGGUUUGAGGUUGAGAAGAAAAGGCGUACCUCUUUCGUCAGCUUGUUCCCACCCGAUACAUCUUUCCGCAAAGCUUCAGUAGAGAAAUCAUCGAGCAAGUCGUCGGCAUCAUAAAGUACAUCUUUCAGCUCUUCAAGCCAAACUUUGACGAGAUUGUCGGUCACCGAUUUCUCUUCUGCGUCAAGAAGCACAGCUUUGAUUUGACAGACAGUGCGUUUGAGGUCGUGGAUGUCAUGUUUUAGAUUCCACCACAGCCCAACUUGAGAGAGAGCACGAGAGCUCAACUUAAUAAUGAGCUCUGCGGCAAUGUCGAAAGCAAUUGCUUCGGCCAUUGUUGGUUCAAACUGAAAUCAAUGCAAAAAGUGUUUGAUUCGUGAAAGAGGAGGACUAAUAUGAGAAUGAUUCCAACAAGAUGAAACACAGAUGUGGAUCCAUACACGCGGAGACUGAAGUAUAUUUAUAGAUGUUACCAUCCACCCAGCAAGUAGUAUAAUUAAAUAAAAAGUAAUUUUAAGAGAUUCAUUAAUAUAAUUAUUUGUCUAUGCAAUAUGUCAAAGUAAAAUGUAAGAGGUUGAUUUGGCAUAUCCCAAUAUAUUUUGUUAUAGUUUGGAUGGUCAUUCUUGUCAAGUUACCUAUCAUUGGCAAAGCUUGGUAGAGACUCUUAAAAUGGUAAAUUUUUAAUUUAAACCUUUUAUAAUUUAUAAAAUUUUAAAUUAAUAAUGAUAAAAUUAUAAUUUAAUCCUCUAAAAAUUUAUAAAAAAUUAAUUUAACUCUUUAAAAAUUAUAAAGAUAUACUACUAUAAAAAUAUAUAAUUUAAUUCCGACUAAAAUUUUUUUUAGCUCGGCUACCGUUGCCUAUAAAAGAAAAAUAAAUUUCGUUUUCCACACAAUAUGUGGAGAGAUAUUGGGUUUAUGUCAGCUCCAUGGGAAUGUAUUUUAUUGGAAUUGAAGGAAAAAUCAUUACUUAUACCCUUAUGAAGAUUGCUUCCAAUGCUCAUAUCUAUUUAAUUAUUUUAUUACACAUAAAAUUGUUUAUUGUGAGUUGGAUGCUUUUGGUUUGAUUAUUUAAGAUAUUUUAUUUUUAAAUAUAUUCUUAAUUAUUUAUUUUACAUAUACAUGUAUUUUAACUUAAUAUAUUUAAUAGUGAUUUUGUUUUUUAUAAAAAAAGGACCCAAAGGUACUACCUCAUUUUAAGUUGCAUCAUAAAUUACAAUGUUAUGGAUAUCGCUAGGAUAAUUCAUCCCAAAAGAUAAAUUACAACACUUAGAAAGAGCCCAAUUACAAAGAGAUCGACUAAUUUGUUACAACCACGUUUCACCCAUUUGACCUCGGCGGAAACAAAAGAAUCAAGCAUCUUGUGAGCUCAUUGAUGCAGUGAUCAAGGGUCGUUAUGUCCUCUUUGUGAAAACUAAAGCGGUUGAUAAUGCUAGCACAAUCUGCUUCAAAAAUGACAUUAUCGGCUUCAAAAAAUUGAGCAUGCCGAAAACCAUCAAUGAGGGCAUCUAAUUCUGCUUUAAUAGUGAUUUUUUAUUCUCAUUUUAUCGGUAUAUUUGUUGGAACAUUUUCAAAUAUUUAUAGUGUUCCAAUAACUAUAAAUGAAUUGGUGUAAUUAAUCAAAAGAUUACAUUAUUUGAUUUUUUGAAAAAGAGUUAUAACUAUUUAAAUAAUAUUAUUUGAAUAGAUAUAAAUGAAUAAUUAUGUGUUUAUUUUUAAGACAUUAUUAUUCAGAAAGACACCUAUUGCUGAAGAGACAUGAAAAUUUCUAUAAGUAGAAAUGGGAUUUCAUUUGGAAAACGUACCAAAAAAUUCUAAAUAUUCUUUCUUUCCUUCCUUCAUUUUCUAAUAUUAUUAGAUUAUUCUAUAAAGUAUUACUGCAGAAAUUCUUUGUAGAAAUUGAGUUUUUGAUAUACAUUGCUUAAUGCUUGGUGGACUAUUCUCGUCAGUGCAAAACGCAAAUAGUCAUUGGCUUCAUUGUAUCCUCGAGGUUAAUUUGCUUGAAACUCAUUUGCACACCGAAUAUAGGUGGGGGUGAAUAUAACCUUAAAGAUAGUGGCUUGAUACACGCCUUGGAGCAUUGUCAUUUUUCUUCUUUUUCUGUUCGAGUUCUGUUUGUGUGUUCGAGAUUUUUCUCACUGGAGUUUUGUACUAACAAUUUUAAGGUUAUAAUUCAUGAUGACUACCACAACACAUGAAAGUGGAACACUAAGGGAGUUGGCUUCCAACUUUGUUAAACUUGAUCGGUUUGAUGGUUGUAAUUUUCGACGAUGGUAGAAAAAUAUGCACUUCUUAUUAUCAACUUUGAAGAUUGCUUAUGUUUUGGAUACUCUAAGACCUGAAGAGAAUGAAAACCAAUCUGUUGUUGCAACUUGAGAAAGAUAAAAAUGGGACAAUGCUGACUACAUGUGCAUGGGCCACAUAUUGAAUGGUUUAUCUGAUGGUUUGUUUGACACCUACCAAAACGAGGUCACCGCUAAAGAAUUAUGGGACAAAUUGGAGACAAGAUACAUGACCGAAGAUGGUACAAGUAAGAAAUUUCUUGUCAGUCAUUUCAAUAAUUAUCAAAUGGUUGAUGGUCAUUCUAUUAUGGAACAAUUUCGUGAUAUUGAAAAGAUGUUGAAUCAAUUCAAGCAAUAUGGUAUGAAAAUGGAUGAAAUGAUUGUUGUAUCCUCCAUAAUAGACAAACUUCCUCCAUCUUGGAAAGACUUUAAAAGAAGUCUAAAACAUAAGAAAGAGGAAAUAUCUCUUGAGGCUUUGGCAAAUCAUCUUCGUAUUGAAGAAGAGUAUAGAAAACAAGAUCAAAACCUAAAUUCAGAAAUUGCCAAAGUGCAUGUUACGGAGGAAGUACAGACUACUAAACCAUUCAAGAGAAAGUUUAAACAGACUGAUAGAGCACCAAAGUUCAAAAAGAAACAAAAGGGCUCAUGCUAUCAUUGUGGAAAGCCCGAACAUUUCAAGAAUGAAUGUCGAUUUUUAAAGAAGAAAUCAUCUUUUAAGGCUGAUAAUAACGAAAAAUUCGUUGCAAUGAUAUCUGAAAUUAAUAUGGCACAACAUGAAAGUACAUGGUGGAUUGAUACCGGAGCAACCAAACAUGUGUGCAAAGACAAAAGCAUGUUCACAAAGUUCACACAAUGAAAAAAUGACAAUGUCUUGUACAUGAGAAAUUCUUCCACCGCAGCAAUCAAAGGCAAAGAGUCUGUUGAACUACAAUUCACUUCUGGAAAGGUUUUAACCUUAAAUGAUGUAUAUUAUGUACCAGAAGUUUGAAAUAAUUUAGUGUCUGGAAGUCUGUUGAAUAAGUUUGGUUUCAAACUUGUUUUUGAGGCAGAUAAGUUUAUUUUGUCUAAGGGACGAAUUUUUGUGGGGAAAGGGUAUAUGUAUGAGAGCAUGUUCAAACUCAAUAUUAUUAAUAAAAAUAAAAAUACUAUUUCUACUUAUAUGGUUGAAUUUUUUUGUUUGUGGCAUUAUAGAUUAGGUCAUUUGAAUUAUAGAAAAUUGAAUGACAUGUAUAAGUUAGAUUUAAUUCCUAUUUUUAAUAAUAACAUUGAAAAAUGCAAUACAUGUAUGUUGACUAAAAUUACAAGAAACCCUUUCCCUAAGGUUAAAAGGAAAACAAAAUUGCUUGAUUUGAUACAUAGUGAUUUAUGUGACAUGCAUAAUACUCCUACAUUAGGUGGAAAGAAAUAUUUUGUUACUUUUAUUGAUGAUUGUUCUAGAUAUUGUUAUGUAUAUUUAUUGCAUUCAAUAGAUGAAGCGCUUAAUAAAUUUAAAGUUUAUAAAUCUGAAGUUGAACUUCAGUGUGAGUCAUUUAUCAAGUGCUUAAGAUUAGAUAGAGGUGAAGAAUAUUAUAAUCCAAGUUAUUUUGAAUCCACUGGAAUUGUCCAUCAAGUUUUAGCCCCUUACACACCACAACAAAAUGGUGUAGCUGAAAGGAAAAAUAGAAUCUUAACUGAAAUGGUAAAUUCAAUGUUAUCAUAUUCAGGUAUUGGACAAGGUUUUAGGGCGAAACUGUUCUAACAACUUGUCAUAUAUUGAAUAAAGUUCCUAAUAAGGAAACUAAAAUAACCCCCUAUGAACCAUGGAAGAAAAUGAAACCAAACCUUAAUUAUUUGAAGGUUUUGGGUUGUAGAGCUAUUGUAAAAGUUCCAACACCUAAACGUAAAAAGUUAGGUGAAAGAGGAAUUGAAUGCAUAUUUAUAGGUUAUGCACAUAAUAGCAAGGCAUAUAGGUUCAUGGUAAUUGAACCAAAUGAUUCAAUUUCAAUUAAUAAUGUUAUUGAAUCAAGAUAUGCUAUUUUUGAUGAAAAUAGAUUUAAUUCUAUAUCAAGACAAUUACAGCCACAACAAUUGAUUCAUUCUUCAAAUGAGAAUGAGAUUCCAUUGGAACAAAUUGAUAAUAAUAAUGAAUCUUGUCAAGAAUUAAGAAGAAGUAAGAGAAUUAAAAAAUGUCAAAGAUUUUGGACCAAAUUUUAUUAUGUUUCUUGUAAAAGGAAAAGGUGAAAGUAUAUGCAAUAAGAUACCUUAUUGUUAUAAUACAGAAUCUGAUCCUAUUACAUUUGAAGAGGCAAUGAAAUCUCAAGACUCUGCUUUUUGGAAAGAAGCAAUAAAUGAUGAGAUGGAUUCAAUAAUGGGAAAUCAAACUUGGAUCUUAGUUGAUCUUUCACCAGGUUCCAAACUAAUAGGUUGUAAAUGGAUCUUCAAAAAGAAAAUGAAGGUUGAUGGAACCAUUGAUAAAUUUAAAGCAAGGUUGGUAGCCAAAGGUUUUAUACAAAAUCAAUGUAUUGAUUACUUUGAUACCUAUGCUCCAGUAGCAAGAAUUGCUACAAUUAGACUCUUAAUAUCACUUACCUCUAUAUAUAAUUUAGUUUUUCACCAAAUGGAUGUUAAAAUUGUAUUUUUAAAUGGUGAAUUAGAAGAGGAAGUGUACAUGGAGUAACAGGAAGGAUUUAUUGUUCCAGGACAAGAGCAUAAGGUAUGUAAGCUUGUUAAAUCUUUAUAUGGGCUUAAACAAGCACCAAAACAAUGGCACCAAAAGUUUGACAAGGUUGUUUUAGCUAAUGGCUAUAAAAUAAAUGAAUCUGAUAAGUGCAUAUAUAGCAAAUUUGAAAAUGGAAAAGGUGUCAUAAUUUGCUUAUAUGUAGAUGACAUGCUCAUUUUUUGCACGGAUUUGGAACAAAUAGAAAACACAAAGAAAUUCUUGUCAAACAACUUUGCUAUGAAGGAUAUGAGUGUAGCAGAUGUUAUUCUUGGGAUUAAAAUAACCCGAGAUGAAAGCACUAUAGCUUUAUCACAAUCACAUUACAUUGAAAAUGUGCUUAAAAAGUUUGAUCUUUUCAACUGUAUACCAGCAUCUACACCCAUGGAUCCUCAAAUAAAAUUAGUAUCUAAUGCUAGUAGGAAAAUUGAUCAAUUGAAAUAUGCAAGUCUAAUUGGUUGUCUUAUGUACAUAAUGACUUGUACAAGACCAGAUAUUUCAUAUGUUGUUGGAAAAUUGAGUAGGUACACAAGUAAUCCAAGUAGUUUGCAUUAGCAAGCUUUGAAUAGAGUACUUAAGUACUUAAAGAAAACUAUUAACUAUGGAUUGUGUUAUAACAGAUAUCCUCCAGUUUUAGAAGGUUAUUCGGAUGCUAGUUAGAUUACAAGUUUGGAAGAUCAUGCAUCUACUAGUGGAUGGAUCUUCAUUCUUGGUAGAUAAGCCAUUUCUUGGGGUUCCAAGAAACAAACAUGUAUUACUGAUUCCACCAUGGCAGCAGAAUUUAUUGCAUUAGCUGCUGCAUCUAAAGAAGCAGAAUGGUUAAGAAAUUUUCUUUAUAAUGUACCUUUAUGGCCUAAGCAAAUUUCACCUAUUUCUAUACGUUGUGAUAGUGAGGCUACUCUAGCAAAGGCAUAUAGCCAAGUAUAUAAUGGAAAGUCUAGACACAUUGGAUUAAGACAUAGUUAUGUCCGAUAAUUAAUCUCUGAUGGAGUGAUCACUAUUAAUUAUGUGAGGUCAAGUGAAAAUUUGGCAGAUCCUUUGACAAAAAGUCUUGCUAGAGAUAUAAUAAAAAGGACCUCAAAAGGGAUGGAACUCAAGCCCAUUAAUUAGAGUCACCCAUGAUGGAAACUCAAAUCAAUGCUUGGUAUAACGUCAAGUCUUGAGUUCAAUGAGACAAAGUACAUCAUUAGUAUGUGACUGUUAGCACUAUAAAUAAAUCCAUCCUAAGAUUAAAGUGCUAGGUAUCCAUAAUGAUAAGGAAAGGAUGAAUAAUGUACUCUUAAUGGACCCAUAACAGAAAUAUGUUAGAGUGUUAUAAUUACGGGAACACUCUUGAUGGGAUCUACCUAUGUGAGUGGAAGUGCGGCCGCUUCUAGGAGCUUAAGGGUUUGACUCUGACAGCACUCAUGAAAAGAGGACACAGACAUAUGGCCAUAAUAGUGUCUCUAGAUACUAUGCAUUGGCCGAUGUUGAAAUCAUUGUACGAGAUGUGUUCAGUUAAUCAAAUGGAAUAGUUGGUUCAAAGCUUUGUCUACCGUGCAUUUUUUAUUAACUUUAACAUAUAUUCACUAAGUGAAGGUUCAAUUGUAAGAUACAUUCAUUUAUGCAAAUUGAUUUCCAAGAAUAUCAAAAUCUAAAAUAUUUUGAAAAUGGGGGGGGAGAUUGUUGGAGCAUUUUCAAAUAUUUAUAGUGUUCCAAUAACUAUAAAUGAAUGGGUAUAAUUAAUCAAAAGAUUAUAUUAUUUGAUUUUUUGAAAAAGAGUUAUAACUAUUUAAAUAAUAUUAUUUGAAUAGUUAUAAAUGAAUAAUUAUGUGUUUAUUUUUAAGACAUUAUUAUUCAGAAAGACACCUAUUGAUGAAAGAUGUCUCUAUGAAGAGACAUGAAAAUUCCUAUAAAUAGGAAUGAGAUUUCAUUUGGAAAACAUACCAAAAAAUUUCAAAUAUUCUUUCUUUCCUUCCUUCAUUUUCUAAUAUUAUUAGAUUAUUCUAUAAAGUAUUACUGCAGAAAUUCUUUGUAGAAAUUGAGUUUUUGAUAUACAUUGAUUAGUGCGUAGUGGACUAUUCUCGUCAGUGCAAAACGCAAAUAGUCAUUGGCUUCAUUGUAUCCUCGAGGUUAAUUUGCUUGGAACUCAUUUGCACAUCAAAGAUAGGUGGGGGCGAAUAUAACCUUAAAGAUAGUGGCUUAAUACACACCUUGGAGCAUUGUCCUUUUUCUUCUUUUUUUGUUCGAGUUCUGUUCGUGUGUUUGAGAUUUUUCUCACCGGAGUUUUGUACUAACAAUAUUUACAUUUGAAUUCAAAUACAUAUUCUACAAUUAACUUUAAUCUCACUGUUACAAUACUUAACCUCACUAAAUUACUUGUUUAACAUGAUUAUCGUGAAUUUAUAGAAAGAACAAUCACGAAGCAAAUGCAGAUGCACUUAUGUUUAAAGUGUUUUUAAUUGAAAUUUUAUUAUUUUGAAAAAUAAAAGUAUAAUAACUUUUUUGGCAUUCCAACUUUAUAAAAGAAUUAUUUUAGCUCUUUAUUUAUUUUCCUUCUUUUUUAGUCUUUGAACUUACAUUUUUUUUGUCAAACCAUCCAAAAUGGGUAAAAAAGUUAACGUUUGUUAACUUUGUUGACAUGACAUAUAGGUGGAUUACCACGAGUAUGUCACAUUAGCAAUUAAUUAUUUUUAAAAAUAUCAAAAAAAAUAUUUUCUUAUUAUUUUUUAAUUUUUUUAAUGUUUAAAAUAUUUUUUAAAUGUUUUAAAAUUUUAAAAAAUAAUUAAUUGCUUAUGUGGCAUAUACAUGGAAAUCCGCGUGUAUGUCACAUCAGUAAAAUCAACAGACGUUAAAUUUUCACUCAUUUUGGAGUGAUUUAACAAAAAUUACAAGUUUAAGAACUAAAAGAAACGAAAAAUUAAAUGAUAAGUUGAAAUAACUUUUUCCGUAAAGUUAGAGACCAAAAGAAUCAUUAUGGCAAAAAAUAGUUGUUUUUCUUCUCUUUUCUUCUUUUCUUUUUGGUAUCUUUUAGUGCUAAAAUUCAAGAUGGUGUGGAAUAGUUUCUAAUCUUAUUAUUGUUAUAUAUGUUUUCGAUCUCAUUAGAGCUAUAAUCUUAUUGUCUAUAUAAAGAGAGCCUAAAUAUAAUUUGUUUAGCUUCUAUUAAACAUGUUAGUGCUCCUUUGUAUGAUCAUUUUCCUCCCGUGAGUAGGGUUGAGUAAAUAAAAUAAAAUAAUUGAAAAUCGAUCCAAAUCAAGGUGUUUAGACGGUUUAUGGAAUACAAAUUAAAAAAUCACAAUUAUCCGAAACCGAACAAAAUUCUAUUCUUUAUUUAACUUAUAAAUAAUUUUUUUAUAACAUAAAAAAUCUUUUAUAUUGAAAAAUAGUGAAAAUAAAUAUAUAUAUAUAUAUAUAUUUUAAAAAUAUUAUAUAAAAGUAUUUGAUUAUUUUUAUUUACUUAAAAAAAUUUUAAAAAUAUCUAUGAAAAUAACUUUGAAAAUUUGUCAAAUGAUAAUUAAAAGCCGUAAAAUAAAGUUAAUUUUAUUAAAAUAAUUAUAAAAUUUUAUAAUAAAAAAUCGAACUAAACUAAAUUAUAAUGGAUGGAUAAAAAAAUGCAAUCGAAUUAAACUAAUAUCACUUAAUUUUAUUGCACCAAACUGGACAUAAAAGAUUUUCUUAAAAAAUUUAACCUGCAAUGAGACUGUUUUUCUCACUAAAACCUUCUAGAGCGUGCAAUGUCCUCGCCAAGUAAGUAAAUUCAAUAGAGGUUGGAGGCUAAAGGUUGAUACAUAAAAGAAGGGGAGGGGCAUAGUUCUGCUUCAAACAAAACCCCAAAUUUAGCAUCUUGAGUUGUUAAAAUAAGUAAAUUCACCAUACUUUUCCGUUAGAUUUUGGCUCUCUUCUUCAGCAGAAUGUAGCGUACAGUACAAGAAGCAGGGACCAUCCUUUCUACCAUGAUUUGUUUAUCCGCCCACAUAUUCCAACAAAACGAAUAUGGUAAUAAAUGUCAUCAAUUUCCUUCUAAUUUCCAAUGGAUCUGAUAUAAAUGGUGUAACUAUAUUCAAGAGUACUUGUAUAAUAUAUAUGCCCAACUGAGUACUAGAUGGAAUCUAUGCUGUUGACGGACUCUUGGAGGCAUGUUCGAGAGAGCUUAAACACAUUUAUAUUUUUCAGUGUUCCAUACAAUAUUCUAAUGAGUGUCAAAUUCAUUAAAAAUGAUGUAAAAAAUAAUAUAAGGAGUAGGGUCAAUCCACAGAAAUUGAGAUAUCAACAUUUGUUGUUUGCUUCAACCAAGUUGCACGUCUAGAUUCCUAUCCUGCCCACGAGGUGUGACUGUCUGUGCAAAAAUAAAAAGAAAAAUUCUAAUGUAAUAAAAGUAAAAAUAAUAAAGAUAAAAAUAAGCAAAAAGGAAAUUAAAUUAAAUAAACUAAUAUGAUGGAAUUCAAGCUUUAAGCUCGAUUUUGUUCCAAUUUCAAACCAAUGCACGAUAACAAGUCUUCUCCUUCAACCGAUAAGCCAGUUAUAGUGAUCGAGGAUGCCUCAGACCACUAACCCUUCCAUAUGUAAAUUAAUUACGAGAACGCCCAACAAUUAAUCCUUAUCGAACGAACAACCACAAAACACGCAUCCACGAUUUAGCUCUCUGGUAGCCUUGUGAGCUAAAAGGGUCCAUCUCGAACCAACAACGUCAAUUACGUGAGUCGUUUAGAUCCGAUUGCUAACUUCUUAGUUGGACACGCUAAUGUGUUCUUCGGAAGAUCAAAUACGACAAAUGCUCAAUCCGGUACUUCCAAUUGUACGUCUAUCAACACCGAAUCAAUGAGCUAUUUUUAACAUUGUGUCAACACAACUUUGUGAGAUGCCAAUAUCUAUCUCCUAAAUCAGAGAAACAACAAAUACCGAAAUAAAAGUUUUUAAGUAUAAAUUUAGAUCUCACAGCUGUCUACUGGAUUAUUUAUUUAGCUACUAAUGAAAAUAUAUGAAAUAAAAGUAUAAAUAAAAUUUAAAAAAUAUGGAAAUAGGAUUGCGCAUGGAAGAGAGAAGUGAUAAACAAGUAUGAAUAAAAGAGGGCAAAUUUUCCAAUAAUAAAGAAAAAAAAAUCAUCACCCUUUAAAAAAGAGUGGGCCAAUCUCACUUUUACCCUUUAAAAAAUAUAUACAAUAAUGUUGCAAUUGAUAAUUCUGCCCAACUUGUCGUUCUUUAUUCAUAUAUAGCAUCAUGUCAUGUGGUGCUAUUCAAGAAAAAUACAUUGAAAGCUGCAGAAAAUUUAUAAAGAAAGGCCGUCCGUUAACAAAGUUUUUAAUAAAAAAUUAGUAACUUUUUAUUUAAUUAUUACUUAGUGGGUGGAUGGUGACAUCUUUAAAAUACAAUAUUGACUCUACGGGUGAUGUAUGUAUGUAUUAACGCUUGUAUUUUCAUCUUGUUCGAAUCAUUUCACUCUUCCUCCUGCAAUAAUCAAACACUUUUUGCGUGCCAUCAAUGGCUGAAGCAUUGCUUUCGAUAUUGCUGGAGAGCUCAUUACUAAGUUGAUCUCGCGAGCUCCCUCUCAGGUUGGAGUAUGGUGGAAUUUCAAAGAUAACCUCGAUGACUUCAAACAUUGUUGCUGUCAUAUCUGAAUGGGCUGAUCUAUGAAAAUUAAAUUAACUCUGAUACUACUUAAUUGUUAGGAUCAAUCCAAUUAAGCAAUAAGUAAAUAAAAUAGCGGAAUAAAUUGAGAAAUUGAACACAUAAAUUUAACGUGGAAAAAUCCCUUUAAAGAGGAUUAAAAACCACGAACAAAUAUAAUUUUACUAUAAUGGUAAAAGAACGAAGAGCAUAAAAGAUGGAGAUAAAAACUAAACCCCGAAAACACGAAAACAAAGAACCCUAAAAACGUAAACACAAAAUUCUCUAAAUGUGUUAUGAGUCUUAUUAUUAAUUAUUGGUAUCGUUGAUGUAGCUGAGCGUGUUAAUAUUUGUUGUUAGUGGUAGUAACAUUUUAAUUAUUUUAUUCUACAUUUAUUUGUUUAUUGUAAGUGGGUUGAUGAUUUUUAUUUGUUUAUUUUUGGAAAUUUUGUUUCAUUCUUUUGUUCCAUGUCAUGUUGGAAAAAGAGUUUGAAUAAACAUGUUUGGAGUAUUAGGGUUGUAUAAUCUAAAUUUUAAGAGAUUGUUGGUAAGUCAAGUAAAAAAAAUAUUUUUUAGAAAAUUUAAUAUUUAUUAAUAUAAUAUAUAUGUUUAGCAUUUAUUAGCAUAAUAUAUUUGAGAUUGAUUAGAAUUAAAUUUUUUUUAACCUAUAAAUAGAUGUAGUUGAAACUCCUAUCGUAUGAUUUGAAUUCAAACAAUUAAUGCAAUAACCAUAUAAAAUGGCGUUGGUUUGGCUACCCCUUUGAUGUUUUGGCUUCGUUUUGGUGUUUGUUUUGGGGGUUGUGUCUCUUUGGGUUAGUUUUCAAUAUAUGCGUGCUGAUGAUGCAAUGAAUAAAGAAAUCAAAAGUUAUGCAGAAAUUUCAAUUCUGGAUGGCGCUGCAAUUAUAUUAUUAAGAGUAGUAGCAUUUUAUUUAUUAUUAACAUAUAUUUGUUUAUUGGAUACGUGUGUUGAUGAUGCAGUGAAUAAAGAAAUCAAAAGUUGUGCAGAAAUUUCAAUUUUGGAUGGCGCUGUAAUUAUAUUACUCAGAGUAGUAGCAUUUUAUGUUUCUUUUAGAUGUACAUAUAUUUAUUAGGAAAGGGUUGAAGUUUUUUAUUUGUUUAUUAUUAGGGUUAAAUAUCAAAUUUAUACCUUAGUUUUGGUUCAAUUGUAUAAUUUGAUACAUGAAUUUUGAUUUGGUGCAAUUAUCUACAUGAAACUUGAAUUCUGGUUCAUAUAUAUAUAAAACUUUGAUCUUGAUAUAAUUGUACGCAUUAAAGAAAUGAAUACCUAUAUUUAUUUUCACAUUGGAUUAAUAUAAUAGUAGCGACCUAAAAUUUUUGCGAGUUAGUUAAGGUCGUUACGAAAGGAAAUCUUGGGUUGACGAUUAUUGAAAAUUCGGAAAAGGUCUCAAUUUUACUUAAAAAGAGACGAGUCGCCACCGGUCCUUUUUCUAAGUGAGAUCAGACACCUACUAAAUUCUCUUUUUAAAAGAAAAUUUAUUUUUAAAAUUCUCUUUAAAAAAAGUCGAUUUUAGGUCUGCGUCAAAAUCCAAAGAAAAUUAGAGUUCGGGAGUCUGUUAUGCACAAAGAAGGUAUUAACACCCUCGUGGCGCCCAAAAUCGAUAUCCCAUUAAACGCGUGUUGUCUUAAAUUUUAAAAAUACGAAUUCAAUUUAAUAUUUAAUCAUGAUUCGAUUGAAAAAUGAGAAUUUUGAUAAAUCACAUAUUAUUGUAUUGUAUAUAUUUUAGAAUGAAAUACUGAUAAUUUACGAAUAAAAAUAAAGAUUUUAUUUUUAAUGAGAGAAUUUUUAAAUUUUUUAAUUUUUAGAAGGGCGUUCCGUAUUUAACAAAAAUCAAUGAUAUCCACCCAACAUAGCAGUGAAAUCAAUGACUUAAUGCUAAAUCGGUUCGUUGACUUAGGUAUUGAAAUUAUUUAAAUUAAAAAUUGUAAAUGAAAUAUUUCUAAAAGGCUGUUUAAAAAUGCUAAUUUAAUUAAAAUGAAACAAUAUUUAAAUACAUGGACUAAAUAAAUAAAUACAUGCACUUAUGUUGUGAGAUAUCUAGUGAGUUCAAAAAUUCUCUUCUGAAAAUGGUGGCUAUCAUGUAAUUAGUAGUAUAUUAUUUCAAUUUUGGUGAGAAUUGUAUUCUCACUUAAACGCUUAAUGCCAUUUGCUUAAUUUUUUGUGUGUGUGAUCGUUUGAUCUGUUCAUAAACAGAACUUUUCAUGGUGGCUAAGUUUCUUAGGGGAUAAAUUAUUAGUAGCAUUAUUUGUUUCUGCAGUGAAAUUGUGAUGCCUGUAUUUUAAACUGUGAGGUAUUUCCGUAUUUGAUGAUGUAGUGGAGUUUUGGUAGAUUAAAGUGCUCGUUUGCUGUACUAAGUUGAAAUUGAAUGAAUGCUGGCCUCAUCCAACGCCCAAAACUUGAUGACUUCAACAUUUUUAUGCCUUAAUUCGAGAAGACUAAGUUAGAGUACUAUAAAACUUUCUCAGAAUGCUGAUGAGGCAAAGAUCUAGUGAUCUAAUAUAAUUGCAAUUCAUAGUAUGGUAGUUUAAAUGCUUUGGUAAGAGAGGAAGAUUAUGUCAUGCUACUCCAUUCUCGGUUUAAAUUGGUGCUCUAUAUGAAGAAAGGUUGAUUGUUGUUAGUUCUUUUGAUGUUUUAUCUUUGAUGGAUGUUUGAGAAAUGAUUCAGUUGAUUUUCAUAAUGUCUAUCACUACAGUUUCCAUCUUAUGCGUAAUAUGACUGCUAGUUUAUCGGUCUUCGUAUAUUAUAUUCCUUUUUCUUACUGUUUUCAACACGAAAACAAGUGAGUUACUAGUUAUUUUACUUGAUUUUGUCAUGGCAUUUCAAAGAUGACCUCGAGGACGUCAAAAGCACCAUCUCCACAAUCAAAGCUGCGCUUCUUGAUGCCGAAGAACAAUCCAUGACCAGCACUCUUGUCAAAGAUUGGCUUGAAAAGUUGAAAGAUGCAUUUUAUGAUGCCGAUGAUUGGCUCGAUGAUUUUUCUACUGAAGCUUUGCAGAAAGAUCUACUGAGCAGGAACAAGCUAAUGAAAGAAGUAUGCCUUUUCUUUUCAAGCUCAAACCAAUUUGCUUAUGGUGCCAAAAUGGGUCAUCAAAUUAAGGCCAGGAUGUUCAACUUGGUAGAGUGUGACCGUCCCAUUAAAACCUCUUUCAUAACUAAGAAGAGGCAGCGAACACACUCUUUUAUGAGUAAAGAUGAAAUAAUAGGGAGGGAAGAUGAUAAAGCAGCUUUUCUAGAACACAUAUUAGAGUUCCAAAGUGAAGAGAAUGUUUAUGUGAUUCCGAUUGUGGAGUUUGGAGGGUUAGGGAUGACUACAUUGGCACAGUUUGUCAAUAAAGUGGUCAAUGAUCAUUUUGAGUUGAGGAUAUGUAAAGAUUCCAAACUGGUCAUCUCGGAAGCGAUCUUAAAUUGGACAAAUCAGAGAGAUAAAGAAAUUGCAACCUCAAGAUGAAUACACUAUGAACUUCAUAAAGAAAUUGCAACCACAAGAUGAAUACACUAUGAACUUCAUAGUACAAAGAAAUGAUUUAACCUCAACCCCUCAAACACUUAACGCAAUCUCACUUUUGUACAAUUAAGUAAAUUCUCUCCCAACUCAUUCUAGCUAUGCAAGUGAAAAUUCACAUUCAACACUCAAAUGGUUUUCCUACUAUGAAUCAAGCUCUUAAUAAGCUCCAUGUAAAGUGGAAUCAUAAAUUUUCAAAGGCAAUAUGUCUGGCAAUUGUCAUGCUUGAACAACGACUCUUCCAAAAGCAUCAAUGAACCUGAAAAUUAUAAAUCCCAACAUAGAAUAUGUUACAAAUCCCAUUAUUAUCAGCCUUAUAUUUGCACAUAUGUGUGUUUGGUAUAAUGCUGUUGAUAUAUAAAUAAUGAAACAUUUUAUCAACUUCAACCUCACCACCAAAUAUUCCGAAGCAUCUUCCUUUUCUUCCUGUUUGGACCUUCAGUAACAAAUUUGGCUGGAAUUCUAAACAGCUAAAAGAGUGCCCUGCAUCAAUGAAUAUUAUCAAUUUGAAUACCUCCAAAAGCUUGUCAAUAGCACAGGUACCAUCUAAGAUAGUAAUCAGUUGGCAUAUAUUAAGAGAAAACAUAAAUAUAUAUAAAGAUAUGAUAGGUAAGUGCUUAAAUGAAGAAAGCAGAGCAUAUAGUACAACCAUUUUGAAGGCUUCAUAGGCCUCUCUUUCCACAUCAAUGAUUUUUUAGAAUUAAAUUAUUAGAAGCAAUUGUCAAGUUAUUAUUAUGAUUUAAAAGUAAAAAGAAAAUAGAUAAAUUAGCACCUCUUUUUAUGCAUAUAAAAUGAUUGAAGUUCACUAAUGCCUUUCUCCAAUGCCUUACUGCACAAAUCACCAAAAAUAUUAUGAAAGAUGAUAAGUAAAAAGUAGGAUUAAAACAUAGGGAUUUUAACAAGGAAAUUAAUAGUAUACAACUUCAAUGAAAAAUGGCAUCGGACCCCUGACUUGGAGAUUCAAUAUACAACUCUUAUUUUUCUUCAAAAAAAGAUAAAUAAAUAAAUAACAAAGACAGACCAACCUGAUCCAACCGAAUGUUGGGGAUGUGAGCAAUCUUUUGCCAAUCAGCGCCGAUGUCCUUCCGACAUCUUUCCUCCAACUGAGGAAUUUCUCCUAUUUGUAAAUACUACAAACUGGUCAGGCAACGCAUCUCGUCCGGAAGAGAUGUUAAAUUGGGCAAAUUAAUGAGAUAAAGCCCUUGCAGAUUUGUUAGAUGUUGAAGCAACUCCGGAAGAUGCCGACACUUUGGAAUAUUUUGCAGCCAUAGAGAGCGUAGGCUUGUAUGAUCUAGGAAUAUUUGGAUGCCAGCUCCAGAUAACUCCAGCUCCUUGCAGUCCUUUACUUCAAACCGUUCAAGGAAAGUGAGGUGUUGGAACACAGGAAGCAGUGACCUCAAUCCAUUGCAAUUAUGAAUUUUUAAUGUUUUCAAUUGAACAAGAUGUUGAAGCCAAAUGGGGAGAGACACCAGCUUUGGAAUAUUAUCAAUCUCCAAAUGAGAGAGAUUCUUAAGGGGUUCCCAUUGCAUGGCCUCUAAAUCAACCUCCUUGCAAUCCUCUAUUGUUAAUGUUUUGAGGCUGAUGAGAUGUUGCAGGCACUCAUCUAGCGUGUGAGUGUCCAACCCCUCAAUGUUGUGUACAUAGAAAGAUUUCAAUUUGGAGAGAGGCAGAGAAGAGGUUGAAGUUGAUGGGGACAUACUAGUGAUUUUCAUCUUCAAUGUCUGCUUUAACGGCCUUGAACUGGAAUUCCUCAACUCUAGCUUACCAUCGAGUGAUGGAUACAGUGGCAUUAAAGUCAAAGGGCAAUUUUGAAUUGUUAAAGAGGAAAGACAAGGAAAUGCCAUGGUUGAUGUUCCCAUAACUGUUGUGUCAUCCUCGUUGGAAUCAUCAUCGAUUGGUUUUGUCGUCCUCCACCAACUCUUCAUAUUCGGACAGUCCCCGAGCGAAAGAUGCUUAAGUGAUGGGAAGAAUGAUUGUGGUUCUCCUUGACUUCCUUUUGGGCUAUUAUCAUCCAUGUACUCCAGCUUCGUACAAUCAUGUAUCUCCAGCCCUUUAAGACAAGGAAAUUGCGCAAAGGACUGGAUUUGUUUGAAAUUAACCCCAUCUAUUGUCAUAUAAACGAGAUUUGUGAGCAAAGGAAGCCAACUUGGAAACUUGGCAUCACCCCUCCAUCCUCGAAUGCAGAGCUCCUUGAGAUUAGGAUGGGGUUGGAGGUCUUCAAGUGAUUUAUCAUCACCACCACCACCACCAUCAUCAUACCAUUCUAAAGCCAACGAGCUCAAAUGUUGCUUCUCUUUCAAAUUAGCAGCCUUAAACUUCUCUUUUGCAUUUUUUACGAAUCCCAAAUUUGUUAUUUGUAGAUGUCCCCUUAAGUUGUUAAGCAAUCUCAAUUCACUUAGAUCUGCACCGCCAUGGGACCCAUCUUUAUCCACUACAGACAUGCUUAACGUCUCAAGUGAAGCCAGCUUCCCUAUUCCACGUGGCAUAUGAGUUAAACUAUGACAAGAAUAACACGCAAGAUGGGUAAGAUUCACCAAUUUUUCAAUCUUCUUUGGCAAUUCUUUAAGCCAAGUACACCAGUCAAGUUUCAGCGCUAGCAAAUUCUGAAUCUUGCAAAUACUCUUUGGGAGAAUCUUAAGAUCGCGAUUAUAAGAAAGAUCAAGGUACCUCAAAUGUUUUAACUUACAAAUGGAGGGUGAAAUCUUUUGAAUACAUAUAGAAUUCAAUUUCAAUACACACAAGCAUCUACAAUUUGCAAUUAUCAAAUCCCAAGUUUCAUAGCUGAAAUCUUCACUUAUUCUGUCUUGAAAAUGUAACAAGGUUCGCAACUUCUUUCCCUUAAACAAAGGAAAUAAUGAAGGUUUAAUUGAUAUGUGGCGACAUUUUUCACCAACAUCACUUGCAAUUUUAUUUGAAUCUACAAUACUACUCUCCAUCCCUGCUACUGAUUCAGCUAGAUCAUGCAUUUUACAUGUUAGCCCUUCCCAUAAAUAUCUUUCUCCUUGUACAUCUUGAAAGAAACUUCUUUCAACUAAAUCUUUAAAAUACCCAAACCCGAUCUCCUCCAGAGAUUGACUUUGAUUCAUUGCUUUAUGAAACCCUAUGCAAUCCAAAAUUGAACAAGCGCUUGUACUUUAAUUUUGUUAUCUUUUGGAUACAAUCGGCAAUAAGCAAAGCAAUGCUUCAAAUGAGACGGGAGAUGAUCAUAACUCAAUUUCAGUAUAGGUAGAAGUUCUCCUUCAAUUUGUGAUAUUUUAGCUAGUUCAUUUUCUUUGAAAGAAUGCCACUCAUUUGCAGUUUUCUUCAAAGAUAAUGUACCAGCUAUCGUCCUUAUGGCUAAGGGAACCCCACCACACCUUUCCGAAAUCUGUCUCCCUACUUCCACAAAGGCUGAAUUUGUUGAGUCUGCAUAUCCUUGCUCAAAUGCUAUCUUUUUGAACAAAGACCAAGCAUCAUCAUCAGACAAGCCUUUCAAUUUCAAAACACGGGAUUGACACUUAUUAGUUAUCUCCGCUACCCUUAGAGAUCGAGUAGUUACUAUUAUCCUACUCCCUUUAGCCCCACCCAUCAAUAACUUCUUUAGCCUAGACCACUUUUCUGGGUCCUCAUUCCAAAUGUCAUCCAAAACAAUCAAAUAUUUUUUCCCAUCAAUUUUAUCUCGAAGUUGUUUUUGCAAUUGAUCCAUUUCAAGAUUUUGAUCUGGUGCUUGAUGAGUGACAGAUUUGAUAAUGUUUGCUACAAUAACUUUCACAUCAAAAUCAUCUGAAACGCACGCAAACAUCGUUAAGUCAAAAUGAUUUUUGACCAUUUCAUGAUUAUAGACAAGUUGGGCCAAAGCAGUCUUCCCUAACCCUCCAAACCCCACAAUUGGAAUGAUAUAAACAUUCUCUUCACUUUGAAACUCCAACACGAGUUUUAGAAGAGCUGCUUUAUCAUCAUCCCUCCCUAUUAUGUCAUCUUCAAGCUCAAAAGAGUGCGUUUGCUGCCUCCUUUUAGUCAUGAAAGAGGUUUCCGCGGGGCGAUCACGCGGAAUGAAGCGAAAAGUGUUGGCCUCACUUUCAAUUGAAGCUAAUCUCGCCUUAAUGGCCUUCAUUUUCCGACCCAUUUUGAGACCAUAAGCAAAUUGGUUUGAGGUUGAGAAGAAAAGGCGUACCUCUUUCGUCAGCUUGUUCCCAUCCGAUGCAUCUUUCCGCAAAGCUUCAGUAGAGAAAUCAUCGAGCAAGUCGUCGGCAUCAUAAAGUACAUCUUUCAGCUCUUCAAGCCAAACUUUGACGAGAUUGUCGGUCACCGAUUUCUCUUCUGCGUCAAGAAGCACAGCUUUUAUUGUACGGACAGUGAGUUUGAGGUCGUCGAGGUCAUGUUUGAGAUUCCUCCACAGUCCAACUUGAGAGAGAGCACGAGAGCUCAACUUAGUAAUAAGCUCUAGGGCGAGGUCGAAUGCAAUUGCUUCGGCCAUUGCUGGUUCAAACAGAAAUCAUGCAAGAGGAGGAGUAAAAUAAGAAUGAUGAAACGUAUGCGAGCCAUUAGCAAUUGAUUAUUUAAAAAAAAAAUUAAAAUAGUUUUUUAUAAUUUUUAAAAUAGUUUUUAAUAGGUGUAUAUUUUUUAAAAUUUUUAUAUUUAAAACAUUAAUUAAUUGCUAAUGUAGCAUUCAUGUCAAUAAAGCUAAUAAAUAUUAAUUUUUUUUGAAUUAAUAAUACAUUUAUUAAAACUUUAUUGCUUUUAUUGGAAUGAUUAUAUAUUAAAGUUUGACAAUGAAUGUACAAAGCUAUUUUAUUCAUAACCAAGUCAAAAUAUUGUCACCCCACACAAUUGUAUACUUUUUCAAAAUCUACUUUAAAAGACAGCACCUCUCCUUCUUUAUGUCUUUGAAUAUAGUCCACAACUUCGUUUUUACUGGAGCACGAUCCAGGAUUUACCAAUCUGAAAUAAAAGUAAAAUUAAAUUUUAUCGAUAGUUUUGAGCCGAGCUUCGAAUCUAUAUAGUCAAAAUUUUUCAAUGGGGUUAGUGGACUUUACUUCAGUUUAAUUGAAAAUAGCUCACAAGGUUCAAAUUGAACAUAUAUAGACAUCUCUUCUCCCCUUGCUUGAGUUGUUGAACUAAACUAACUUUCUUCAUAUAAUAUUAAUUUUACCCAAAAGUUUCCUUUUCAACGAAAAAAAAAUUCCUAAAAUACAAAAGUUAAUGAAAGAUAAAGAAGACAUUGGAUCUAGGUUAAGUUGUUUUGUAAAAAGCUGAAAGUGCAGGGCAUCCAUAUUUGUAUCCUCAACAUUUGGUAACUGAUGGGAGCUAUGCUAAACAUUCAACCAAUCAUUAGGUACUGAAACGUUUUCAUUAAAUGAUAGUCUUACAUAAUGUACACAAGACUGCCUGAUAAUUAGUUGUGUUUCCAUGUGUUGGAUUAUUAUUUGAAACGCCGAAAGAGAAAAUUGUUUUUUUUUUUUUUAAAGAUGACACACAAAAGUAAAAAUAAAGGAGAAUAAAGAACACAACCAAGAUGUUUAUGCCCAACCCACCAAACUUGGUGCAACCUCACCUUUGUACAAUUAAGUAAACACUCUUCCAACUUAAGUGAAAAUCAACACUCAUAAGGUGGCACUCAAAUAAUAGUUACUCACCAAGUGUUCCUUUAAGUCCACAAAUCAUCUAUAUAUAUAAGCUCCAAGAUCAGCUGAUGAAGAAUGCUUACAGAUCGACUCUUCAACAAAGAAAAAAAGAAAAAGAAAGAACAAAUGUGCAUAGAGAGGAGGAUUUCAUGGGAGCACAAUGCAUGGACAGAUCAGCUGAUGAAGAAUGCAUGUCCUGCUUUUUGGCUCUUCCAUUGAACUCAUGCUGAAAAAGAAGCAGCUUAGUUACGAGGUUACAUUAGAUCAUUUGAAAUUAUGAGAUUAUUAUAAUUUUAAAAAUGUAAAGCAAUUAAGUAAUUACCACCUAUUUGUCUGCAUCUAAAUUCUUAAAGUUGUCAAAUGCCUUUAAGAAAAAUACAUGCCAAUCGAAUAUGUGGGCAGAUAAACAAAUGAGGGUAGAAAGUACGAUCUCUGCUUUUUGUAUUGCAAGCUAUGCUCUGCCAAAGAAUAGAGCCACAAGCUAACAAAAAUGAAGGGUAAAAAGAUCAAAAAUUUCAAGAUAAAAUAUAAAAUUGUAUGUACAUAUGAUUAAGAUUUAAAUUAGGAAAAUGAACAAAGCAGAGCAUGAAGUAGAAGCAUAUUGAAGGCUGGCAUGCAAGCAUUUUGGAAAAUGUCCAUUGGGUACCAAUAAAGAUUUUUUAGAAUUAAAGUAUUAGAAGCUAUGAAAUGAUAGAUAUGAACCACCAAAAUGCUUCACACUAAAUCUAAAUUAUUCAAUUUUGUUUUAUUGAAUCAAAUAGAAAAUAAAUGAGUGGCAUGAAUUACCUGUCAUUCCUUGUUGGUAUUUGGUGUAAGCUGCAAUUUCAAAUGUGUAUUUCAUCAGAUCAUUGCGAUGGUGAGAUUAAUAUAAUUUAAAAGCGUAAAGCAUUUAGCUAGAUUACCACUUUUUUUUUCUGCAUUUGAAUUCUUGAAAUUGCCAAAUUCGUUUCACUAGAAGUCUUCGAUGCUUACUGCACAAAAUAGCCAAAUAAAAUGAUAAAUGAAGAAAUUGCACCCAAAGCUUGUUCUAUUUUGACAAAAGAGGCGGUAGUUGGAGAGUCAAUGUACCAACCUGUAGCGAUAUGAGCAAUCUUAUGCCAAUCGGCACCAAUCCCCUUCCGACAUCUUUCCUCCAACUGAGGAAUUCGUUUCAUAAAGAACUCUUCCAAACUGGUUCUCGUCCGGAAGCGAUGUUAAAUUAGGCAAAUCAGAGAGAAUAAGCCUUGGAAGAUGGCGACACUUUGGAAUCUUUGCCAGCGCUAGAGAGCGCAGGCUUGUAUGAUCUUGGAAUAUUUGGAAGUUAGGUGCAGAUAACUCCAGCUCCUUGCAGUUACUUAUUGAAAACUCUUCAAGGAAAGAGAGAUGUUGGAACACAGGAAAGAGUGUCCUCAAUCCAUGGCAUUCAUGAAUUCCCAAUGUUUUCAAUCGAAAAAGAUGUUGAAGCCCAAGGGGGAGAGACACCAGCUUUGGAAUAUUACCAAUCACCAACCAAGAGGUUCCCGUUGCAUGCCCUCUAAAUCAACCUCCUUGCAAUCUCCUAUUGUCAGUUUUUUGAGGCCGGUGAAAACAGAUUAAUGGAAUCCAUGUAGUUUUCAAAGGUGAAUAAAGUAAAAUAAAGUAAAAUAAAAACUAAAAAUAGACUUGGACACUUUAUGUUAAAUUUAUAAUAAGUUUAAGGGCUAAAAUAAUCAAACUAUUGUCUAACACAUGCUAUGAAAAAGAAAUCACGGUUAAAAGAAUAUUGUAUGCUUCAAUGAAAGUCACAAUUUAUCUUUGAUCAUGCUUGUUCGCAACUAAGCCACUAUAAUGUAACUACAUGUUCCUACAAACCUCGCUCUAGUCGACUUUGCCCUAUGAUCCAUUAGUCAAGGGUAUUUAUCCCAUCUCCAAAGUCAUGGGAUUGAUUUGUCGGUUUUGCCUUUUUUAUACUUUAGGUAAAUGUGUACGAAGUGUGUGAGUUCCAAGCUGUGUGUCAUUUGCUUUUCUUUUUUCUUUUUUUUUUUGUGUGUGUGAUCUUUUGAUCUGUUCACAAAUAGAGCUUUUCAUGGUGGCUAAGUUUCUUAGGGGAUAAAUUAUGAGUAGCAUUAUUUGUUUCUGCAGUGAAAUUGUGAUGUCUGUAUUUUAAUGUGUGAGGUAUUUCCAUUUGUUUCUUAGGGAUGCAGUGAAAUGCGUGGGAUGUGAGCAAUUUUAUGCCAACCAGCGCCAAUGUCCUUCCAACUGAGGAAUUUGUCUCAUAAUCAAUUGUGCAUCCUUGCAUUUGAAUACUGUUUGGAACAUUAAAAAUGUGUUUUUUCCUGAGUUGGUACAUAUUAUGCAACAAGGAAUAUAAAGAACAAAAUUAAUAUGUUUACGCAGUUUGGAACUCAUCUUACGUAUGCGGGGCUUUGCCCAAAGAUGAAUCCAAUAUGAACUUCAAUAAAGAAAUGAUUUAAGCUUAACCCCUCAAACACUUGAUGCAAAUUCUCUCCCAACUCAUUUUAGCUAUGCAAGUGAAAUUCACAUUCAACACUCAAAUGGUUUUUCUAUUAUGAAUCAAGCUCUUAAUAAGCUCCAUGUAAAGUGGAAUCAUAAAUUUUGAAAUGCAAUAUGUCUGGCAAUUGUCAUGCUUGAACAACGACUCUUCCAAAAGCAUCAAUGAACCUGAAAAUUAUAAAUGCCAACAUAGAAUACGUUACAAAUCCCAUUAUUAUCAGCCUUAUAUUUGCACUUAUGUGUGUUUAGUAUAAUGCUGUUGAUAUAUAAAUAAUGAAACAUUUUAUCAACUUCAACCUCACCUCCAAAUAUUCUGAAGCAUCCUCCUUUUUUUCCUGUUUGGACCUUCAAUAACAAAUUUGGCUGGAAUUCCAAACAGUUAAAAGAGUGCCCUGCGUCAAUGAAUAUUAUGAAUUUGAGUACCUCCAAAAGCCUGUCAAUAGCAUAGGUGCCAUCUAAGAUAGCAAUCAGUUGGCAUACAUGAAGAGAAAACAUAAAGAUAUAUAAAGAUAUGAUAGGUAAGUGCUUAAAUGAAGAAAGCAGAGCAUAUAGUACAACCAUUUUGAAGGCUUCAUAGGCCACUCUCUCCACAUCAAUGAUUUUUUAGAAUUAAAUUAUUAGAAGCAAAUAGAUAAAUUAGCACCUCUUUUUAUGUAUAUAAAAUGAUUGAAGUUCACUAAUGCCUUUCUCCAAUGCCUUACUGCACAAAUCAGCAAAAAAUAUUAUGAAAGAUGAUAAGUAAAAAGUAGGAUUAAAACAAGGGAUUUUAACAAGGAAAUUAACAGUAUCCAACUUCAAUGAAAAAUGGCAUCAGACCCCUGACUUGGAGAUUCAAUAUACCACUUAUUUUUCUUCAAAAACAGAUAAGGUCAUCAAAAUAAAUAAAUAACAAAGACGGACCAACCUGAUACAACACAAUGUUGGGGACGUGAGCAAUCUUUUGCCAAUCAGCGCCAAUGUCCUUCCGACAUCUUUCCUCCAACUGAGGAAUUUCUCGUAUGUGUAAAUACUCCAAACUGGUUAGGCAACGCAUCUCGUCCAGAAGAGAUGUUAAAUUGGGCAAAUUUACGAGAUAAAGCCGUUGCAGAUUUGUUAGAUGUUGAAGCCAAUCCGGAAGAUGCCGACACUUUGGAAUAUUUUGCAGCCGUAGAGAGUGUAAGCUUGUAUGAUCUUGGAAUAUUUGGAUGCCAGCUCCAGAUAACUCCAGCUCCUUGCAGUCCUCUACUUCAAACUCUUCAAGGAAAGUGAGAUGUUGGAACACAGGAAACAGUGACCUCAAUCCAUUGCAGUUAUGAAUUUUUAAUCUUUUCAAUUGAACAAGAUGUUGAAGCCCAAUGGGGAGAGACACCAGCUUUGGAAUAUUAUCAAUCUUCAAAUGAGAGAGAUUCUUAAGGGGUUCCCAUUGCAUGCCCUCUAAAUCAACCUCCUUGCAGUCCUUUACUUCAAACUCUUCAAGGAAAGUGAGAUGUUGGAACACAGGAAGCAGCGACCUCAAUCCAUUGCAGUUAUGAAUUUUUAAUGUUUUCAAUUGAAGAAGAUGUUGAAGCCCAAUGGGGAGAGACACCAGCGUUGGAAUAUUAUCAAUCUCCAAAUGAGAGAGAUUCUUAAGGGGUUCCCAUUGCAUGCCCUCUAAAUCAACCUCCUUGCAGUCCUUUACUUCAAACUCUUCAAGGAAAGUGAGAUGUUGGAACACAGGAAGCAGCGACCUCAAUCCAUUGCAGUUAUGAAUUUUUAAUGUUUUCAAUUGAAGAAGAUGUUGAAGCCCAAUGGGGAGAGACACCAGCUUUGGAAUAUUAUCAAUCUCCAAAUGAGAGAGAUUCUUAAGGGGUUCCCAUUGCAUGCCCUCUAAAUCAACCUCCUUGCAAUCUCUUAUUGUUAAACUUUUGAGGCUGGUGAGAUGUUGCAGGCACUCAUAUAGCGUGUGAGUGUCCAACCCCUCAAUGGUGUGUACAUGGAAAGAUUUCAAUUUGGAGAGUGGAAGAGAAGAGGUUGAAGUUGAUGGGGCCUUAGCGUUGAUGUUCAUCUUGAUAGUCUGCUUUAACGGCCUUGAACUGGUAUUCAACAAUAUUAGAUCUUCAUCGAGUGAUGGAUACAGUGGCAUUAAAGUCAAAGGGCAAUUUUGAAUCCAUAAAGAGGAAAGACAAGGAAAUGCCAUGGUUGAUGUUCCCAUAACUGUUGUGUCGUCCUGGUUGGAAUCAUCAUUGAUUGGUUUUGUCAUCCUCCACCAACUCUUCAUAUGCAGGCAUUGACUGAGCCGAAGAUGCUUAAGUGAUGGGAAGAAUGAUUGUGGUUCUCCUUGACUUCCUUUUAGGCUAUUAUCAUCUAUGUACUCCAGCUUAGUACAAAAGCUAAUAUCCAGCAGUUCAAGACGGGGCAAUUGAGCAAAGGACGGGAAAUAUUUGAAAUUACCACCACUUAUGAAAAUUUUGACGAGAUUUGUGAGAAAAGAAAUCCAACUUGGAAACUUGGCAUCACCCCUCCAUCCUCCAAUACAGAGCUGCUUGAGAUUAGGAUGGGGCUGGAGGUCUUCAAGUGACUUCUCAUCAUCAUGGUUACCACCGCCCCAUUCUAAACCCAACCAUCUCAAAUGUUGCUUCUCAUUCAAAUUAGCAGCCUUAAACUUCUCUUUUGCAUUUUUUACGAAUCCCAAAUUUGUUAUUGUUAGGCGUCCCCUUAAGUUGUUAAGCAGUCUCAAUUCACUUAGAUCUGCACCGCCAUGGGACCCAUCUUUAUCCACUACAAACAUGCUUAACGUCUCAAGUGAAGUCAGCUUCCCUAUUCCACGUGGCAUAUGAGUUAAUCUAUCACAAAAAUAACACGCAAGAUGGGUAAGAUUCACCAAUUUUUCAAUCUUCUUUGGCAAUUCUUUAAGCCUAUGACAGCUGUCAAGUUUCAGCGCUAGCAAAUUCUGAAUCUUGCAAAUACUCUCUGGGAGAAUCUUAAUAUUGUAAUUGGCAGAAAGAUCAAGGUACCUCAAAUGUUUCAACUUGUAAAUGGAGGGUGAAAUCAUCUGAAUACCUAACCACCGAAAAUCCAAUACACGCAAGCAUCUACAAUUUGUAAUUACAAAUUCCCAAGUUUCUUCGCUCAAAUGUGCAGAAAAUUUGUUUGGAUAUCGUAACAAGGUUCGCAACUUCUUUCCCUUAAACAAAGGAAUUAAUGAAGGAUUAAUUGAUAUGUGGCGACAUUUUUCACCACCAUCACUUGCAAUGUUAUUUGAAUCUACAAUACUACUCUCCAUCCCUGCUACUGAUUCAGCUAGAUCAUGCAUUAAAUCAUGCAUUUUACAUCUCAUAUCCCCAAUUCCAUAUUCUUCUACCUCUUGAAAGAAACUUCUUUCAACUAAAUCUUUAAAAUAUCCAAAUCCGAUCUCCUCAAGAGAUUGACUUGGAUUCAAUUGCUUUACAAAACCUUGUGCAAUCCAAAAUUGAACAAGUGUUCGUACAUCAAUUUCAUGAUCUUUUGGAUAUAGUCGACAAUAAGCAAAACAAUGCUUCAAAUGGGAUGAGAGAUGAUCAUAACUCAACUUAAGUGUAGGUAAUAUCUCACCUUCGUUCUGAGAUAUUCUAGCAAGUUCCUUAUCUUUAAAAGAAAGCCACUCACUUUUAGUUUCUUUGAAAGAUAACGUACCAGCUAUCGUCCUUAUGACUAAGGGAACCCCACAACACCUUUCCAGAAUCAGCUUUCCUAUUUCCACAAAGCCUGAAUCUGUUGAGUCUGCCGAUCUUUGUUCAAAUGCUAUCUCUUUGAACAAAGACCAAGCAUCAUUAUCAGACAAGCCUUUCAGAACAUAAGGCUGACAUUUACUAGUAAUCUUUGCUACUCCCAAAGAGCGAGUAGUUACUAUUAUCCUACUUCCUUUAGCCCCACCUACUAAUAACUCUUUUAAACUAACCCAAUUUUCCCACUUUUCAUUCCAAAUGUCAUCCAAAACAAGCAAAUACUUUUUCCCACCAAUUUUUUCCCGAAGUUGUUUUUGCAAUUGGUCCAUUUCGAGAUUUUGAUCUGGUGCUUGGCCUGUUGCAGAUUUGAUCAUGUUUUCUACAAUUAUUUUGACAUCAAAAACAUCUGAAACACACACCCACAUCAUCAACUCAAAAUGAUUUUUGACCAUUUCAUCAUUAUAGACAAACUGAGCCAAAGCAGUCUUCCCUAACCCUCCAAACCCCACAAUUGGAAUGAUGUAAACAGUCUCUUCACUUUCAAACUCUAACACGAGUUUUAGAAGAGCUGCUUUAUCAUCGUCCCUCCCUAUUAUUUUAUCUUUAGGCACAAAAGAGUGCGUUUGCUGCCUCUUUUUAGUCAUGAAAGAGGUUUCCAUGGGACGGUGACGCUCUACCAAGUUGAACACCUUGGCUUCACUUGCAAUUGAAAACAACCUGGCCUUAAUGGUCUUAAUUUUCCGACCCAUUUUGAGACCGUAAGCAAACUGGUUUGAGCUCGAGAAGAAAAGGCGUACCUCUUUCGUCAGCUUGUUCCCACCCAUUAGAUCUUUCCGCAAAGCUUCGGUAGAGAAAUCAUCUAGCAAGUCGUCAGCAUCAUAAAGUACAUCUUUCAGCUCUUCAAGCCAAACUUUGACGAGAUUGUCGGUCACCGAUUUCUCUUCUGCGUCAAGAAGCACAGCUUUGAUUGUACGAACAGUGCGUUUGAGGUCGUCGAGGUCAUGUUUGAGAUUCCACCACAUUCCAACUUGAGAGAGAGCACGAGAGCUCAACUUAGUAAUAAGCUCUAGGGCGAGGUCGAAUGCAAUUGCUUCGGCCAUUGCUGGUUCAAACAGAAAUCAAGCAAAGAAGUGUUGGGUUAUUGCAAGAGGAGUAGUAAAA